rnacentral:lncRNA from 1 species
AUCAAAUGAUAAUUUGUAUCGUUAUCUGAAUUCCACAGGAGAAAUAGAUAUCUCUUAUGAAGCAGCAGUCUCAUUAACUGUGAAGGGAACAGAGUAUGAAGUAGCAAAUAACCUUCAUAUUUACACAGCCAUUGAUCUGUCGUGCAACAAAUUUCAGGGAGAAAUUCCAAAGGUUGCCGGAGAGCUUAGAUGGCUUGCAUUGCUCAAUUUAUCUCAUAAUAGUCUAACAGGACCUAUCCCAUCAUUGCUGAGAAAUAUGAAAGAACUCCAAUCUUUAGAUUUGUCCUCAAAUCAACUGACAGGGGCUAUUCCACCUCAGUUAACUGCAUUGACAUUUCUAGAGGUCUUAAAUCUCUCGAACAACGAUCUCAGUGGAGAGAUUCCUCAGAAAGGACAGUUCAGCACAUUCAACAAUGAUUCUUAUCUAGGAAACUCCGCGUUAUGUGGAUCACCAUUGACGAAGAAAUGCGCAAACACAGCAUCACCUCCACAAGAAGUCAGAAAUGGUGAUGAAGAUGAUGCUGGUGAUGAAUGGACAUGGGAAGCAAUCGUGAUGGGAUAUGGAUGUGGACUGAUAUGUGGAUUGUCAUCUGCGUACAUUGUUCUCAAACUAGGAAGGCCUUGGUGGUUUGUGAGAUAUGUCGAAGUAUUGCAACUGAAGUUGAUGAAAAGAUAUGCUUGAAGAAUGGUAUUUGGUCUUGUACUAGCUGCAUAAGUAUUUGGCAUUGUGUAGUAUUCUGUUUGGUCUUGAAUUAUAAUGAUUUUUCUUGCUUCAGGGGUAUUAAUAUAAACCUUGCUAUCUUGCUCAGUGUUAAUGCAAAUUAAGAUGAAUGAAUAAACAAAAAAUAUGCAUCAAAUUAAGAAUUCAGAAAUGGUGAUACUCAUGCAGUGUCACCAACUCAAGAAUUCAGAAAUGGUGAUACUCAUGAAGAUGACGAUGCUGAUGAUGAACUUUGAUGUGGGACUUGGGUUGACCACUUGUUGGGCCGCACAACACCUGUUAAGCAUUAGUAUGACGUUGUCCGCUCUGGAUCGUGACCAAGCCCGCACGGAUUUGUUUUCGAGCUCCUCUCAAAAGGUCUAAAACUAAUGGAGUUGUUUGGCUGCUUAUAUUCAAGAUAAAUCUUUUUGAUGUGGGAUUUGGGUUGACACCCACACAACAAGACGUGAGGAAAUAUUGUUGUCUUGAGAUGACAUAUGUUCUGAAUUAUUAUUAUGCUUUCAACAAUAUUUUCAAACAUUUUUCAAUAUGUAUUUUUAAAGAAUUCUCAAGCACUCGUGACCCCUAUAAUUUUUUCUCAGGCAACGCCUAUAGUUUCAAAGAAUUCCCAGGCACUUAAACAUUUGGACCGGUUCUUUGGAAGCCAAGAUGCCCAGGUUAUCAUGGCCAUGCACAAAAUGCAGUACCAAAGAAAAAAAAUAAUAAAUUAAGAGAGAUUGCUCUGGGUCACCCCAAGCCUUCGAGGACUCAUUCCAAGCCUCGCCCUUUCAAAGAAGUGAUAGUAGCCGGAAAGUGAUAUAAAUUAUUCUCCGGACACUAAAACUAAAUAAUCAGAUCAAAUUAAUCAAUAAUAAAUUAAAGAUAUGAAAUCAAAAUUAAUCCUAAAUUUUGAUAAUAUACAAAAAUUAUAAUUAUAAAUUUUAUUAUCAAAUCAAGAUUAAAUUAACUUACAUGGCCGUUAAAAUUGAUAAACGCAAUAUAAUAGGGUUAAAAAUGGGGCGGGUUCGGGACGGGUACUUCAUUUCCCAGCCUCGUCCCAUAUAUAUUUUUCCUGCCCCGUCUCCGCCCCAUUCUCCACGAAGAUUUAUUUUUAAUCCCCAUUGCCGCCCGCCCCACCGGGGAUUGAAUAUAAUUUCGCCCCGCCCCGCUGCUAUAAUAUUACACUUUAAUUAAUUACCUUAAAAUUUAAUAAUCAGAAUUUAAUAAAAAUAUACGAGACAUGUAUAUUAAAAGCAAAAAACUAAAUAUAAUAGAAAUCAAAGAGACAUGUUAUACAUUGUAAAAUUAUAGUUUUAUGUAUUAUAUAAUAGAUAAUAUUAAAUAUAUUAUAUUAAAUAUAAUUAUUUAUUUUUAUUAAAUAUAUGCGGGGCGGGGUGGGGAAUCCCCGCGGGAAUUCAACAAAUACCAUGCUUGCCCCAUAUUUUAGCGGGGCAGAUAAUCAUUCUCCGUCACUACCCCAUUCCCCAUAGAGUAGUGCUAGAUGCACAAAAUUGGAUACAUAAUUUUACACAAAAUGACAUGGCAAUCUAGGUGGAGAGCUUUAAUUGGUAUUAUUAAUGCAUGUGCAGGGGCUCAUUCCAAUCACAAAUUGACACAUACUCAUUCUGUGAAUAUUUCUGUACUCAAUUCUGUGCAGGUAGCAUUUUUCUUCCCCAUAUUAGCGGGGCGCAUCGGCUCCAUUCGGGGCGGGUUCCCCAUUUUCCCCACCCAAUUUUUAACCCUACAAUAGUAAUCAAAUUGAUGAAAAGUCAAAGUCCUCUAAUAAAUCCAUAAAGAAUAUGAUAAUCAAAACUACAAAAAUUAUAAUUGAAAAAUCAAAAUCAUCCUAAUAAGUUCAUAGAAUAUAUAUGAUCAGUAGAGCAUUAGAAUAGUGUUCACACACUUAUAUGUCAAAAUUUGUGGUCCAAAGACUAUGACACAAUAUCCUAAAUACACCCCCAUUGAAUAGUAGUUCAAAAUAUUUAAUAUAUAAUUGUUUUCAUUCAUAAUUUUGUUAUUAUUUAAAAAAUAAUAAUUUAAUUGCUGUUAACCUUUAUUUUAAUAUAUAAUCAUAUCGUUUCCUUACAAUUUAAUUAUCUAGAAACAAUAUUUUUGUUAUAAUCAUUACAUUAAUUAUAUUAAAAAAUAUAAUUUUGUUAAAACAUUGAAUGAAAUUAAGAGUAUUAAUCUACGUCUCUCCAAGUCUACAGGACUCAUUCCAAGUCUGCGUGAGACCACUGCCACCACCUUUGAGAGAUGUGGAAGUGGAAGUAGCUUCAGAUUGACCUAAAUUAUUUCCUGACAAUAAAUUUAAUAUCCGAAAUAAAUUAAAUUAAACUAGUUUUUUGAAACAAUUAAAUUAAACUAGUUAAUAAUAAAUUAAGAAUAUAUAAAAUCAAAACUAAUCAUGAAUUAUGAUAAUAAUUAAAUAAAUUAUAAUUAAGCUAUAUAAAUCAACUCCAAAUGACACCAACAGCACCAAACCUUAGUUACUUUAAUAUUGGUAAAUAAAUAUAAUAUAAUAAUCAAUUGAUGAAAAAUCAAAUCAUCUAAUAAAUUCACAAAAAAUAUAUGAUCAUUAGUAUAUUAUAUUAGUAUCCACACACUUAUAUUUCAAAAUCUAUCCUCCAAAAUUAUCAUCUCGAUAAACUAGCCACAUAAAAUAAAAAUUUAAAGAUAUUAGAUAUUUAGUUAUUUUCAUUAUAUAAUUUUUCCACACUAAAUAACAAAAUAUUUUUAUCAAAUUAUUAUUUAUGAGUUAAAUAUUCAAGUUAUAAAUCCAGCAUGCAGCGUAUAAAUAGAAGUGUGCAGUAUGAUAUCAGAAUCAUAACCCAGUUGAUCAGGAGAAACAUGGCAUACUCUGCAAAGCCUUCUCACCUUCUUCUCUUUGUUUUCUUUCUCUCAUCACUUGAAUCCAUUCUAACAACACGAGAGGGAGAAGCUCUUGUGAAGUGGAAGAAUAGCCUAGCCCCGUCUUCUUUUCUCGACUCUUGGUCACUCACCAAUCUCGAUAAUCUUUGUAACUGGACUGGCAUUACUUGUAACUCUGCAGGUUCAGUUUCUGAGAUUAACCUCUGUGAGAAACAACUUGAUGGAAUGCUGUCCGAGUUCGGUUUCACUUCAUUUCCAAAUCUCAAGAAUCUCACCCUGGCAGACAACUUCUUCUCGGGUCCAAUACCACCAGCCAUUGAGAAUUUAACACAGCUUCAAUAUCUUGAUUUAAGCAUGAAUAGUCUUAAUGGUCCCAUUCCGUUCCAGGUUAGCCAUCUUCAGAGUUUGCUCAUAUUAAACCUGUCACAGAAUGCAUUGCAAGCUCCAAAUUGGUCCCAUUUCUCUCCCAUGCCUGUUUUGCGCUUCCUCAAGCUCAGUAGAAAUCCUCUUGUGUCGAAAUUCCCAAAUUUUAUAUCCAAUUCUCAUAGCCUGACUUAUCUCAACCUUUCACAUAACAAGUUUAGUGGUGAUCUUGUACGUGAAUCAGUAUUUAUACCAAUCUGCAUCAUCUUGAAGUCCUCAGUUUUUCACCGAAGAGUUGUGUGAGCCUAUUUUAGACAAUGGAUUCUCUUACAAUGGUAUAACCUCUGUAACAGUUGUGUCAUUUUUAAUGACACAACAUAUGUGCGUAUAAAAACCGUUGUCUAUUAGACACUACAGGACAAAAUUUACCUUUUUACAAUAAGACAAAAUUUACCUUUGACUGUUAUUGUUAAAAAAACAUACAUAAUAAACGUAAAAAAUUUUGAAUUUUUUUAUGUAUGAUUAAUAUUGUUAAUUCUCGAGAUCCGUACGGUCAGAUCAUCGAAAAAAAUAUUUAUAAAUUAAUACAGAGUUAAUCGUAUACAUAACAAAGAUUCUAUUGAGUACUUUCUAAAUUGUAACCAUAAAACAAAUACUAAUAUCCACAUCCGAACUACAAAAUUAUCUUCAUUGUACAAAUGAACAAUAUAUAUUUGCAUAUAUGCAUAAUAUAAAUAUAUGUUUUAAGAUAAACUGUGCAAAAAUUAGAAUUUAUCAAGGAAUAGAGAAUUUUUAACUUUUAAAAAGAAAAAUUAAUCAUAAAACAGUUUCAUUGCCAUAAAUAAUUAAUAAUUAAUUCAAUUGUAACCCCUAAAAUAAUUACUAAUUAAUAAUUAAUACAGUGCUAAUCGUAUAUAUAACAAAAAUUCUAUUAUGUACUUCCUAAAUUAUAACUUUAAACACAUACUAAUACUAUUAUAUAAUAUUUUUCAAUUAUUAAUAUUAUAAUAUAUAUUAUAAUACAACUAAUUCUUUUAAAUUUUCAAUUAAAUUUUAAUAUUCUAUAAUAUAUAGAUAUAUGAAUUUAAGUAAUAUAACUUUUAAUUAUAUUACACAUAUUUCUUCUUGUUUUUAAUAAAUUAUUUAAAUUAAGAUAAUAUUAAUUAUUUUCUUGACGCAAAAACAAUUUUAAUUAUUAAUUAAAGAAUUAAAAGGAAAAAAAAGUAGAUCUGCCCAAUGUACAGGUGAAAGUGAGAAGCGGCAAAGUUCCCCCCAAAACUAAAAACCACUGCCGAGUAAAAACCCCUAACCUGUACUCUCAAAAAACUUCUCACUCACAAACACUCUCCCUGGAUCUAUGUAUCUAUCAACACUCGGGGGGUUUGUUAUGUUUAAAUGGAAGCAAAACAAUGCUAUAGUCAUUUUCAGUAUCCAUGUGGUCCUCUUGCAUCUCGGUUUGCUCUGCUUUUCACAUGUUUGUGGCCAACAUGAAUCUUAUAUCUUGUUUAUGAGUUUAAUUUUGUUUAUUUGUAUUUGAGUGGCUUGAUUUUGUAUUUCUUCACUACUAAUUGUUAUUUUCUAAAUUAUCCAUGUGAUUAGGGCUCAUUUUUAGGGGAACUUUGAAUUAGGUCAUUAAAUUACAGUUUUGGUGAAUUGGGGCUUUCAUUGUAUAUAUUUGAUUACAUACAACUGUUAAUAUUUGAGCAGCCAAGGCUCAAGAGCUCAAAAGAUGACAUAUCGAUGGGGUGACAUGUAUGGCUAACAAUCGGAGUAAUUUGAAAGGAUUAUUUUUUCGUUGGGCUGACAGAGGUAUAUUGUUCUUGACACUGGUUUUUAACUUGCUGUCUUUAGUUUAGUUGUGAAUAAUGAGAUGGUUGGAUAUUCUAUUUCGUAUUGUUGUAUGUGGUCGUUAGCAGAAGCUCAUUAAGUCUGCUAUGGUUUAUAGAUUUUAUAACAUUGAUAAGUAUGGUUUGGGUGUCUAGGCUAGUUUUGUUUGUGUGUGUAAUGGAUGUGUUUUGAUUUUUCUGAUUUUUCUGAUUUUUCGAUCAUCUACUUCUUUUUUGUUGCGGGGUUGUUAUUUGUUUACUCUUGUUCCCUGCAAAGAAAUAAGUGUGGAUAGUUAUGCAUUGGAAUCAUAAGUAGCAAUUAAGUGUUAAUUUCCAAUUCAACGAGUUCAAUGCACGCCUGUCUUCAACUAGAUCCGUUUCUUAAUGAAUUUACAAGCAUGUUUGAGCACAAUACUGAGCAGGGUUGUGUGUAGGUCACUUUAUAUAUUUUAGUAUCAAGAGACGUAUUAUGUUGAUAUGUGCUGUAUAAAAUAUUUAAUUGAAGCUAGGUUUAUGUGUAACUGUUACUCAUCUGGCUAUGGAAUACAUUCCCAGAUUAAAAAAUUUGAUAAUGAUUGAUACUGUCUUGUCACUCCAUUAAACAUGACGUAACAUCUGUAUUCAACUUUGGACUUCAUUAAUUGGUGUUAGUCGUGCAAUAUGUUUAAAUUAAAAAAGUUAUGUUUCUUUUAUAUGUUCGAAUUUACUCCAAAUUGCAUGUGGGCGUUUCACUUCUUAUGAGCAGGCUGUGCUUUGGGAAGUUUAGGCAUGCUUUGAGAAUAGAUAUUUUAAUCAAACUGUGCACUUUAGAUAUAAAAAAUCUUGCUGUUCUGAUGGAUUGUAUGGUGUGGAACAAGAGCUGUGUUCCAAGUUAUGCUCAAGACUGUGGGUUUUUUUUGUUUUUAACACCCUUCCAUAACUUCUCCAUCUUAGUUAUUAAACUCUUUCAUUCUGUAUUCCUAACUAUACCAUUCUUUUUUCCACAUAAACCAAGCCAUAAUAAGAAACUGACUUUCUCAAGGAACAAAGGACUAUCACCACAUGGCAGGAUUGUGCAUAGGCGUGCAUAUGCUUGAGUAAGUACACUUUUGGACUUAUGUUGUGAAGUAUUAUUUUUACAAAUGUCAUCCUUCUGGUCAUAUGACAAAUCUUUUCCCUAUCAUUUCUGUAAUUUGUUUUAAAGGUUAGAGCAAGAGUGGAGAUGUCCCAAAUUGAUGCAGUUGCUUACAACAUUGGCAUGGCUUUGUGGAAAGUUUUUGGUGGAGCUUCUAGCACAAUAAAACAGAUAUAAUAGUUUAGUUUCCGAGCUACACCAUUUCCCGGCUCAUUUUGUCGGCUUCUAUCGACUCUAUACAGGCUCUUGCCAGUUGUGUGAAACAUUACAAGAUUUUACAUUUUUAUAUGUGGUUGUACGUUGAUACUAUAGUUGGUAAUGAAAAUUUUUGUUACUAAUUUAUGGCUUGUUAAUUAUAUUCUCCAGCAUAGUUUAAUUAGAUUAUGUAAAACCAUUGUCUGACAUAACUAAACACAAAAGGAAAAGAAAAAGAAAACAGUUGUCCCAAGACUUACAAACAACACAAUUUUAAAAAUAAAAUCGUUGUCUAAGACAUAUACAAAUAAGUAAAUAGUAGUAACAAACCAUUGUCUAAAUCAGUAUUAUUCAAGCAUUUUGAACAAAAACUGUUGUAGAAGAGCUUUCACACAAUUGUUUCAUUAUAUAAACUAUUGUUAUACGGAGCUUCACAGAAGUGACCACUGCUCUAAGCCCGUUGUACAAGGUAGUAAAACACGAGCCUCUAAAACGCAAACAAUCUUGUCUGAUACUCUUAUUAACAAGUAAAUAUAUCCACAAACUGUUGUGGAUAGUCCUAAUAACAACACAAAUUCCAAAUAUGACUGUUGUUAUAAAAUGUUUAUAACAACACUUUGUUAAACUAAUCUGUUGUUGUUUGUGGGUGUAACACAACACGCUGUUAAAUAUAAACCGUUGUGUUUCUUGAUCUCACACAACGGUACGUACCGUUGUCUGAGGCGCGUAUCAGACGGCAUCGCAAUAGACCACGGUUUUCUUGGGUAUCAGACAACGGGCAAAAACCGUUGUCUGAUGCUGUUUUUGUUGUAGUGACAAUUCCUUUGAAGGACCGCUUCCACCAGGUAUAUUCAAGCUUUCAAAAUUAAAACAUCUUUUUCUUUGGGGUAAUAAGUUUUCAGGUUCUGUUUCCAAUGAUAUAUGUUUGCUUUCUGAGCUUGAAAGCCUCGAUCUUAACUCUAAUUUUUUUGAGGGGCCGCUUCCGCCAAAUGUAUUCAAGCUCUCCAAAUUAAAGUUACUUUCCCUUCAGAAGAAUAACUUUUCAGGUUUUGUUUCCAAUGAUAUAGGUUUGCUUUCUGAGGUUGAAACUCUCGAUCUUCACUCUAAUUUUUUUGAGGGGCAGCUUCCGCCAAAUAUAUUCAAGCUCUCGAAACUAAGAUUUCUUGCCCUUUGGCAGAAUAACUUUUCAGGUUCUGUUUCCAAUGAUAUAGGUUUGCUUUCUAAGCUUGAAACCCUCGAACUUGACUCCAAUUUUUUUGAGGGGCCGCUUCCGCCAAAUAUAUUCAAGCUUUCCAAAUUAAGAGUUCUUUCCCUUGACAAUAAUAACUUUUCAGGUUGUGUUUCCAAUGAUAUAGGUUUGCUUUCUGAGCUUGAAACCCUCCGUCUUGGCUUCAAUUCUUUUGAAGGACCGGUUCCACCAAAUAUAUUCAAGUUUUCCAAAUUAACAGGUCUUGACCUCUCAGGCUAUAGAAAUUUAUUUGAAGGUAGUAUCCCUAUUGGACUGGGACUCUUGACUAACCUCAGCUACUUAGAUCUAAGUUCCAAUAAUCUCAGUGGCUAUAUUCCAUCUGAACUUGGAAACCUUAAGCUACUAGUAUUUCUUGAUCUCAGUUCUAACCAAUUGACUGGACCGCUUUUAAAGAUCGUUUCUAAUCUCACAAAUCUUAUAUAUCUCCAUGUACAAGAUAAUAGUCUUAGUGGGAAUAUUCGCAGUGACUUGUGGAAAAACUCUUUAUCCUUACGUUACAUUGAUCUUGAAAAUAAUUAUUUGUCUGGGAACAUUCCUAAGGAAUAUAACGAUCAUCCAACUUUGGAAUACAUCAAUUUAGGUGGGAACCAUUUUACAGGUAUAUUUUUCUCUAUAUAUCUUUUCCUUUUGUCAUAUGUAACUAAGCUAGUAAUCUGAUUGAUGCAGUUUUACCAAAGUUUCAACAAUCUUGACAGGUGAGCUUCCANNNNNNNNNNNNNNNNNNNNNNNNNNNNNNNNNNNNNNNNNNNNNNNNNNNNNNNNNNNNNNNNNNNNNNNNNNNNNNNNNNNNNNNNNNNNNNNNNNNNNNNNNNNNNNNNNNNNNNNNNNNNNNNNNNNNNNNNNNNNNNNNNNNNNNNNNNNNNNNNNNNNNNNNNNNNNNNNNNNNNNNNNNNNNNNNNNNNNNNNNNNNNNNNNNNNNNNNNNNNNNNNNNNNNNNNNNNNNNNNNNNNNNNNNNNNNNNNNNNNNNNNNNNNNNNNNNNNNNNNNNNNNNNNNNNNNNNNNNNNNNNNNNNNNNNNNNNNNNNNNNNNNNNNNNNNNNNNNNNNNNNNNNNNNNNNNNNNNNNNNNNNNNNNNNNNNNNNNNNNNNNNNNNNNNNNNNNNNNNNNNNNNNNNNNNNNNNNNNNNNNNNNNNNNNNNNNNNNNNNNNNNNNNNNNNNNNNNNNNNNNNNNNNNNNNNNNNNNNNNNNNNNNNNNNNNNNNNNNNNNNNNNNNNNNNNNNNNNNNNNNNNNNNNNNNNNNNNNNNNNNNNNNNNNNNNNNNNNNNNNNNNNNNNNNNNNNNNNNNNNNNNNNNNNNNNNNNNNNNNNNNNNNNNNNNNNNNNNNNNNNNNNNNNNNNNNNNNNNNNNNNNNNNNNNNNNNNNNNNNNNNNNNNNNNNNNNNNNNNNNNNNNNNNNNNNNNNNNNNNNNNNNNNNNNNNNNNNNNNNNNNNNNNNNNNNNNNNNNNNNNNNNNNNNNNNNNNNNNNNNNNNNNNNNNNNNNNNNNNNNNNNNNNNNNNNNNNNNNNNNNNNNNNNNNNNNNNNNNNNNNNNNNNNNNNNNNNNNNNNNNNNNNNNNNNNNNNNNNNNNNNNNNNNNNNNNNNNNNNNNNNNNNNNNNNNNNNNNNNNNNNNNNNNNNNNNNNNNNNNNNNNNNNNNNNNNNNNNNNNNNNNNNNNNNNNNNNNNNNNNNNNNNNNNNNNNNNNNNNNNNNNNNNNNNNNNNNNNNNNAAACCUGUCAGAGAAUGAACUGCAAGCUCCAAAUUGGUCCAAUUUUUCCCCCAUGCCUUUUUUGACCAUCCUCGACCUUUAUAAAAAUAAUCUUUUGUCAGAAUUUCCCGAAUUUAUAUCUAACUCGUGUAACCUUACGUACCUUGACCUCUCAUCCAACAAGUUUAGAGGGGAUCUUGCGCGAGAAUCAGUAUUAACCAAUCUAGGUGAUCUUGAAACCCUCUAUCUUAUUAGAAAUUCUUUCAAGGGGUCAUUUCCGUCAGAUUUAUUCAAGCUUUCUAAAUUAAAACGUCUUCACCUGUCGAGCAACAAAUUUUCAGGUUCAAUUCCUAAUGCCAUAAGGUUGCUUUGUGAUCUUGAAUUCCUAUAUUUAGGCAACAANNNNNNNNNNNNNNNNNNNNNNNNNNNNNNNNNNNNNNNNNNNNNNNNNNNNNNNNNNNNNNNNNNNNNNNNNNNNNNNNNNNNNNNNNNNNNNNNNNNNNNNNNNNNNNNNNNNNNNNNNNNNNNNNNNNNNNNNNNNNNNNNNNNNNNNNNNNNNNNNNNNNNNNNNNNNNNNNNNNNNNNNNNNNNNNNNNNNNNNNNNNNNNNNNNNNNNNNNNNNNNNNNNNNNNNNNNNNNNNNNNNNNNNNNNNNNNNNNNNNNNNNNNNNNNNNNNNNNNNNNNNNNNNNNNNNNNNNNNNNNNNNNNNNNNNNNNNNNNNNNNNNNNNNNNNNNNNNNNNNNNNNNNNNNNNNNNNNNNNNNNNNNNNNNNNNNNNNNNNNNNNNNNNNNNNNNNNNNNNNNNNNNNNNNNNNNNNNNNNNNNNNNNNNNNNNNNNNNNNNNNNNNNNNNNNNNNNNNNNNNNNNNNNNNNNNNNNNNNNNNNNNNNNNNNNNNNNNNNNNNNNNNNNNNNNNNNNNNNNNNNNNNNNNNNNNNNNNNNNNNNNNNNNNNNNNNNNNNNNNNNNNNNNNNNNNNNNNNNNNNNNNNNNNNNNNNNNNNNNNNNNNNNNNNNNNNNNNNNNNNNNNNNNNNNNNNNNNNNNNNNNNNNNNNNNNNNNNNNNNNNNNNNNNNNNNNNNNNNNNNNNNNNNNNNNNNNNNNNNNNNNNNNNNNNNNNNNNNNNNNNNNNNNNNNNNNNNNNNNNNNNNNNNNNNNNNNNNNNNNNNNNNNNNNNNNNNNNNNNNNNNNNNNNNNNNNNNNNNNNNNNNNNNNNNNNNNNNNNNNNNNNNNNNNNNNNNNNNNNNNNNNNNNNNNNNNNNNNNNNNNNNNNNNNNNNNNNNNNNNNNNNNNNNNNNNNNNNNNNNNNNNNNNNNNNNNNNNNNNNNNNNNNNNNNNNNNNNNNNNNNNNNNNNNNNNNNNNNNNNNNNNNNNNNNNNNNNNNNNNNNNNNNNNNNNNNNNNNNNNAAAACCAUUGAUAAGGAUGGUAAAUUCGACUCUAAAUCUUAUGAAGCUAUAUUCUUGGGUUAUUCUUUAACAAGUCGUGCUUAUAGAGUGUAUAAUCUUGCUAAACAUACUGUUGAAGAGUCUAUUGAUGUUUCAUUUCAAGAGUCUACUGAUGAUCUUGCAAGGGAUGAGGAAGAAUGUGCAGGUACAGGUACUAGCAGCAAGCUGACAGUGAAGGAAACUGGAAAUCAGCAAGCUGACAAGUCAACUGCCACAACUUCAGAAGGCAAUAAAGCUACUGAAUCCACUCCAUCUCUUGAAGAAACUUUGGAUAAGAUGUCUAAGCUCACAUUGGAUGAAUCCAGAGGUCAAACUUCAUCAGCAAGCCAAAAUGUUGUUGAUCAGACUCCUCCUAGGCAGACUACAAGGAAUGAAGAGGUCAUAGCUCAACAUAAUCUACCAAAAUCAACUAGAACAGUGAAGAAUCAUCCUCCUCAGUUGAUCAUUGGAGAUAAAUCAGCUGGAAUCAAGACAAGGAAAGCUCAAGCCAACAUUUGUGCUUAUGCUGCCUUCAUAGCUCAAGAGGAACCAAAGAAUGUUCAAGAAGCUUUACAAGAUGAAAAUUGGAUCAUGGCAAUGCAAGAAGAACUCAACCAAUUCGAAAGAUGUGAUGUUUGGGAACUUGUAGAUCCACCAGAGGAUGCUUCAAUUGUUGGAACCAAAUGGGUGUUCAAGAAUAAAGUUGAUGAAUUUGGUACUAUCACUCGGAACAAAGCUAGACUUGUUGCACAAGGAUACAAUCAGCAAGAAGGAAUUGAUUUUGAUCAAACAUAUGCUCCGGUUGCAAGAUUGGAAUCUAUUAGGAUGCUAUUAUCAUUUGCAUGCUACAAGAAGUUCAAGCUACAUCAAAUGGACGUCAAAAGUGCAUUCUUAAAUGGAUAUCUAAAGGAAGAAGUCUAUGUCAAGCAACCACCAGGAUUCGAGGAUGAAAAAUAUCCCAACCGUGUCUACAAGCUCAAGAAGGCACUAUAUGGAUUAAGGCAAGCACCUCGAUCAUGGUAUGAAAGGUUAAGUGAAUUUUUGAUCAAAAAUGGUUUCAUUAGAGGUAAAAUUGAUCCUACUUUGUUUACUAUCUUUAAAGGUCAAGAUAUAUUAGUUGUUCAAAUAUAUGUAGAUGAUAUUAUAUUUGGAUCUACUAAUGAUUCUUUGUGUAAGUGGUUUUCAAAGUGCAUGCAUAGUGAGUUUGACAUGAGCAUGAUGGGAGAGCUCAAUUAUUUCUUGGGGCUCCAAAUUAAGCAAACUCCAGAAGGAAUUUAUGUGCAUCAAUCCAAGUAUAUCAAGAAUCUACUCAAAAGAUUUGGAUAUGAGAAUAUCAAGGCGAAAUCAACACCAAUGAGCGUUGUCAGCAAGCUGACAGCAGAUGAAAAUGGUAAAGAUGUUGAUAUUCGAAUGUAUAGAGGUAUGAUUGGUAGUUUACUUUAUCUUACAGCCUCUAGACCUGAUAUUAUGUAUAGUGUUUGUGUUUGUGCUAGAUUUCAAGCAAAACCAAAGGAUUCUCACUUACAAGCUGUUAAAAGAAUAUUUAAAUAUUUAAGUGGAACCAUUACUUUGGGCUUAUUCUAUCCUAUCACAAAUGCUUUUGAUCUUGUUGGGUAUAGUGAUGCAGAUUAUGCAGGUAGUCAAACUGAUAGAAAAAGUACAAGUGGUGUUUGUGCAUUUUUGGGUCAAAGCUUAGUUUCUUGGUUAAGCAAGAAGCAAACUUCAGUUGCUCUAUCUACGGCUGAGGGGGAGUAUUUAGCAGCUGGUAGCUGUUGCUCUCAAAUGCUAUGGAUGAGACAACAAUUGAAGGACUUUGGAAUCAAAUGCAAGCAAACUCCUAUCUUUUGUGACAACACAAGUACAAUCAACAUUUCAGAAAAUCCAGUCAAUCAUUCAAGGACAAAGCAUAUUGAUGUUCGACAUCAUUUUCUGAGAGACAAUGUUGCAAAGGGUGCUGUCAAGCUGAUUUUUGUGGCUACAGCAGAUCAGCUAGCUGACAUCUUCACAAAACCUCUUCCUGAAGAACGAUAUGUCAUGCUGAGAAGGGAAUUGGGCAUGUGUGAUGUGCAGUCAGCAAGCUAAUAAGCUUGGUCCGGGUACUAUCAGCUUACUCUCAGUUAUUAUGACCAUUAUGUGCUGAUUUGGAUAAUUGUUGUGAUCUCGAUGACGAUGCUUGAUUUUCUACCCUUUUGAUGAUUAAGGGGGAGAAAAUUUAGGAACUUGGUUUGUGUUGUGAAUGUUGUGUUGUGAAUGUUAUAUUUGUUGUAUAGUUUAAUGUUAUAAGAUUGCUAUAUUCAGGGGGAGUAUUAUUACUUUUCCUAAAUAUAGUGUAAUCAUCAAAAAGGGGGAGAUUGAUACUCUCGAGAUUUUGAUGAUCACACUAACAGCAACUUGAUAACAUAAAACUGUACUCUGGUAGCUAGCUGAGAACGAGAUUAUAACUGUGCUAACAGCUAAUGUCUUUUGAAGUUAUCAUUGUUCUGUCAGCAAGCUUACAGGAAUAUUGACAGACUAUCAGCAAGCUCACAGCGUACUGACAGGAUGCUUAUCGGAUAAAGAUCAAGUCCUAUUUUCAAGGAGAUUUGUUAGGGAACGUUUUGUGAGGACUCUAAUACAUAUAUAUACAGUAUAUAAAUAUUAGAGCUCAUCUUUUAUCAAAGAGUUUUAUUCAAAAUCGUUUUCCUAAAAUAUAGGAGUUGAUUUCAAACCUUGUUUAUCCUUUUAGACUCCUACUUCUAUUCAAACUGUUUUGUUUUAUAAACAAACGUUUACUGAGUUGUUUCAAACGUCUUUAUGCUUUUACUCAGUAAAAAUACAUUGUUCAAACGUUCAUUAUUCAAGCAAAUUAAACGUGAGGUUGUUGGGCCAAGAACGUUGGAUAGUUUGUUGAGUUAUGACCGUUUGGAAUGAUGGUAUAUAAACUUGAGUGUGGUUUCCGUUUUGGUAGAGAACAAGAACACACUUCAAGCUUCUGAAAUACAACACACUUACAUUGCAAAAUCUUUACUUGAGCUCUAGUACUUAUAUUUGAUUAUAUAUCUAUAUUGAGUUCAUAGUUUCGGUUGUAUUACACUCAUACAUUGUAUUGUUCAAAGUGUAAAGGUUUGUUGCUGUGUAUCGAGCUUGUGAAACAAGGGAACAAGGGGACUAGUUAGCUAGAAGAGUAUACUUGGGAAGUAUAGGUCUUGGAGAGCUUUUGGUUCGUGGUUCAGGGGUUUCAGCAAGCUGAUAACAGGAACAAGGGAUAAAGGGAGUUAUAUUAUUGAAUCAUUGUAAUCGUUAACAUUAUUGAUUAAUAAUAUAAUCUCUUACCAGUUGGUAGGGGACCAGGACGUAGACCAUUAGGGUUAGGGGUCGAACCUGGCUAAAAUUCUCUGUGUUGCUAGCUUACUGAUUAUAUCUGUUUUGCAUUGCAUCUGCAUUGUUAGCUAGCUGACUGUUUACUCUGAAAUUAACAGCAAGCUGUCUGUGACAGUUUAACUAUUCGGUAACAAUUAAAAAUCGGUCAUAUUAGCCAUAACACCUAUUCACCCCCCUCUAGGUGUGUAAUUUCAGUUUCUUUUCGUUUUCAAAUCUCACCAAUCUCAUCAUUACACAUAACAACUUCACUGGUCCAAUACCACCCGAAAUUGGAAAUUUAACAGAUGUUCAGUACCUCGACUUUAGCUAUAGUAAUCUCAAUGGUACCAUUCCAUACCAGGUUAGCCAUCUUCAGAGGUCGGUCGUCUUAGGCCUCUCAUUUAAUCACUUGAAAGCUCCGAGCUUGUCCAAUUUUUCCCCCAUGCCUAUACUGGUUGGUCGCGGUCUUAGUGGUAAUAAGCUGGCAUCAAAAUUUCCAGAAUUGAUAUCUAAUUGCUAUAACAUGAUUAACCUUGAUCUUUCAUUUAACAUGUUAACUGGUAAACCUCUGUUCUAAAAGUCGGUGAUUAAUCACCGAUUAAUCCAUGUUUCCUAGCUCGCCAAACUGAUUAAAUAUCCGAUUAUUUUAAUUAAUGUCCGAUUAAUCACCGAUCAAUGCAAUUAAUCUACAAUUAAUCCUUAUUCUGGGACUUCACCGAUUAAGCUCGAUUCCCAUUUUUUACAACGACAUAACAGUGAAUCAUGAUUAUCAAGCAUCUGUCUUGUUAACAUUGAAACGAAGAGAGCAUGAAGUGAAAGGAAUCCUUUAUAUUUACGAUGUCAACAGCCCUACUGUCAAAAUUCCUUUCAAGUCGGGGCUUUUUACGAAUAAUUGGUAAUUCAGUGUUGAACUCCGCUCAACUUAUAAUUAGAUAAUCGAAAUCAAAAAUCUUGCAAUCAACAAAUAAAUUAUUAAGAACUUGCAAUUGAGUAAUGGCCGUCAAGUCACUUAACAAUACUAACCGGAAACUAACGUGACGGGCUGAUAUGUUUAAAAAAAUGCAUGAUGACUAUAUACUUGAUGUUUACGACCCUAACUAAAAUAUCCAACAAAUAAUACAUACAACCUGAUCUAAUAAUGUAAUACCUCUACUUAAGUAUAUUUUUAUGCCAAAUAUUUAUAGAUUUGUUUUUACAAAAAUGAUUAGAGACUUUGUAUAUACAAAAAUUGAGAAUUAUUGCUUGACUAGACGAAAAUAGGUGAGUUAUGAUUAUAAUAAAUAUUUAUUUCUACGAUGUAGUUUUUAUUAGUUAUAUAUAAAAAAAAUCUUGCUAUAUUUUGAUACUAGUGCAAUGAUUACUUCAAUUUAUUUUUUAUGAGAGUUACUAAGAUAUAUGACCAACUCAUCUUGCACUCGUAUUAAUUGUCUUAUAUAAUAAUAAUAAGAAAAAUAUGAGGCGGUGCUUAGUCAGAUGAUUUUAGUUGUUAAAAUAUUUUUUUGUUAUUUAUAGAUAGUGAAACAUGUCUAAUAUUUUAUCAAUUUUGUUUCGUUUCUUGAGAUUUCCAAAUAUUUAUUAGGACAUUGUACCAUGGUGUAUUUCAAGAUAUUAUUGUUAUUUAGAUAAUUAGUCAUAUUCAAUGAAUUUUGAGGACAAAAUUUAAAUAAGAGGAGAACAAUGUCAUAUCUCACAUAUUAGCAGUUUUAAUUAUUUUAUAUUUUUAUUUUAAAGAUAAGAUAAAGUUUAUUUAUUUAUUUGUUUUUAUCUUAAAAGCGAUUUUGAGUACUUUGUUUGAGUUAGAUAUAUACUUCUACUGUGGUUCAACUAGUUUUGCCGUCAGUGAAUAAUUUCCGGUCAAUAUUUUGAAAUUUGUUGUUAUCUUCUAAUUAAGAUAAGGGGUUAAAUAGCUUUUGAAAAAUGUGAAAAAAAUCAAAAAAAUUGGGAAACCAAAAGUGGCAAGCUUUUUUUUGUUCUUUUCAAAUUUUCUAAAAUCUGGGGAAAAAAGAACUUGCCACCUAAUUUUUUCCAAAUUUUUUCAAAUUCUUUUCAGAUGUUUGAAUUUUUUCCCAAUUUUUUCCUUUUUUUUUGAAUUUAUUAAGAUUUUUUUUGUUUUUUCUGCUUAUUCUGAAUUUUUUAAGAUUUAUUCGCAUUUUUUUUCAUAUUUUUAAAAAAUAUUUUUGAAAUUUCCGUUAAGUAAUUAAUGGAACUGACAGAGAGUGAUGCUUUUGAAAGUUUUUAAUUAUUUGAUGAUGCAUCUGAAAAUUUUUCAACAACAUGAUUCAGUUGCAAAUUUCCGGCGAGGUUAGUGAUAAAUUAGCUAUUUAACUCUUAAUAAAAUCUAUCUUAACAAUAUUAUAAAUAUUAUUGUUAUGGGUUCGAUGAGUCGUGUAAAACAUGGAAGAAGUUUAGGUGGGGUAAAAAGAGCCUAGCUGGGUGAUUUCCAUUCUGUUAUACGUGAUAUACUGUAGUUGAUCAUCUCCUUUGUCCGCUUCAUCCUGUGCAACCUUAACCUUUAAGGUAAAACUUAUGAGAUUCUCUGGAGCAUCUAAGGGGCCGUUUGGACAAACUUAAAAGAAGUGACUUCUUGCUUAAACUAGAGAAGUGGAGUAGAAGUGAGAAGUAAAUUAGUUAAUAAAGUGUUUGGAAAAAAAGCAGAAGCCAGAAGCAUCUUCGGCUUCUGUCAAACAAACAGGGCCUAAAUUUUUGUGUGAAAAAUGUUAGUCUCAAAUUAUUUUUCCUAAAAUGCUUACAUGUUACAUUUUAUAUGUAUGUCCUGUCUUUAAGUAUAAUUUAGCAUUUGUAUUUAGUAUUGUGUAAAAGUAAUUCAUUUUAUUCCGUCUUAUUAAAAAUAUAAUCAUGUUAUGCUGUAAAAGUAUUUGUGAAUUUCUUUGUUGCAUAUGUGUUUAAAUUAUUUUAUUUAUAUAUGUUUUACAAUUUUUACAAAUGUAUAGGUUGAGUAUUGCAUAAGAAUAUAAUUACACUCACAACUGUUAUGCGUGCAUGUAUAUUGCCGCUAAGUUUUAAACUUCUUACGAACCGGAAUAAUUUUGACAGAUGUGUGGAACUUGAUUAAUUUAGUUGCACUACAAGAGAAAGCGUUUUUACCAAUAGAAAUUGCUAAGGGAAAUUAGUCCGUCGGUAAUUUCCAACGAAUUUGUAACAAUUUGACUGGUCAAUGUUCUGCCAAUCAAUUCGCAACGAAAUACCCACGCUUAUUUACCAACGAGAUGUUCUGUUAGGAAAUAUAGCCACAUAAUGGAAUAAUAACAACAGCCCAAAGAAUGAGCAACAGACUAGCAACGAAAGCAUCUGUUACUACGUUCGUUGAUAUUCCGUUUAUAAAUACUAACAGUUCCGUUAGUAGUUAUUAGUUUUACAUUGGCAAUUGAUAUACACCAGAUGAGCACAUACACGGAUACAAUGCCAGUCUCUUAGUUGAAAUGUGUGUAAUGCUAAAGCCCAAUGAGCUUUAGUUGAUUAAAUUGAUUUGAGUUGUAGAAAAAAGCUAAUAAUAUAAUGGAUUUUGAUAUAUGUAUUGUAAAUAUUAAGUAAUUCUCUUGAAUUUAUAUAUGUAACAUAAUUGUUAAUUGGUUCAUCCUUGACUAGAAAUUUUAUAUUACAUUCUUAACUACAAAUUUUGUAUUUAAAAUUGUUUUAAAAAAUCAACUUUUAUUUGGCAUGUGGAUUUUGUAGUCAAAUGCGGUCAAUUUACUUAGCCUUUGAUCGAAUACCAACCUGAAACAUAAAAAUAUUUUUUAAUCAUUUAUUUUCGACGAUCCAACUAUAUUCUAUAAUUGUAAUGUGAUAAUAUUGAUUACAAAAUUUAAAAAAAAAAAUUAACCUUUUAUUUGGUAUGUGCAUUUUGUAGUCAAAUGCAAUUAAAUUACUUAGUCUUUAGUGAAAUCUUUACUCGAAACAUAAAACUUUUUCUUAAAAAAAAAUUGGACGAUCCAACCGUACAAAUGUUAUUGCAACGUGUUAAUAUUGGUUAAAAUAAAUUUUAAGAAAAUAUGUCUUUUAUUUGGUGUGUGGAUUUUGCGGUCAAAUAACUUAGCCUUUAAUUGAAUACUUACCCAAAACAUGAAACUAUUUUUUUUAAAUCAUUUCGGACGAUCCAACCGUACGGGUGUUAUUCUAACAUGAUAAUAUUGAUUAUUUUUUUUAAAGAAAAAAUAUAGCCUUUUAUUUGGUGUGUGGAUUUUGUAGUCAAAUGCAGUCAAAUUACUUAACCUUUAAUGAAAUGCUUACAUUAAACAUGAAAUUAUUUUUUUUAAAAUCAUUUGGAUGAUCCAAUCGUACGGAUGUUAUUAUGACAUGUUAAUUGAUUAAAAAAAAUAUUUAAAAAAUUGCUUUUUAUUUAGUGUGUGGAUUUUGUAGUUAAAUGCUACUUGGCCUUUAAUCGAAUACUUAACCGAAACAUGAAACUAUUUUUUUAAAAACCAUUUUGGACAAUCCAACCGUACGGAUGUUAUUGUAACAUGACAAUAUUGAUUGUUUUUUUAUAUAAUAACUUUUAUUUGGUGUGUGGAUUUGUAGUCAAAUUACUUAGCCUUUAAUCGAAUACUUACCUGAAACAUGAAACUAUUUCUUAGAAAAUUAUUUUAGAUGAUUCAACCAUACAGAUGCUAUUAUAACGUGAUAAUAUUGAUUAUUUUUUUUAAAAAAAUUAGUCUUUAAUUUGGUGUAUGAAUUUUAUAGUAAAAUGAUGUCAAAUUACUUAGUCUUUAAUGGUAUAUUUAUUAGAAUUAUGAAACUAAUUUUAAAAAUUUAGUUUGGACGAUCCAAACUGUAUGAAUGUUAUUUUAACAUGUUAAUAUUGAUUAAAAUUGUUUAAAAAAAUUUAGUGUUCUUUUAUGUGUGAAUUUUUAGUCAAAUAUGAUAAAAUAUUUAUUUAGCCUUUAAUGAAAUAUUAAAAAUCCCUACUUUAAAAGAAACUUGUCUAAAACUACCUAUACGCGUUAGAGAUUCAUCGAUUUAGUUAUCAAAUUAGUUAUAAUUAGGGUUUUACUCCGCUUUUCUCUGGUAUGAUGUUGAUUUUUGGGGUUCGAUUGGUCGACUUUCAUGUUUUAUAAGUUAUGUGAGUUCGAUUUUGAUGUUUUUACAAUUAGGUUUAUGUAUGUUUUUAUACGGGUUUUCAUGUUCAUGUUUUGAUUUGUUGAUUUCCUAUUUUUCCUAUUUGUUGAUUAGUUAUUUGUGUGGGUUUUGGAUUUUGAUGUGUGUGUAUGUAAUCUCCUGUAUUUUUUUUCAUUUUUUCUGGUUCGAACUCUUCGAUUAGUAGAUGAAAAAAACUGAUGCGGCAGUAGCGGCUAGCAAGGAGAUGGAUAACAAGAAAAGGACGAUUUUGAGGUCCUCUCGUGCAAGUCUUCAGGUAUAAUUUUGUUCCUUUAUGUUUUUAAUUAACAUAAAUUUUCACAUUUGCUGAUUAUAUUAUGGGGGAUUCUGGGUAUACUUGUAUAUAAUCUAGCAAGUAAUUAUAGUUCUGAAUGGGAAGCUUAUUGUGAAAUUAAAUUGAGGAAUAAGUUGUGUUAUUGGUUCUGGUGGAUUAAAUUUAUGUUAACACUUGAUAUAUGCAUUGAUGUCGUAAAAUAAGUUGUACAUCGAACUAUUUGGCUUGUUUAAGUUGUAUGGAGUAUGGUUGCCAAGCAUUGGUUGGUUGUACACGUAUAAACAAAAUGAUAUUUUAAUAUUUGAACAAAACAAUACAGAGCCCGUUUGGCUGAACUUGUAACUCAUAAAUUAACGUGAUUUAUGAUUUAACGUGACUUAUCUAAUAAGCUGAGAGUUUUAAAAUGUCUGUUUGGAUAAUUUUGACUUAUCAACGAUUUAUGGGUCAUUAAAAAUAUAAAAAUAAAAAUUAAAGUGUUUUAUGAGUAGGUUAUGAUUUAUGGAUAAUUUUUAUAUAAAAAAAAGUUCAAAAAAAUUAAGUUACUGGAAAAAUACCUCAAACUAAUUUCAGGCUUUAAGUCAGCUUCUGAUUUAUUAGUUUUUAAGUUUAAGCCGGCUUCUGACUUAUUAAAGCCAUCAGAAUAAUUUUAAACCGCAGCUCUAAGCUACGACAAACGGGCUCACAGUCAUAAACAGAUCGUGUCGGGCUGGACUGAUUGUGAUUUUCCUUUUUGGAACUCGUACUCGGCAUGUUCCACGCGAAUGAUAUUUAGAAGUAUACUCCAUGUCAUAAUAAGAGUUCUUUAAAUUUUUUAUAUGUAAUUUGAAGUAUAAAAAAAAUAUUUUAACAUAAUAUUUUUAAUUUUUUAUACAUAAAAAUAUAACAUCUAUAUUUUUAUUUAGAAAAAAAAAUUUGAAAAAUAAUAUAUAGAUGCAUGUUUUUUUUAUACGUGAAAUUACAUGUAAAAAUCAAAAGACUUUUAUUUUGAGUAAGAGAGAAUAUGAUGUACCAUAAAGUCAUCGAUUUUUUGUUAUCAAAUGAAUGUGAUAGUUAACUAUUUAAGAGCAAGUCCAAAAGUGUUCUAGUUCAUGCUCUAAAUAUAAUAUAAAAUAUUAUGUCCUAGUGAUUUGGGACAUAUUUUACUAACUUGGACUUCAACAAUGAGUCUUAAGGCUCAUUUGUUUUGAGCUUAACAUUGCUGAACGGAUUCCAGCUUACUGAUUAAUGCGAGUUCAGAUUGUUUGGCGACCAUAUUUUAUAAGCUUACCGAUUAAUGCGAGUUUAGAUUGUUUGACGAUCAUAUUUUAUAUUCUGAAUUGUUCAUAUACAGCUGAGCGGAUCAGUCUAAAGUGGGUGAAAGAAUCAUUCAGCGCCAUCCUUAUUAGCUUAUAAUACUGUAUGUCAACUUCAAUCUUAUAAAAAUAUAUUUUAUUUGUUUACUAUAUUUUAUAUAUAUGUUGAUUUUAUCCCAAGUUUUGUUCGUAUCAACUGAAAAUAAUAACUCUUUCAAAAAAUUAAAAAUAAUAUAAUAAUAAUCGAUAUAAUUUUUAACUUUAUAAUUAUUUUGAAUAAUAAUAUGUGAAUUUUUUUUAUAUGUCUAAAUAAGUUUUCAUCUUAUUAAAAAUCAAGUGAUAUAUAUUUUAUUCAAGUGAUAUAUAUUGUUUUAGUGAUAAAAAAGUUCACUAAAACAAUUUAUCAUAUUUAUAAUAUAUUAUUCAGAUAUUUCAAAUAUUAUUCAUCAAACAAUAUUAUUCAUUCAGAAUUCAGAUGAUUCAUCCGUUAAGAUCAUUCAGGUAUAUUAAUCAUUCAAUUCAGAUUUGCCAAAUGACCCCUUAUUCUCACACGAUGUUUAAUAUUUUAUUAUUAGAGAGAGAAAAGGAGUGUUGAUAAGAAUUAAUAACAAAAUAUGGACAGGGUAAGGAAAGAUGUACCUCAAAAAUAGGACUUGAGAAGGUUGUCCCAGUGAUAUAAGGCAUCACUAGGACAUUGUUGGAUCAAUUUUUUACAUCAAAUGCCUUAAAUAACAACUUAGGACGACAUAUAUGGAAAUUGUUGGACUUGCUCUAAGUUGUUACUCCUUCCAAGUAUAAAAGAUGAGUAAAGUUAAAUGAAGACGUGGUAAAAUAAUGUGACCUAUUUAUAUUUAAUAAUACAUUUGAAAUAGUGGAGGAAAGUAACAUGUGUAAUAACGUUUAUAUUAUUAUUGCAUAUAGAUAAGAAGAAAGCAAUGGGUAUAAAAGUGUAUUAUAUUAUUAAAAUUAUUAUUUUUAAAAUGUUUAGAAAUAAUGGGGCAUCCAAAAAGAAAACUGUAUAGAAAUGAAAAAGGAAAUACAAUUCAAAAAGUCAUAUAUCUAAAUUCAAACUAGGUAAUAUAUUUAUGAAUUAUAUUAAAAAAAAUAUUUGACAUUCAAAUAUAAAAAUUUAUUUUAUCAUCUCAACAAUGAAUAUUCGAUUAUUAACUUUCGUAAAUAACAUUAAUUUUUCAUUAUAAUAUACUCUAAACUUUUAUUUUAUGUGCCUGUUUGUUUACGAGAAGCUGGAAUUUACUUCUCUUGACUCGUUUGUGUAAAAAAGUAAAAGGUGCUUUUAAAAAGUACUGAGAACGAAAUGGAAGUAGAAAAUGCUAGCUUUUCUUUAUAAUAUCUAUUUCUUUUCCAGACAUUUUAAUAAUUUAUAAUUAUUAAUUUAUUUGUCAUUUCUACUUAUUUUUUUUAGAGAACUUUUUUUAAACUAACCGGCUCCUAUAACUAGUAAUUACUUCUAAAUCACAAAUUACUGAUAAAUCAUCACUUUUAUUAUUAUUAUUAUUAUUAUAUUUUUAAUAACUCAUAAAUUAUUAAUAAGUCAAAAUUAGUCAAACAGAUAUUUUUAAGUUGAGCUUAUGAGAUAACUAACGUUAAGUCUUCUGAGCCCCCAUUGGCUCACAAUUGGCCCAAAAAAUAUUUGGUUAUGCAUUGCUAUUCACACACUUAGACAUCAAAAUUUAUCAUCCGACAGCUAACUGCACACUAUUUUUCCCACAAGCUCAAAAAUCAACGAUCAAUUAAUUUUUUCUUAUCAAUUACUAAUAAAGUUAUGAUUUCACGUACACGGCAGGCAAAAUGCUAAUAAAUAGACGAGUGCAGUAUAGUAUGGGUUCAUGAUCCCCUUGAGAUUUAAUUGAAAAAUAUUAUGGUGAUAUAGAUUAAAUUAAAUUAUAAUAUUUUGAAAAGUUAUAAAUAAUUUUAAUUACUAAUAAUAUUUAUUUGUACAUUUAAAUAUUUUUAUAAAAACACAAUAAUAGCAUUAUACUCAUUUAAGUUUCUCGUAUCCGCCUCCUCUUCUUGGAGAUUGUGGAUUUGCGAUAUUUGUAUUGAUUAUUAUAGGAAAAUGUUAUUUUCAGAGCAAACAUUUUUAUUUCUGGAGCAAAUUCAAUUCCCACUUCCUUGUCCUUGUAGCUACAUAAAUCAUACAACUUCAAUACAAACUUUUCCAAAUUGUUCUGGAAAUUAAAAAAUUGAUAUGGAUAUAACAAUUCCCUUAUUAUAUCCUAUGUAUAUUACAUUAAUGCAAUUAACAUGGUUGGUUGUUUUAGUAUAUAAUUAUAUUAGUGUGGCCUUUUAGUAUAUAAUUAUAUUAUUUUUGUUAUAUUUUAUGCAUCUAGAAACAAUUUUUUUAUGAUAUUUAUUAUAUUAAUUAUAGUAAAAGAUAUAAUUUUGUUUAAAAAAUUGAAUAAAACUAAGAGGGAUAGCCUACGUCUCUCCGAGUCUUCGAGGACUCAUUCCAAGUCCGCAGAGGACCACCGCCUCAACCUUUAAGAGAUGUGAAAGUAGCUUGAGAGAGACAUAAAUUAAUGUUUGAUAAUAAAAUUUAAUAAUCAAAUAAAUUAAAUUAAAUUAAACUAGUUUAUAGUAAUCGAUUAAAAAUAUAUAAAUCAAAAUUAUUCCUGAAUUAUGAUAACAAUUAAAAUCAUAUUAAAAGUUGCAAAAAUCAAACCCAAAUCGAACAAAUUCCCCUAACACUAAAAUGUAGUUGCUUUAUUGUAGAUAAAAACAGUAUAAUAAUCGUAUUGAUGAAAAAUCAAAUUCAUCAAAUAAGUUUAUAAAAAAUACAUGAUUUUAGUGUGUUGUAUUAGUAGUGUGUCCACGCAUUUAUAUAUUAAAAUCUAUCCUCUAAAAACUAUCGAUCUAUUUACACAACUAUUGAUCUGUCGUGCAACAAAUUCCACGGAGAAGUUCCAAAGAGAGCUUAAAUGGCUUGCAUUGCUCAAUCUAUCUCAUAAUAGUCUUAACGACAUAUGUUCUGAAUUAUUAUUAUGCUUUCAACAAUAUUUUCAAACAUUUCUUAAUAUGUAUUUUCAAAGAAUUAAGAGAAUGCACAAAAAUUAAGAGAGAUUGCUCUGGGUCUCCCCAAGCCUUUCAGGACUCAUUCCAAGUCUUCCUAGGACCACUGCCUCACCCUUUCAAAGAUGUGAUAAUAGCUCGAGAGUAAUAUAAAUUAAUUUACGGACACUAAAAAUAAAAAAUCAGAUCAAAUUAAUCAAUAAUAAAUUAAGGAUGAAAUCCAAAUUAAUCCUAAAUUUUGAUAAUAUAUAAAUAUUAUAAUUAUAAAUUAUAUAACCAAAUCAGAAUUGAAUUAACUUACUUGGCACUAAAAUUGAUAAAGACAGAAUAAUAAUUUAAUCGAUGAAAAGUCAAAGUCUUCUAAUAAAUCCAUAAAAGAUAUGAUAAUCCAAAUAACACACUUAUAUAUCAAAAUUUAUGGUCCAAAAACUAUAGCAAAAUAUCCUAAAUACACCACAUUAAAUAAUAGUUCAAAAAUAUUCAAUAAACAAUUGUUUUCAUUCAUAAUUUUGUUAUUUUAAAAACUAAUAAUUUGGUUGAUGUUAACCUAUAUUUUAAUAUAUAAUUAUAUUAUUUUCAUCUUAUUUUAUUUAACCAGAAACAAUAUUUUUAUAAUAUUUAUUACUUUAUUUAUAUUAAAAUAUAUAAUUUCAUUAAAAAAAUUGAAUAAAAUUAAGAGAAUAACUCUAUGCCUCUCUAAGUCUACAAGACUCAUUUCAAGUCUACCGAGGACUACUACCUCAACCAUCGAGAGAUGUGAAAGUAUAGUUUGAGAGUGACAUAAAUUAUUUUCCUGACAAUAAAAUUUAAUAUCUAAUAUAAAUUAAUUAAAUUAGAUAAUAAUAAAUCAAAACUAAUUAUGAAUUAUGAUAAUAAUUAAAUAAAUUAUAAUUAAAUUAUAUAAAUCAACUCCAAAUGUACAAAUAACACUAAACCUUGGUUACUUUGUUGGUAAAUAAAUAUAAUAUAAUAAUCAAAUUGAUGAGAAAUCAAAAUCAUCUAAUAAAUUCACAAAAAAUAUAUAAUCAGUAUAUUAUAUUAGUAUCCACACACUUAUAUUUCAAAAUCUAUCCUCCGAACUUAUCAUCUCUGUAAACUACCCACAUAAAAUAAAAAUUUAAAGAUAUUAGAUAUUUAGUUAUUUUCAUUAUAUAUAAUUUUUCCACACUAAAUAACAAAAUAUCUUUAUCAAAUUAUUAUUUAUAAGUUUUUUGAAUAUCAGAUUCAUAACCCAGUUGAUCAGGAGAAACAUGGCCUACUCUGCAAAGCCUUCUCACCUUCUUCUCUUUGUUUUCUUUCUCUCAUCACUUGAAUCCAUUCUUGCAACAACACAAGAGGGAGAAGCUCUUGUGAAGUGGAAGAAUAGCCUAGCCCCUUCUUCUUUUCUCGACUCUUGGUCACUCACCAAUCUCGAAAAUCUUUGUAACUGGACUGGCAUUACUUGUAACUCUGCAGGUUCAGUCUCGGAGAUUAACCUUUGUGAGAAACAACUUGAUGGAAUGCUGUCCGAGUUUGGUUUCACUUCAUUUCCAAAUCUCAACAAUCUCAUCCUCGCAGAUAACUUCUUCUCGGGUCCCAUACCACCGGCCAUUGAGAAUUUAACACAGCUUCGAUUUCUUGAUUUAAGCUUUAAUUCUCUCCAUGGUCCCAUUCCGUUCCAGGUUAGCCAUCUUCAGAGCUUGCUCAUCUUAAACCUGUCACAGAAUGCAUUGCAAGCUCCAAAUUGGUCCCAUUUCUCUCCCAUGCCUUUCUUGCGCAUCCUCAACCUCAGUUACAAUCCUCUUGCGUCGAAAUUCCCAUAUUUUAUAUCCAAUUCUCAUAGCCUGACUCACCUUAGCCUUAAUUAUAACGAGUUUACUGGUGAUUUAGUACGUGAAUCAGUAUUUGCCAAUCUGCAUAAUCUUGAAGUGCUCAGUCUUGUUGGCAAUUCUUUUGAGGGGCCAUUUCCGCCGGAUGUAGUCCAGCUUUCCAAAUUAAAACGUCUCUUCCUGUCAGGUAACAAAUUUUCAGGUUCAAUUCCCAAUGACAUAAGGUUGCUUUGUGAUCUUGAAUACCUAUAUUUAGGCAACAAUUCCUUUGAAGGACCGCUUCCACCAAAUAUAUUCAAGCUUUCAAAAUUAAAAAAUCUUGUUAUUUGGAGUAAUAAGUUUUCAGGUUCUAUUUCCAAUGAUAUAGGUUUGCUUUCUGAGCUUGACACCCUCAAUCUUCGCUCUAAUUUUUUUAAGGGUCCGCUUCCGUCAAAUAUAUUCAAGCUUUCCAAAUUAACAAGUCUUGACCUCGCAGACAAUAGAAAUUUAUUUGAAGGAAGUAUUCCUAUUGGACUGGGACUCUUGACUAACCUCAGGUUCUUAGAUCUACAUUCCAGUAAUCUCAGUGGCUAUAUUCCAUCUGACAUUGGAAACCUGAAGCUACUAGUACUUCUUAAUCUCGGUUCUAAUAAAUUGACUGGACCGCUUUUAAAGAUCGUUUCUAAUCUCACAAAUCUUAUAUAUUUUGAUGUAAGUGAUAAUAGUCUUCGUGGAAAUAUUCAGAGUGACUUGUGGAUAUAUAACGAUCAUCCAACUUUGGAAUACAUCAAUUUAAGUGGGAACCAUUUUACGGGUAUAGUUUUUCUCUAUAGAUCUUUUCCUUUUGUCAUAUGUAACUAAGCUAGUAAUCUGGUUAUUGCAGUUUUACCAAAGUUUCAACAAUCUUGACAGGUGAGCUUCCAACAACAAUUUGCAAUGUCACUUCCCUUUCAAUUCUUGAUUUGUCAAAUAAUGAAUUAAGUGGUGCACUUCCAAACUGUUUCGGGAAUCUUGCUGAUGGAUUGCUUUACAUUAAUCUUGCUAAUAAUCAGUUUCGAGGAACAAUACCAACUACUUUCUCCAGGAGUUGUCAGCUGACAUAUCUAAACAUGGAUGAUAAUGAGUUUGAAGGAUUGUUGCCCCCAUCUUUGGCGAACUGUAAGCACUUGAAAAUUUUUGAUAUUGGCAAUAAUAAAAUAGGUGGUACAUUUCCGUCAUGGCUUUAUGCACUUGGAGAGCUAGAAGUCCUUGUCUUGCGAUCAAAUAAACUCUGUGGUACAAUAAGUGGAAGGAGCAUAGAAGAUCCCUUCCCCAAGUUGCGGAUUGUGGAUCUGUCCAACAACCACUUCACAGGCCAUUUGCCAAUUCAAUACUUUAAGAAUAUGAAAUCAACUGAUAAUUUGUAUAGUUAUCAGCUUUUCACAGCAGUUUUUUCUUUCCAUUAUGAAGCAGCAGUCUCAUUAAUUGUGAAGGGAACAGAGUAUGAAGUGGCAAAUAACCUUCAUAUUUACACAGCCAUUGAUCUGUCGUGCAACAAAUUUCAGGGAGAAAUUCCAAAGGUUACUGGAGAGCUUAGAUGGCUUGCAUUGCUCAACUUAUCUCAUAAUAGUCUAACAGGACCUAUCCCAUCAUUGCUGGGAAAUAUGAAAGAACUCCAAUCUUUAGAUUUGUCUUCAAAUCAACUGACAGGGGCCAUUCCACCUCAGCUAACUGCAUUGACAUUUCUAGAGGUCUUAAACCUCUCGGGAAACCAUCUUAGUGGAGAGAUUCCUCAGAAAGGACAGUUCAGCACAUUUAACAAUGAUUCUUAUCUAGGAAACUCCGCGUUAUGUGGAUCACCUUUGACGAAGAAAUGUGCAAACACAGCAUCACCUCCACAAGAAGUCGGAAAUGGUGAUGAAGANGAUUUGUCUUCAAAUCAACUGACAGGGGCCAUUCCACCUCAGCUAACUGCAUUGACAUUUCUAGAGGUCUUAAACCUCUCGGGAAACCAUCUUAGUGGAGAGAUUCCUCAGAAAGGACAGUUCAGCACAUUUAACAAUGAUUCUUAUCUAGGAAACUCCGCGUUAUGUGGAUCACCUUUGACGAAGAAAUGUGCAAACACAGCAUCACCUCCACAAGAAGUCGGAAAUGGUGAUGAAGAAGAUGGUGGUGAUGAAUUGACAUGGGAAGCAAUCGUGAUGGGAUAUGGAUGUGGACUGAUAUGUGGAUUGUCAUCGGCAUACAUUGUUCUCAAACUAGGAAAGCCUUGGUGGUUUGUGAGAUAUAUCGAAGUACUGCAACAGAAGUUGAUGAAAAGAUGCUUGAAGAAAGGUACUGGUCGAUCAAGACGAACUUGAAAGUUGUUGUCCAUGUGGACAUUUCUGAACCAGUAGUGUACUAGCUGCAUAAGUAUUUGGUAUUAUGUAAUAUUCUGUUUGGUGGGGAAUCAUAAUAAUUUUUCUUCCUGUAGGGGUAUUAAUAUUAACCUUGUUAUCUUGAUCAAUGUUAAUGCAAAUUAAAAUGAAUGAAAAAACAAAAAAUAUGCAUCAAAUCCACUCCUGCUGUACCAAGAUCCAUUAAUUUGCUUUGGUCUUUUACAUAACAAUUUAACAGCGCACUUCCCCACUGUUUGAAAGAAUUUAAUAAUAAACUCGAGUUUUCCAGGACUGCACCAAGUUCACAUAUUCAAUAUCACACAUUCCAGUCUCAGCUUCAGCUCCCAGGGUAGAAGAGAAGUUUUAUGUACAAUAACAGUUAAUUACCAUAGCUACUUUAGUCUUGGUUCAGUUUUUGCAGAGAUAAUUACCAGAUUUUGAAAUCCUUCAUGUGAGGAAACAAAUAUCGAGAGACAUUUCUGUUUACAAAUAUAGGUUUUCUAGACAUAAUUACAGGAACUUUUACCAUUAUACACUUUUAUAGUACUGGUUAAGAGUUUGUUGUUCAGCCUAGUGAAAGAAAUAAUUCCUCUGCUAUUUCAUUAACAUUGCUGGUAUAUAUACAAUGUACAACACACCCUUCAAGGCUAUAAUCAGGGAACCUAAAAUAUAUCCAAAACUAAUCAUAGAAACAGACUAACUAAUUACAAUAAAUCAUAUCCAGAAAUAUCUCCACAGAUGUCGCAUAGAUAUCUUUAACACACCCCCUCAGUCGAAGCGGGAGGUAAACGAACACUGAGACUGUCUCUGAAGUCUUCAAAAAGAACACGCGGAAGACCUUUUGUAAAAAUAUCUGCUACUUGAUAUCUGGAUGGCACAUGAAGAACCCGUACUUCACCUCGUGCAACUUUUUCCCGAACAAAGUGAAUAUCCAUCUCAAUGUGUUUAGUACGUUGGUGUUGUACUGGAUUACCCGAUAAAUAAAUAGCACUGACAUUGUCGCAAUACACCACAGUUGCCUUUGUAACUGGACAAUGCAAUUCCAACAACAGAUUUCGGAGCCAACAUGAUUCAGAGACCACAUUAGCUACACCCCUAUACUCGGCCUCUGCACUGGAUUUGGAAAGAGUCGGUUGUCGCUUAGAAGACCAGGAAAUCAAGUUGUCACCCAAAAACACACAAUACCCAGAUGUAGACCGCCUCGUGUCGGGGCACCCACCCCAGUCAGCGUCAGUAUAUGAAACAAGAGAGGACUGUGAAGAGGAAUAGAGAUGUAAACCAUAGUCCUGUGUUCCUUGAAUGUACCUAAUGAUUCUUUUAAGAGCUUGCAUAUGAGUAACCCGUGGAUCAUGCAUGUGCAGACAUACUUGUUGAACCGCAUAAGAAAUAUAUGGACGUGUGAAAGUCAGAUAUUAAAGUGCCCCAGCAAGACUCCGAUACAAUGAAGGAUUCUCAAACACAGAACCAACAGACGCACUAACCUUGGCCUUCGUAUCAACUGGUGUAGGUGAUGAUUUACAAGAGGACAUGCCAGCCCUCUCAAUUAUCUGUUGUGCAUAAUUCUUCUGUGACAGAAACAUGCCAGCCUUAUGACGAGUGACUGAUAUACCAAGAAAAGAACUCAAGGGGCCAAGAUCCUUCAUAGCAAAUUCUGAACUAAGAAGCUUUAUAAUCGAGACACGGAGAUCAUCAGACGACGCAGUGAGAAUUAUGUCAUCGACGUAAACCAGAAUAUAGGCCAUGUGAGAACCGUUGCGAUAAACGAAUAAUGAGGUGUCACAUUUGCUUCUAAUGAAACCAAUAGACAGAACAAAAUCAGCAAACUUCUCAGACCAAGUCCGGGGGGACUGCCUCAGGCCAUAAAUUGAUUUACGUAACAAACACACAUAAUCCGGAUGAGCACGAUCACGAUACCCCAAAGGUUGAUGCAUAUAUAUUGUUUCCUUUAAGUCACCAUGAAGGAAGGCAUUCUUUACAUCUAGCUGAUGAAUUGACCAGCCAUUCGAAAGAGAGAGAGAAAGCACUGUGCGGAUUGUAGCUGGUUUCACUACCGAGCUAAAAGUUUCGCCACAAUCAAUACCCACCAGCUGAGUUUUUCCAUUUCCGACAAGGCGAGCUUUAUGCCUCUGAAACACACCAUCCGAAUUUUCUUUAUGAGCAAAAACCCACAUAGACCGAAUAACAUUAACAUCAGGUGGACGGGGCACCAAAUCCCAUGUCUUAUUUUGAAUAAGUGCAUUAUACUCCUCAUCCAUGGCUAUUUUCCAAUUCGGGUCCCGAAGAGCAUCAACAGGGCUAUGUGGUAAAGGUGACCGAGGAGCUGUUGUGUUAUAUGCAUGAUCAGAAUAUCGCAUAUUUGGUUUAAAAAUACCUCGUUGGCUCCUGGUAACCAUUGGGUGCUGGUUUAUAGGAGUAGGGGAAGAUGUUGAUGUUUGUGGACUCGAGGAGGAAGAUGAACUCAAUGAGGAGGGAGAUGGCGACGUUGAUGAAAGUAAGGGAGAGGAGGAUUGGUUUGAGAGUACUGGACUCGGUGAAAGAGAAUGAGGAGAACUCCCAGGGGAAGGUGAGAAACUACCAUGUCGUGUCUCAUGUGUGUGAGUACUGUCUGGGUGAGCAGACACAGACACAGAAGGACUUUGAUUUUGCAGAUGAUACACUGAAUAAGGUGAUAAGCCAUCUGCUAAAAAAUCAUAGGUAGAAGUGGAUGAAUCAUGUAACUUAGCAAACGGAAACACAUGCUCGUCAAAUAACACAUGGCGACAAAUUAUAAUCUGUGCUGUGAUGAUAAAUCAUAACAUUUGUAACCACGGUGAUUAGCCGGAAACCCCAAGAAAACACAAGGUGUUGAACGAGAUUGCAAUUUAUUAAUUGUGGUAGAGGGAAUGAGAGGAUAGCACAAGCAACCAAAGACCCGAAUGUGAGAAAAUGAGGGAACCCGUUGAUAUAGGAUUUCAAGAGGUGAUAAAUUGCCUAAGACCUUGUUCGGAAGAACAUUUAGAAGAUAGGUGGCCAUUUGUAAUGCAUGAUUCCAAAAAGAUGAAGGAAGAGAUGCAUGAGCUAAGAGUGUUCGAGUGACAUUAUUAAUAGUUCGAAUUUUUCUUUCUGCUUUCCCAUUUUGAGAAGAAGUAUGAGGACAAGACAACCGAAAAGUCAUGCCAUUGUUCUUAAAAAAAUCCCAGAAAUGAUGAUUAGUAAAUUCCCUCCCAUUAUCGCAUUGCACAUUUUUAAUGGUACACUCGAAUUGGGUGAGAAUAUGAUUGUGAAACGCCACAAAUUUAUCAAAGACAUCAGAUUUCUUAGCAAUUGGAAAAGUCCAAAGAAAAUUGGAGAAAUCAUCUAAUAACACAAGAUAGUACUUAUGACCCAUAGUACUCAAAACCGGAGAUGUCCAAAGAUCACAAUGAAUUAUAUCAAAUGGCUUUAAAGUACUUGAACUAGACGAAACAAAUGGCAUCUUGAUAUGUUUUCCAAACACACAAGAUCGACAAAUGCUAGAAUGUGAAAGCUUAGAACAAUGAAUGCUUUUAUUGAGUCGAAGAGCAUCCAAAACUUGUGCACCGGGAUGGCCUAAACGAUCAUGCCAAAGAGAGGAAUUGAUGGCUGCAAAAGUAGAAUGAAGAGCUCGAUUGUUGAUAGAUUGUGUAAGAGGAUAAAGAUCGCCUUGGCUCUCACAUCUCAUUAUUAGCACUCACGUCUGUAAAUCCUUCACAGAAAACCCAAAAGGAUCAAAUUCCACCGUAACAGAAUUAUCAGUGGUAAAUUUGCGAACAGAAAUAAGGUUUUUAACAAUUUUGGGAGCGUGGAGGACAUUUUUAAGGGACAAAGGAAGGCCAGGAGAUGGUAAUGCAGUAUGACCAUAUCCUUGAAUUGAAAUAAUAUUGCCAUCACCCACAACAAUGCCAUUAUGAUGAGAAUUAUGUUGAUUGCUCAAAUUAACAUAGGACGAGAAAUUACCAUUUGAGGAUGUCAUAUGAGAUGUAGCACCAGUAUCCAUGUACCACGACGGAUCAGGUUGAUUGAGAGUCAUGGUAUGCAUUGCAGAUUCAAUAUCCGUUGGAACAAAAGAAGCUGACUGCCCAACCGUUGUUCCUGUGAAAGCCUGCUGUGGUCGAGGACCAAGAACUCCAGGCUGUGGUUGUUGAACUCCCGUGGAACGGGGCUGAGUCCAGCCCUGAGUUGGGAAUGGACAAGGGGGAGCGGACCAUCCCUGCAUCCAAGGUGGAGCAGCCAAGAUUGGAAAUAACCCGGUGCCCACUGUUGUGAACCCCAUUGCAUCCUAUUCUGUUGUUGUCCACCACCACGGCCUUGACCCAUACGACCCCCACCAGAACCACGACCUCCACCUGAACCAGAUCGUUUAUUAUUUUUCCUGUGGUUAUUAUGCUUAUUGCCACGGGGAGGUGCGGAUCCCUGAUUCGAGCCUGUGUCGUCAAAAUCCGUCUGUGAGGCAACCAACAUUGCAGAGUCAGACCCUGUGGCAGCUUCUUUUGCUAAAGCAGCCUCCUCUAAUGUUAACAUAGACCGGGCUUGAUAGAAUUGUGGGAGAGGGUCACUCUGUCGAAUUAAGGUCCCAACACCACGGUAUGCCCUUGGAAGGCCGGAAACCAGUUGAAUAACAAGUCUACUAUCCGAGAUUGGUGCACCAACAUUUUUCAGUUGAUCAGCAAGAGAUUUGAGACGCUGACAGUAAGCCGAAACAUUCGGAAAAUUCUCCAUUUUUGUACUGGAGAAUUCAGCCUCCAAAGUUACCACACGGGAAUUCUUGUUGUCCUGGAAUAUGUCACGCAACCUGUUCCAUGCCUCCAUAGCAGUGGCAUCUGGUUCAAUGAUCGUAUGUAAAAGAUCAUUGGAGAUAGUCGCAUAAAUCCAAGACAGAACCGUAGCAUCAAGCGUCGACCACAAUUCCUUUUCAUCCUCAGUAGAAAGAACCUUCUCUUUGCCUGUGGCAGGAGGAAUAAUAUGAGAAAGCACCUUAUGAGAACGUGCGGUAAUUUUGAAAAGCUCCGCCCAUGUCGAGUAUUGACCAUUCUCCAUCUCAAGAAUAAUGGGGAUAUGAUUGCGGAUAUUUGACACCGCAAGAGCUGGAUGAAAGGAGCUCUUGUUACCAGACAUUGGCUGCUGAUUAGUUGUAUCAGUCAUGAUAAUGAGAAAAGAAAAGAAGAUGAGUGCUUAGCGGAAGAAAAGAAAGAAAGAAAGAUCGUGGUAUUGCCUUAAGGCUCUGAUACCAUGAAAGAAAUAAUUCCUCUGCUAUUUCAUUAACAUUGCUGGUAUAUAUACAAUGUACAACACACCCUUCAAGGCUAUAAUCAGGGAACCUAAAAUAUAUCCAAAACUAAUCAUAGAAACAGACUAACUAAUUACAAUAAAUCAUAUCCAGAAAUAUCUCCACAGAUGUCGCAUAGAUAUCUUUAACACCUAGUCCUAAACUAAAAUUAUCAGUUCGAUGUGAAAUACGAAAUCAUAUUGCAGACGUCAUUCGUUGUUCCACCUAGUCCAAAACUACUCUAAAACUAUAUUGCUGGUAGUCUUUCAGUUCAUCCUACUGUAUGCAAUAGUUUCAUAUAUAGGUAACUCGGCCUUGUGUGGACUUCCUUUAACAAAAAAAUGUCUGCACUCAGUGUCACCACCACUGGAAGUCGAAAAUAGUGAUGAUGAAGAUGAUGCUCAUGGUGAACUUAAUUGGGAAGUAAUCCUGACGGGAUGUGGAUGUGGAUUGAUUUGCGGAUUGUCUUCUGGGUACAUUGUUUUCAAAAUAGAAAGGCCUUGGUGAUUUCUGCAAAGUGCUGCAACUUAAGUUGAUGUUACGAAGCACGAAAAAUAUUGUUCGACCAAGAUCAACAACUUGAAAAUGUGUUCUGAAUCUGUAUUAAUAUUAAAAUAUUAUAAUAUUAUUCAUUUAACACUAUCGUCCAAUCAAUUUAAUUGAUUAUCAUUUAAUCAAUAUAUUAGAUAAAUAUUAAUUGUCUUCCUUACCUCUAACCAAUGAUGAAAUUAAUAACCUCCCUAUAAAUCUAUUAAGACAGCUUUGAGUUGUCAAAGUCCUCAAACAUAUUAAACACUUUGAAAAAUUUGUUUCUGCAAGUCAAAAUUGCAAACAACACUUUGAAAACUUAGGUGCCGAAUAGUCCUUAUAUUGGAUUAAUCAGAUUUAAAUAUUUAAUGGCGCUAACAAAAUCUGUUGAAGUUAGCAGUUAUAAGGCAUAUAAUUAGAAAAAUGGCACAGUAUAUAAAGCCUCAUCAUCUUUUUCACUCUGUUUUAUUUCUCUCAUUACUUCCAUCCAUUCUUACAACACUAGCUGAAACAAGACGAGAGGGAGAAGCUCUUGUGAAAUGGAAGAAUAGCCUAGCCCCGUCUUCUUUUCUCGAUACUUGGUCACUAACCAAUCUCGAUGAUCUUUGCAACUGGACUGGCAUUACUUGUAACUCUGCAGGUUCAGUCUCUGAGAUUAACCUUAAACAAAAACAACUCAGUGGAACGAUUUCUGAGUUUGGUUUCACUUCAUUUCCAAAUCUCAACAAUCUGAACAUAGCACGAAACAACUUUUACGGUCCAAUACCACCAGCCAUUAAGAAUUUGACACAGCUUCAAUACCUUGAUUUAAGCUUUAAUCAUCUCAACGGUUCCAUCCCGUACCAGGUUAGCCAUCUUCAGAAAUUACAAAUCUUACACCUGUCGCAUAAUGAAUUGCAAGCUCCAAAUUGGUCCAAUUUCUCUUCCAUGCCUUUUUUGCGCAUCCUCGGCCUCGGCAGCAAUAAUCUGGAGUCAGAAUUCCCAGAAUUUAUAUCCAACUCUCAUGGCCUCACUUUCCUUGACCUUUCUUUUAACAAGUUUACAGGUGAUCUUGUGCAUGAAUCAAUUUUUACCGAUCUACGUAAUCUCGAAAACCUCCAUCUUGCUAAAAAUUACUUUGAGGGGCCGAUUCUACCUAGUAUAUUUAAGCUUUCCAAUUUAAAAAUUCUUGAACUAUCAGGUAAUAAAUUUUCUGGUUCUAUUUCCAACUAUAUAGGUUUGCUUUCGGAGCUUGAGACCCUCUAUCUUGACUUCAAUUUUUUUGAAGGACCAAUUCCACCAAAUAUAUUCAACCUUUCUAAACUAAAAAUUCUUGAACUAACAGGUAAUAACUUUUCAGGUCCUGUUUCUAAUGAUAUAAGUUUGCUUUCCGAGCUUGAAAACCUCAAUCUUGCCUUAAAUUCUUUUGAUGGGCCUUUUCCAUCAAAUAUGUUCAACCUAACCAUAUUGAGACAUCUAAAUCUCUAUGGCAAUAAAAAUUUAUUUAAAGGAAGUAUCCCACUGGAUAUCAAAAUAAGUCACAAGGACUAAUUAAUUACAUCUAUGAAGCAUCUAUCUCCUUAAAUGUGAAAGGAACAGAGUAUGAAGUGAAAAACAUUCUUCAUAUUUACACAACCAUUGAUCUGUCAUGCAACAAAUUUCAUGGACAUGUUCCAAAGAGAGCUUAAUUAAAUGGCUUGCAUUGCUCAAUCUAUCUCAUAAUAGUCUUAACAGACAUAUGUUCUGCAUUAUUAUUAUACUUUCAUCAAUAUUUUUAAACANAACAAAAACAACUCAGUGGAACGAUUUCUGAGUUUGGUUUCACUUCAUUUCCAAAUCUCAACAAUCUGAACAUAGCACGAAACAACUUUUACGGUCCAAUACCACCAGCCAUUAAGAAUUUGACACAGCUUCAAUACCUUGAUUUAAGCUUUAAUCAUCUCAACGGUUCCAUCCCGUACCAGGUUAGCCAUCUUCAGAAAUUACAAAUCUUACACCUGUCGCAUAAUGAAUUGCAAGCUCCAAAUUGGUCCAAUUUCUCUUCCAUGCCUUUUUUGCGCAUCCUCGGCCUCGGCAGCAAUAAUCUGGAGUCAGAAUUCCCAGAAUUUAUAUCCAACUCUCAUGGCCUCACUUUCCUUGACCUUUCUUUUAACAAGUUUACAGGUGAUCUUGUGCAUGAAUCAAUUUUUACCGAUCUACGUAAUCUCGAAAACCUCCAUCUUGCUAAAAAUUACUUUGAGGGGCCGAUUCUACCUAGUAUAUUUAAGCUUUCCAAUUUAAAAAUUCUUGAACUAUCAGGUAAUAAAUUUUCUGGUUCUAUUUCCAACUAUAUAGGUUUGCUUUCGGAGCUUGAGACCCUCUAUCUUGACUUCAAUUUUUUUGAAGGACCAAUUCCACCAAAUAUAUUCAACCUUUCUAAACUAAAAAUUCUUGAACUAACAGGUAAUAACUUUUCAGGUCCUGUUUCUAAUGAUAUAAGUUUGCUUUCCGAGCUUGAAAACCUCAAUCUUGCCUUAAAUUCUUUUGAUGGGCCUUUUCCAUCAAAUAUGUUCAACCUAACCAUAUUGAGACAUCUAAAUCUCUAUGGCAAUAAAAAUUUAUUUAAAGGAAGUAUCCCACUGGAUAUCAAAAUAAGUCACAAGGACUAAUUAAUUACAUCUAUGAAGCAUCUAUCUCCUUAAAUGUGAAAGGAACAGAGUAUGAAGUGAAAAACAUUCUUCAUAUUUACACAACCAUUGAUCUGUCAUGCAACAAAUUUCAUGGACAUGUUCCAAAGAGAGCUUAAUUAAAUGGCUUGCAUUGCUCAAUCUAUCUCAUAAUAGUCUUAACAGACAUAUGUUCUGCAUUAUUAUUAUACUUUCAUCAAUAUUUUUAAACAUUUCUCAAUAUGUAUUUUCAAAGAAUUCUCAAGCACUUGAACAUUUGGACCGGUUCUUUCGAAGCCAAGAUGCCCAGGUUAUAUCAUGGCCAUACACAAAAAUGCCCAAAAAUAAAUAAAUUAAGAGAGAUUGCUCUGGGUCUCCCCAAGCCUUCCAGGACUCAUUCCAAGUCUUCUGAGGACCACUGCCUCGCCCUUUCAAAGACGUGAUAGUAGCUCAAGAGUGAUAUAAAUUACUUUCCGGACACUAAAAAUAAAUAAUCCGAUCAAAUUAAUUAAUAAUAAAUUAAGGAUGAAAUCCAAAUUAGUCCUAAAUUUUGAUAAUAUAUAAAAAUUAUAAUUAUAAAUUAUAUAACCAAAUGAGAAUUGAAUUAACUUACUUGGUACUAAAAUUGAUAAAUACAGUAUAGUAAUUUAAUUGAUGAAAAGUCAAAGUCUUCUAAUAAAUCCAUAAAGAAUAUGAAAAUCAAAAUAACGAAAAUUAUAAUUGAAAAAUCAAAAUCAAUAGUGUAUUGGAAUAUUGUUCACACACUUAUAUAUCAAAAUUUGUGGUCCAAAAAUUAUAGCACAAUAUCCUAAAUACACCACAUUAAAUAAUAGUUCAAAAAUAUUCAAUAAAUAAUUGUUUUCAUUCAUAAUUUUGUUAUUUUAAAAACUAAUAAUUUGGUUGAUGUUAACCUAUAUUUUAAUAUAUAAUUAUAUUAUUUUCAUGUUAUUUUAUUUAACCAAAAACAAUAUUUUUAUAAUAUUUAUUACAUUAAUUAUAUUAAAAGAUAUAAUUUCAUUAAAAAAAUUGAAUAAAAUUAAGAGGAUAACUCUAUGCCUCUCCAAGUCUACAAGACUCAUUUCAAGUCUACCGAGGACCACUACCAUUGAGAGAUGUGAAAGUAGUUUGAGAGUGACAUAAAUUAUUUUCCUGACAAUAAAAUGUAAUAUCUAAUAUAAAUUAAUUAAAUUAGAUAAUAAUAAAUCAAAACUAAUCAUGAAUUAUGAUAAUAAUUAAAUAAAUUAUAAUUAAAUUAUAUAAAUCAACUCCAAAUGAUACAAAUAACACUAAACCUUAGUUACUUUAUUGGUAAAAUAAAUAUAAUAUAAUAAUUAAAUUGAUGAAAAAUCAAAAUCAUCUAAUAAAUUCACAAAAAAUAUAUGAUCAUUAGUAUAUUAUAUCAGUAUCCACACACUUAUAUUUCAAAAUCUAUCCUACAAAAUUAUCAUCUCUGUAAACUAGCCACAAAAAAUAAAAAUUUAAAGAUAUUAGAUAUUUAGUUAUUUUCAUUAUAUAAUUUUUCCACACUAAAUAACAAAAUAUCUUUAUCAAAUUAUUAUUUAUGAAUUAAAUAUUCAAGUUAUAAUUCCAGCAUGCAGCGUAUAAAUAGAAGUGUGCAGUAUGAUAUCAGAUUCAUAACCCAGUUGAGGAGAAACAUGGCACACUCUGUGAAGCCUUCUCACCUUCUUCUCUUUGUUUUCUUUCUCUCAUCACUUGAAUCCAUUCUUGCAACAACACGAGAGGGAGAAGCUCUUGUGAAAUGGAAGAAUAGCCUAGCCCCUUCUUCUUUUCUCGACUCUUGGUCCCUCACCAAUCUCGAUAAUCUUUGUAACUGGACUGCCAUUACUUGUAACUCUGCAGGUUCAGUCUCUAAGAUUAACCUUUUUGAGAAACAACUUAAUGGAAUGCUGUCCGAGUUCGGUUUCACUUCAUUUCCAAAUCUCAACUAUCUCACACUCGCAGACAACUUCUUCUCGGGUCCGAUACCACCAGCCAUUGAGAAUUUAACACAGCUUCAAUAUCUUGAUUUAAGCAUGAAUAGUCUUAAUGGUCCCAUUCCGUUCCAGGUUAGCCAUCUUCAGAGCUUGCUCAUCUUGAACCUGUCACAGAAUGCAUUGCAAGCUCCAAAUUGGUCCCAUUUCUCUCCCAUGCCUUUCUUGCGCAUCCUCGACCUUAGUUUUAAUAAUCUUGUGUCGAAAUUCCCAGAAUUUAUAUCCAAUUCUCAUAGCCUGACUCACCUUAACCUUUCAAAUAACAAGUUUACUGGUCAUCUUGUGCAUAAAUUUACCAAUCUACAAAAUCUUGAAACCCUCUACCUUCAGAUCAAUUCUUUUGAGGGGCCGUUUCCACCAGAUAUAGUCCAGCUUUCCAAAUUAAAACGACUCUCCCUGUCAUGUAACAAAUUUUCAGGUUCAAUUCCCAAUGACGUAAGGUUGCUUUUUGGUCUUGAAUCCCUAAAUUUAGGCAACAAUUCCUUUGAAGGACCGCUUCCACCAGAUAUAUUCAAGCUUUCAAAGUUAAAACGACUUGUUCUUUGGAGUAAUAAGUUUUCAGGUUCUGUUUCCAAUGAUAUAGGUUUGCUUUCUAAUCUUGAACACCUCGAUCUUGACUCUAAUUUUUUUGAGGGGCCGUUUCCGUCAAAUAUAUUCAAGCUCAGAUUAAAAAUUCUAAACCUCUCAAACAAUAGAAAUUUAUUUCAAAGAAGUUUUCCUAUUGGACUGGAACUCUUGAGUAACCUCAGCUACUUAGGUCUACAUUCCAGUAAUCUCAGUGGCAAUAUUCCAUCUUACAUUGGAAACCUGAAGCUACUAGAAUUUCUUGAUCUCGGUUCUAAUCAAUUGACUGGACCGCUUUCCAAGAUCGUUUAUAAUCUCACAAAUCUUAUACUUCUUGAUGUAAGUUAUAAUAGUCUUCAUGGAAAUAUUCAGAGUGACUUGUGGCAAUAUAACGAUCAUCCAACUUUGGAAUACAUGAGUUUGAGUGGGAACUAUUUUACGGGUAUAGUUUUUCUCUAUAGAUCUUUUCUUUUGUCAUAUGUAACUAAGCUACUAAUCUGAUUAAUUGCAGUUUUACCAAAGUUUCAACAAUCUUGACAGGUGAGCUUCCAACAACAAUUUGCAAUGUCACUUCCCUUUCGGUUCUUGAUUUGUCAAAUAAUGAAUUAAGUGGUGCACUUCCAAACUGUUUCGGGAAUCUUGCUGAUAGAUUGCUUUUCAUUAAUCUUGCUAAUAAUCAGUUUCGAGGAACAAUACCAACUACUUUCUCCAGGAGUUGUCAGCUCAAAUAUCUAAACAUGGAUAAUAAUGAGUUUGAAGGAUUGUUGCCCCCGUCUUUGGAAAACUGUAAGCACUUGAGAAUUCUUGAUAUUGGCAAUAAUAAAAUAGGUGGUACAUUUCCGUCAUGGCUUUAUGUACUUGGAGAGCUAGAAGUCCUUCUCUUGCGAUCAAAUAAACUCUAUGGCACAAUAAGUGGAAGGAGCAUAGAAGAUCCCUUCCCCAAGUUGCGGAUUGUGGAUCUGUCCAACAAUCAAUUCACAGGCCAUUUGCCAAUUCAAUACUUUAAGAAUAUGAAAUCAACUGAUAAUUUGUAUCGUUUCCAGGAUGGCAAAGGAGUUUUUUGUUUCCGUUAUGAAGCAUCUGUCUCAUUAACUGUGAAGGGAACAGAGUAUGAAGUGAAAAAAAUCCUUCAUAUUUACACAACCAUUGAUCUGUCCUGCAACAAAUUUCAAGGAGAAAUUCCAGACGUUAUUGGAGAGCUUAGAUGGCUUGCAUUGCUCAACUUAUCUCAUAAUAGUCUAACAGGACCUAUCCCAUCAUUGCUGAGGAAUAUGAAAGAACUCCAAUCUUUAGAUUUGUCUUCAAAUCAACUGACAGGGGCUAUUCCACCUCAGUUAACUGCAUUGACAUAUCUAGAGGUCUUGAACCUCUCGGGAAACCAUCUUAGUGGAGAGAUUCCUCAGAAAGGACAGUUCAGCACAUUCAACAAUGAUUCUUAUCUUGGAAACUCCGCGUUAUGUGGAUCACCUUUGACGAAGAAAUGUGCAAACACAGCAUCACCUCCACAAGAAGUCGGAAAUGGUGAUGAAGAUGAUGCUGGUGAUGAAUUGACAUGGGAAGCAAUCGUGAUGGGAUAUGGAUGUGGACUGAUAUGUGGAUUGUCAUCUGCAUACAUUGUUCUCAAACUAGGAAAGCCUUGGUGGUUUGUGAGAUAUGUCGAAGUACUGCAACUGAAGUUGAUGAAAAGAUAUGCUUGAAGAAUGGUACUGGCCGAUCAAGACGAACUUGAAAGUUGUUGUCCUUGUGCAUUUCUGAACCAGUUGUGUACUAUUCUCUUUGUGGCUGCAUAAGUAUUUGGUAUUGUGUAAUAUUCUGUUUGGUCUUGAAUCAUAAUGAUUCUUCUUGCUCCAGGGUUAUUAAUAUAAACCUUGGUAUUGUGUGCUAGCUGUAAUAUUCUGUUUGAUCAAUGUUUAUACCAGUAAUUUUAUGCUCCGCAGUGCAUCAUGCAGCUCUCAUAUUAUCUCUAUGAUUAACCUGAAUUCAGUUUCAUUUUGUUUCCGAAUCUCAACUACUUCAACUUGAGCUACAAUAGCUUCACUGGUCUAAUACCCCCAGAUAUUGAAAAUUUAACAGAGCUGCAAUACCUUGAUUUUAGCUCUAAUAAACUCACUGGUGCAAUUCCGGACCAGGUAAGCCAUCUUCAAACAUUGCGAACCUUAAACCUGUUGGAUAAUCACUUGGAAGCUCCAAACUGGUCCGCUUUUUCCCCUCUGCCUUCUCUGACAAACCUCUGUCUCAAUAAUAAUAAUCUUUCGUCGAAAUUCCCAGACUUCAUAUCAAAUUACAUCUUUUAUACGAUAUAUUAUGAAAACACUAUAUUUUGUAAUGUUCAUCUUAUCCUACCAGCAAAAUUACAUCGCUAACAAAAUUAUAUCAAUUUUAUUUUAUAAACUCAAAUAAUUUAAUUUAUGAAACAACUCUAUGAGAUUCUUAUCAUGAGUUAGAAUUCAAAUAAAUAAAGAGUUCAUAUUGAUAAGUGGAAUUGAUGUGCAAGUAAGGGGUAUAAAAAAAUCUCAAAAUAACUCCAAAAAGCACAUGACAUGUUUGAUUUAAUAGAACUGGUACAUAAACAGGGGGACCAUUAUAUUUAUAAGCAAGUGACCAACAAUAGUUUACUACUGAUAUUUUGUGAUAUUUUUUGUGAUAUUUUUUGAGACCUUUAACAUUAUUCUGUGAAGUGGUAUACUACUGUUACUAGUUCUGAAACUUCAAACAAAGUAGGCGCAACAUUGUAAGAGUGAUUAAUAAAGUUGAGAAACAGUGUGUACAUUGAGCAGUAUGACAAUCAGGUUCAGCAUAUAAUACAAUCAGAUUCACAAUCAGGUUCACGAGAAACAUGCUGCAUUCCAAAAAGCCUUAUUAUCUUCUUCACUAAAUAACAAGGCAAAUACAGCAUAUAAAUACAAGUGUGCAGUGUGGUAUUAGAUUCAUAACCCAGUUGAGGAGAAACAUGGCACACUUUGUAAGGCCUUCUCACCUUCUUCUCUUUGUUUUCUUUCUCUCAUCACUUGAAUCCAUUCUUGCAACAAGACAAGAGGGGGAAGCUCUUGUGAAGUGGAAGAAUAGCCUAGCCCCUUCUUCUUUUCUCCACUCUUGGUCACUCACCAAUCUCGAAAAUCUUUGNNNNNNNNNNNNNNNNNNNNNNNNNNNNNNNNNNNNNNNNNNNNNNNNNNNNNNNNNNNNNNNNNNNNNNNNNNNNNNNNNNNNNNNNNNNNNNNNNNNNNNNNNNNNNNNNNNNNNNNNNNNNNNNNNNNNNNNNNNNNNNNNNNNNNNNNNNNNNNNNNNNNNNNNNNNNNNNNNNNNNNNNNNNNNNNNNNNNNNNNNNNNNNNNNNNNNNNNNNNNNNNNNNNNNNNNNNNNNNNNNNNNNNNNNNNNNNNNNNNNNNNNNNNNNNNNNNNNNNNNNNNNNNNNNNNNNNNNNNNNNNNNNNNNNNNNNNNNNNNNNNNNNNNNNNNNNNNNNNNNNNNNNNNNNNNNNNNNNNNNNNNNNNNNNNNNNNNNNNNNNNNNNNNNNNNNNNNNNNNNNNNNNNNNNNNNNNNNNNNNNNNNNNNNNNNNNNNNNNNNNNNNNNNNNNNNNNNNNNNNNNNNNNNNNNNNNNNNNNNNNNNNNNNNNNNNNNNNNNNNNNNNNNNNNNNNNNNNNNNNNNNNNNNNNNNNNNNNNNNNNNNNNNNNNNNNNNNNNNNNNNNNNNNNNNNNNNNNNNNNNNNNNNNNNNNNNNNNNNNNNNNNNNNNNNNNNNNNNNNNNNNNNNNNNNNNNNNNNNNNNNNNNNNNNNNNNNNNNNNNNNNNNNNNNNNNNNNNNNNNNNNNNNNNNNNNNNNNNNNNNNNNNNNNNNNNNNNNNNNNNNNNNNNNNNNNNNNNNNNNNNNNNNNNNNNNNNNNNNNNNNNNNNNNNNNNNNNNNNNNNNNNNNNNNNNNNNNNNNNNNNNNNNNNNNNNNNNNNNNNNNNNNNNNNNNNNNNNNNNNNNNNNNNNNNNNNNNNNNNNNNNNNNNNNNNNNNNNNNNNNNNNNNNNNNAUUAAAACGUCUUUUUCUUUGGAGUAAUAAGUUUUCAGGUUCUGUUUCCAAUGAUAUAGGUUUGCUUUCUGAGCUUGAAUUUCUCAAUCUUUACGAUAAUUUUUUUGAGGGGCCGCUUCCAUGCAUCAAAUAUAUUCAAGCUCUCCAAAUUAAGGGUUCUUUACCUUAACGGUAAUAAACUUCUAGGUUCUCUUUCCAAUGAUAUAGGUUUGCUUUCUGAGCUUGAAAGCCUCGAUCUUAACUCCAAUUUUUUUGAGGGGCCGCUUCCGCCAAAUGUAUUCAAGCUCUCCAAACUAAAGAUUCUUUCCCUUUAUGAGAAUAACUUUUCAGGUUUUAUUUCUAAGGAUAUAGGUUUGCUUUCUGGACUUGAAACCCUCUAUCUUGACUCUAAUUUUUUUGAGGGUCCGCUUCCCCCACAUAUAUUUAGGCUGUCCAAAUUAAGAGAUCUGGACCUCUCAUACAGUAGAAAUUUAUUUGAAGGAAGUAUUCCUAUUGGACUGGGACUCUUGACUAACCUCAGGUACUUAGAUCUAUAUUCCAAUAAUCUCAGUGGCUAUAUUCCAUCUGACAUUGGAAACCUGAAGCUACUAGAAGGUCUUAUUCUCGGUUCUAAUAAAUUGACUGGACCAGUUUCAAAGAUCAUUUCUAAUCUCACAAAUCUUAUAUAUCUUGAUGUAAGUGAUAAUAGUCUUAGUGGAAAUAUUCAGAGUGACUUGUGGAAAUAUAACGAUCAUCCAACUUUGGAAUACAUCAAUUUAAGUGGGAACCAUUUUACGGGUAUAGUUUUUCUCUAUAGAUCUUUUCCUUUUCUCAUAUGUAACUAAGCUGGUAAUCUGAUUAUUGCAGUUUUACCAAAGUUUCAACAAUCUUGACAGGUGAGCUUCCAACAACAAUUUGCAAUGUCACUUCCCUUUCGGUUCUUGAUUUGUCAAAUAAUGCGUUAAGUGGUGCACUUCCAAACUGUUUCGGGAAUCUUGCUGAUGGAUUGCUUUACAUUAAUCUUGCUCAUAAUCAGUUUCGAGGAACAAUACCAACUACUUUCUCCAGGAGUUGUCAGCUGACAUAUCUGAACAUGGAUGAUAAUGAGUUUGAAGGAUUGAUGCCCCCAUCUUUGGCGAACUGUAAGCACUUGAAAAUUUUUGAUAUUGGCAAUAAUAAAAUAGGUGGUACAUUUCCGUCAUGGCUUUAUGUACUUGGAGAGCUAGAAGUCCUUGUCUUGAAAUCAAAUAAACUCUAUGGUACAAUAAGUGGAAGGAGCAGUGAAGAUCCCUUCCCCAAGUUGCGGAUUGUGGAUCUGUCCAACAAUCAAUUCACAGGCCAUUUGCCAAUUCAAUACUUUAAGAAUAUGAAAUCAACUGAUAAUUUGUAUCGUUAUCAGAAUGACACAAGAGUUUUUUCUUUCCAUUAUGAAGCAGCAGUCUCAUUAACUGUGAAGGGAACAGAGUAUGAAGUGAAAAAAAUCCUUCAUAUUUACACAACCAUUGAUCUGUCCUGCAACAAAUUUCAAGGAGAAAUUCCAGACGUUAUUGGAGAGCUUAGAUGGCUUGCAUUGCUCAACUUAUCUCAUAAUAGUCUAACAGGACCUAUCCCAUCAUUGCUGAGGAAUAUGAAAGAACUCCAAUCUUUAGAUUUGUCUUCAAAUCAACUGACAGGGGCUAUUCCACCUCAGUUAACUGCAUUGACAUAUCUAGAGGUCUUGAACCUCUCGGGAAACCAUCUUAGUGGAGAGAUUCCUCAGAAAGGACAGUUCAGCACAUUCAACAAUGAUUCUUAUCUUGGAAACUCCGCGUUAUGUGGAUCACCUUUGACGAAGAAAUGUGCAAACACAGCAUCACCUCCACAAGAAGUCGGAAAUGGUGAUGAAGAUGAUGCUGGUGAUGAAUUGACAUGGGAAGCAAUCGUGAUGGGAUAUGGAUGUGGACUGAUAUGUGGAUUGUCAUCUGCAUACAUUGUUCUCAAACUAGGAAAGCCUUGGUGGUUUGUGAGAUAUGUCGAAGUACUGCAACUGAAGUUGAUGAAAAGAUAUGCUUGAAGAAUGGUACUGGCCGAUCAAGACGAACUUGAAAGUUGUUGUCCUUGUGCAUUUCUGAACCAGUUGUGUACUAUUCUCUUUGUGGCUGCAUAAGUAUUUGGUAUUGUGUAAUAUUCUGUUUGGUCUUGAAUCAUAAUGAUUCUUCUUGCUCCAGGGUUAUUAAUAUAAACCUUGGUAUUGUGUGCUAGCUGUAAUAUUCUGUUUGAUCAAUGUUUAUACCAGUAAUUUUAUGCUCCACAGUGCAUCAUGCAGCUCUCAUAUUAUCUCUAUGAUUAACCUGAAUUCAGUUUCAUUUUGUUUCCGAAUCUCAACUACUUCAACUUGAGCUACAAUAGCUUCACUGGUCUAAUACCCCCAGAUAUUGAAAAUUUAACAGAGCUGCAAUACCUUGAUUUUAGCUCUAAUAAACUCACUGGUGCAAUUCCGGACCAGGUAAGCCAUCUUCAAACAUUGCGAACCUUAAACCUGUUGGAUAAUCACUUGGAAGCUCCAAACUGGUCCGCUUUUUCCCCUAUGCCUUCUCUGACAAACCUCUGUCUCAAUAAUAAUAAUCUUUCGUCGAAAUUCCCAGACUUCAUAUCAAAUUGUCGAAACCUGACUUACCUUGAUCUUUCAUUAAACUUGUUAACAGGUGAUUUGGUUCUUGGUAAUACGGAAUCGCUCUAUCACAGAAGUAAUUCUUUUGAGGGGUCAUUUCCACCAAAUAUAUUAAAACUUUCAAAAUUAAGAGUUCUUUCCCUAUCNCUUUCCCUAUCAUAUAAUAGAUUUUCAGGUUCUAUUCCGCAUGAUAUAGGAAUGCUUCGUGUUUUGGAAUCCCUUUUUUUUAGUAGCAGUUCUUUUGAUGGCCUGCUUUCACCAAAUUUAUUUAAGCUUCCAAAAUUAAAAGUUCUUUCCAUGUCAUUUAAUAACUUUUCGGGUUAUAUUCCAAAUGAAAUAGGAUUGCUUCAUGAUUUAGAGUCCCUUUAUUUUAAUGGAAAUUCUUUUGAGGCCGUUUCCACCAAAUAUAUUCAACCUUUCCAAAUUAAAAGUUCUUUACCUCUCAAAUAAUAACUUUUCAGGUUCUAUUCCUAAUGAUAUAAGUGUGCUUCGUGAUCUUGAGAUACUUGAUUUGUCCUCUAAUUCUUUUGAAGGGAUUAUUCCAUUGGAGCUGGGGUUCUUGAAUAAGCUGAGCUAUUUAUAUCUUGAUUCCAAUCAAUUGACUGGACCGCUUUUGAAGAACAUGUAUAAUCUCAGUAAUCUUAUUGAGAUCAACUUUAGUGGAAACCGCUUAACAGGUUUGCUAUUCAUUCUUGUUUUCUUCUUUAUGUAACUUCUUUAUGUAACUUCUUCAAUGCUGAUGAAAUGAUCACGAACCACAAUUUCACCAAAGCUCCUUUAAUUUCAACAGGUGAGUUUUCGACAGCAAUUUACAGAGAGAGAAUUACGAUGUUAUUAGGGAAAUCUAAAGAGAAGGUGCAGAGACCUCGGCAUAAUGAUCCUCCAACCUCUCAUUAACAAUGUCCAGGUUUCUUUAAAAGUAUUAAAUGUUAUUAACAUAGUACUUAAUGGUGUUAUAAAGAGAGUCGUGAUGUAACACUAUAUUUUGUUUACGAGAUAUUUUAAGUGUAAGAAGGUCCAUGCUGAGUUGUGAACAAUUAUUCUCACGUAUAUUAUCAAUGGUGAACAUCUUUAUUAGUAAGAUUGUGCUUUUUAGUUGGAUUGUGGUCCUUCUGUUGCUCCUUGGUAAGAUUUUUCGUCCUAGGUGGGAUUGUUAGGCACAAUGCCAGUCUAAUCAAGUUUGCGAAGGAAGUGUUAAAUACUAGAAUUAUUAAACCUGUAUAUAAAUUUAGAUGUCUGCACAGCGUUGUUACAUUGUCGAGUAGACAACUAAUUUUAAUCUGGUGGCAGGAAAUAGGGAAUCAAGAAGAAGAUGCAGCCAACAAUGAGAAGCUAGAGAAGCAAUUGAACUACUCGAACAAGAGCAAAAGCGGAUAGAAGCAGAACCAGAUGUUAAACUAGAGGCAAAAAAGAGAGCCUCCAACAGGCUUAUUUUAAGGUAAAUUACAAGAAAAGAAAGUCUGCCAUCAAUGUUAGACAAAAAGAUAUGCCGAUGCUCACAGAUAAUAAUAGUAGCAGGCGUACUUACUCUCUCUACAUAUAAUACUGUAACAAAGGUUUUCAAUGAGCCAAUUUAUUCCAACUAAGCAGGCACUAAGCAGCCACGUCAGAUCCACCUUAGCAAUCACUUUGCAUUUGUGAUGAUGAUCACAAUUAAAUCUUUAUCCCAAUGAUUUUUCUAUUAAUCUUUUGUGGAAUUCUAUGUCUGCAGAGAGAGCAAUACGUGUUGGUCAUGGUUUCUAUAAGUGAAGGUGAGACAACAAUGGUGUUCUCUUUGCCUCAAUUACACCCCUAAUUGCUGGCUAUUUGAGCUGCUGAAAGUUUAAUAAUGGCAAUCGUUUGUAGCUCGAAGAGAAUGAUGUAAGAAUUUAAUCUCAAUAGGAAGCUGUAGAACACAACAAUAUUGCAUAUAGAAGCCAUCCAGCUGCACACCCUGAUCACGGAGUUUUUGAGUCUUUAGAAUGCAAAAAUACAAUGCACAUGGGUAUGCCUACAAGUGGAGAUAUUUAGAAAACUGCUUCUUGUGCACAGUUAGUUAAAUAUUUACUAAUAAUAUAUCUUCAAUAACAACAUUACAGCUACAGUUCAGCAAUGAAUGAUCAUCAAAUGGCUUCUGCAGCACCGACACAGAAUGCCAGUGGACUAGUGGAGUAAUUCCAGGGGAUGCUCUGAUCAUAAAUUCUCGCUGGUGAAUUGAAGAAUUGAGCUUGAGCUAAGAAGGUGAUCUGCAUAUAAUCUUUAACCAUUUUCUGAUGGUACAAAUGUUGCUAUUUAAAAAAAUAAAGAUCAAAUAAACAAAUAUUACUUUACUAAUAUUUUACAUAGCUGCUGCUGUCGAAAACUGGAAACUUGUUGUGUAUUAUAAAAAUAGCAAGGAACUGAACUAAAUAAGCGAGGCAGGUAACUAUUGGAACAAACUGGCAUAUACCUUCUCUUUUCUUAUACUUCUUGCUUGGGGGCAAUAAGUCGUCUCUACCAUAAUAAAGUAAAAAGUAGUCAAAUUACAACUCCCUUGGGUUUCCGUUUGAAUUAGGACAUGUGUGGUGCACCAUACUCUCUUGUCAAAUAUUUUGAAGUUUUGCAUAUUGCAGUUUCACUUUUCAAAGAAACCUCUCUGUCAUUGCUAUAUUAGUAUGCGACUGUUAUUUGGAUUAGUUAUGAUCUGUAUCUAAAAUUAAUGGCACAGAUCUUGAUUUCUAGAACACCAGGUAAUAUUCUCAGAAACAGUGAUAUUCUGUUACAAAGUGAUUGUUGUCGACCAUCUUUACACAUUUUUCUUAUUAUUAAAAAAUAAAUUUUAUAAAAUAGAUUUUUAAAAUAUAGAUACUAUUGAUAUGGUCUUUAUAAUAGAUAUUAGAUAUUAAAAUUUUUAUUUAUAAAAAUUUAUGGAUGAGUUAUUGUAAUAACUGAUUGUCGAGAUCCUAGGUUCCUGGCUAAAUAGGAGUCCAUAUAUUUUGUUAUAAUAUAAUCAAAUAUCAAAACAUUCCUAGGAGGUCUAUAAGUUUAUAACGGUCCGAUAAAGGAAACAUGAAUAAAAUUGAUCAAAAUAUUUUGACCAUUUCAGGUGAUAAUGAUCAUAUAAUUUUCAUAUGACAGAACAAUAAGCCGUAGAGUUUGCUUAGGGGAUUAUGUAGGUUGCAGCAAGAUUUUCAAAAUAAAGCUGAUUUAUCAUUCAUAUAUUUUUUUGGUCCUCUUGGUUUAUGAGUGCUCUUUGUAUCUCUUGCUCUUAGCAUGCAUCCCCUCCCUUUAGUAAAUCAGCUUUGUGCUCAAUUACCUAAUUAUAGAUGAUGUUUCCUAAAUGGAAUAUUUCAAUUAAAUAUAUUAAUUGCUAAGCAACAGCCAAUAUGUUGUGUUGGUUAUUAAAUUAUUGUAGGCAUUUAUUCUUACAGAUGGUUUGGAGAUAAUUUCGAGCAAUCUAUGAGUUUGAAUAAUAUGUCUUAACAGUAUAUAGGGCCAUGAGGAGCUUGGCGCUGCCAGCUUGCGCUUGCGGGAAGAUGAAGAUUUUACGAGAUUUAAAAAUAUUGCAACUAUAGAGCUAGGAAGAUAAGAGAUUGGAAGUUGGUAAUUCUCCCCUUUCCCAUCAGAAUUCAAUGACUCUUUGAAACUGUACUUUCGUGAAUUUUGUCUUAAUUUCAUCAGGCGACCAGAACAACUUCAGAGACAUAUGGUGAGUUGUUGUCGAGUAUUUUGAAGAGUAUCGUUCGCAGGGAAGGAUUGAUAUCAAUACCAAUUUCAAGUCUUUUAUCUCUUAUGAUUCAGAAGUGUGGAGAAGAAUUUGGUGGGAUUUUCUAUCAACUAAUUAAUGUAAUAAGUAAAUAAAUAUAAUAAAUAUGAGAGAAAACAACCCAAGAAUUAGAGUUCUUCAAUCGCUAUCAUGAAUGUCUAAUUUGUGUCUCUUGUUUGCUAAAAACAAUCCUUCUAAUAUUAAUAAACUCCUCUCCCAAGGUAGAUUAUAAUGCUUACAAUUAUCCAUUAAAAGCCACUCCCAUGGUCAAUCAAAGAACACUUGUAAACUAUUAAGAACCAAGGAUUUUAAGUCUCACAAUUCUCAUAUCAAUCUCCCGAUCUAAUACUCAAAUUGUGUCCAUCAUAUCAUGUACUAGAAUUAUAACUCCUCUCCCGAUUCGUUAUAACUCCUAGAGAUUCAAUCACAAGUUAGCUACUCCUGUAAUUGUAUAAAGAGCUCAAUGACAGAUUAACAAAUCAAGAGAAAACACAAUCCAACUAAACAAACAUAUUAAGCCAAAGAAUACUACCUAACUCUUGGAUCAAAGGAUUAGCUACUCAUGAUAAGAUGAAACAAAUAUAUAUUUAUACCACAAACCAUGAGCGUAAGAAUUUAAAUACGAAGAAUACAACUUGACGAAAGAGCUUGAAGUCCGGAUGAAUCCCUUCACUCCUUCUUCCAAUAUCUCUCACAAGUGCUUCUCUCCCUUUUCUCUCUAAAAAAGCUAUCUCUAUAUUAUUCUAUAUGAUACAAAGUUAGUUGUCUCUAAUCUCUAUCAAAACCCUAAUAUAUAUAAGAGUUUUCUUAAUUUACAAGAAAAUAAAAUAAUAUCCUAAAACUAGUUGGAUUCUGAUGCUGAAAUUCGUAGGCUUCUGUUCAGGCCUGAUUCUGGGCUGAUCCAGUUGGAUUUUGACAUCUGGACCACCUUAAACUUGUAGAAAAUUCCUAUAUCUUCGCGUGGGCUGUUGAAUCGCCCAAUUCUGACAUCCAGAACUCAAGUUACGGCCCAAACAAGAUUUGCUUCGCUGGCUAUAUAUAAAGUCCGAAUUUCCAUCUAAUUAAGCCCAAAUAAGCUUGAUUUAAUCCAACUUUAGGAAUAUUUAUUUUCCUGCCACUAAACACUUAAAAUCAAUUAGUAAUAACCCGAUUAUUUACAAAAUACUAAAAUUAUGGGAAUAAAAUCAUAUAAAAACAUAUAUAAAUAUAUGCUCUAUCAUGAGUUUUGUGUCCUGCUUCUCAUUUCACAUACAUUGCCUUUUAAGAAGGGUGUUCUUAUAUAAUUUUGGAAGUGCUAUUGCUAAUUUGUUUCAGGUAAUAGCUGCACCGCAUAUAUAAAAUAUACAAAAAAUGUUUUUCCCGGCCUUCUUAAAAGUUUGAAUAAUAUUCCCCCUGUCUUGUGAUUGCAAACAAUAAUUGUUUUUGUAUCCAAGUACUUAAGCUUUUCCAUUAACUUUUUGGAUUUUGAACCAUGAUUGCCAAUGAGCAUUGAUAAUAUAGCCUAGGCCUCGGUCAUUUGAAUUUUUUGGAUAUUGUCUAAAGGCUUUCAAUGUAGUGAUUCUGUGACAACGUUGGACAAUAAUGUGUACAAGCUGGAUUCAGCAGAUUUCUAACAUGUGUUGAUUAUUACUAAUUAUGGAUUUACUGGUAUAGCAAGAAAUUACAGGCCCGAGGUCUUAAAGUUUGGGUGUCAUCACUUUUCUGGUCUACUUGCAAUCUUUUCUUCUUACUACCUCUUCUAGCAGUGUGUAGUUCCACUUUGCUAUUAAAUGAGCAAGUUAAUGACUGUUUAGGGGAUUGAGAUCUGACAAGUCUUGCUACUUUUGAUGGGUUUGAUAGGUUUGAUGAGUGCUUAAGUGAUAUUAAUCACCAAACUUAUGUAUAUGCAUUUUGAUGUGUUGAUUAUUUAGCAUAGUUGCUGCAUAACAAAUAUUAGUUAAAGGAUGAGAUCUUCUAAAAGAAGUCAGAAAUGUAAAAGCCAAUGUCAAAGUGGAUUUGAUCAAAAAGAGAUUCGCAUGCUGAUUAUUACUUUUUUGUGCAGAAAAAAUGUGAUCUCAAACAUCCCCUGGCAAUGAGAUAUAUCGCAGGGCACAUUGUCAAUGUUUUAGAUAUGUUUACAUGUUUAGCUGAUCUGCAAAUUCCUUUACGUCUUGGUUUCUGUCUCAUGUGAUUAUAUUCUCAGCGUUUGGAACUUGGAAUUGCAUAGCUUACCGCCAACACAAUUAUACAACUUCUUUUACUCAGUGAAUGAUGCUACACUUGAGACUUUCAUUAUGAUAUUUAUCUUGAGACACAUGUUCCCCAGUUUUAUAACUGGUAUAUUUGGCCUUGCUUUGUAUUUUUAAAUAUUACUGUUCAAUGGACUUAUACUAAACCCUUGCUUAUAAACAAGUACUCUUCAUCUGUUUGUUUGUUUAACUAUAUGACAUUUUACAUGUUUUUAUAGGUAGAUGGGAAAAAGAAUAAGGUUUAUGGGCAGAAUCUUUGUUAUCUGGAAAAAUUGUUUCUUGAUUACAAAACACUAUAUUAUAACGUCGAUUCACAAUAACUUAAUUGAUCAGCGCUCGGAGUCUCCUUUCUAAUCAAGGCUGUGGAGUGUGGAGGCCUAGGGCCUGAGCAUAUAAGGAUAUUCACAAUAAUUUUUUUUUUUUAUGAAUUUAUUUUCAUAGAUAUUUGUGUGUAGUUCCUUAAAUUGGGAAUACGGCUCGAGAGGAUAAGGGAUUGUUUGGUUGUUUAGUGUGAUUGGUAUUUUACUAGAUCAGAGAGUUUAUUACCACAAGCAUCCUAUGCAUUAACACUUGUCAGCAGCUGAAUUCCUGACAUAACACAUGAAUUCAGAAGACAUGACACAUGAAUUCAGUAUUUGGAAUUUGAUUGAAAUUCUGAAUGAUUUAUUGUUUACCAGAGGUUAUAACCACUACUUGUAUAUGGUAUCGGGUGUGUCCAUCUCCGGAAGAUCUAAUUGGCGUUAUAUGUUAAAUUUUCAAUAAAUAUCUCCGGAAGAUCUAAUUGGCGUUAUAUGUUAAAUUUUCAAUAAAUAUCUCCGGAAGAUCUAAUUGGCGUUAUAUGUUAAAUUUUCAAUAAAUAUCUGGAUGUGUAUUUUUGAUUAUCGAAAGAGUUCCCAUAUUAUUAUGUCGUUUUAUUUUCCUUCACUUUUGGCAGCCCCAAGUGAAAGUGAUGACUAUUGGUACUUGAGUUUUUUUGGCUGAAAUCACUAAUAUAAUUGUUACACUACAACAAAACUGGCAUCAGACAACACUAGUCACACAACGGACGCUGGAAAAAGUGUUGGCCGAAACAAAGACACAACACUUUAUUUUCGUCCUCGAAAAACUAUUGUCUAACACCUACGACCUACAACGGUUAAAAAACUGUUGUCUAAUAAAUUUAAUCAGACAACGGUCUCUUAACUGUGGUAUUGUGUAAUGAUGCACGUUAGACAACUGUUUUUAGAGCCGAUGUGUGAAGAAACUUCAGACAAUAUUCCGAGAAACCGUUGUUGUAAUGAGACAAGUGUUUUAUUUGUUGUGUUGUUUACGAAAAGAUCAGACAAGGGUUCCAUAGAGUGUUGUGUGACUGGGAAGCUAACAUACAAGUGUUUUUGUUAGCAUCGUAUCAUGGCCUUAUAGACAAGCCUUUAGCUAGUAAAACGUUGUCUGACUGAAUGACUUAUAAGAAAAUAAAUGUACAUAAAAGAGUGCAAACAUUCAAAAGUCCUAACCAAAGUUACAAAUAUAUAUUCAUUUUCUUAGUAGUCAUAGGCUUUUCUAGCAUUAGAUCAAGUAUUGAUCAAGGAAAUGCGAAUUUUUAACUCAUAAAAAUGAAAGUUUAUUAUACAACGGUUUUCUUCCCAUAAAUCGUUGUGUCAUUUUCAAUGAUACAACUUAGAUGCUUAUAAAAACCGUUGUGUGUUAGACACUACGGGACAAAAAAUACCUUUUUAUAAUAAGACAAAAUUUACAAUUAACAAGUAAUGUUAAAAAAACAUACAAAAUGAAUAUAAAAAAUUUAGAUUUUUUUUAUACAUGACUAAUAUUGUUAGUUCUCGACAUCCGUACGGUUAGAUCAUCGAAAAAAAUAUUUAAAAAUUAAUAUUAUGCUCAUCUUAUACAUAACAAAGAUUNNNNNNNNNNNNNNNNNNNNNNNNNNNNNNNNNNNNNNNNNNNNNNNNNNNNNNNNNNNNNNNNNNNNNNNNNNNNNNNNNNNNNNNNNNNNNNNNNNNNNNNNNNNNNNNNNNNNNNNNNNNNNNNNNNNNNNNNNNNNNNNNNNNNNNNNNNNNNNNNNNNNNNNNNNNNNNNNNNNNNNNNNNNNNNNNNNNNNNNNNNNNNNNNNNNNNNNNNNNNNNNNNNNNNNNNNNNNNNNNNNNNNNNNNNNNNNNNNNNNNNNNNNNNNNNNNNNNNNNNNNNNNNNNNNNNNNNNNNNNNNNNNNNNNNNNNNNNNNNNNNNNNNNNNNNNNNNNNNNNNNNNNNNNNNNNNNNNNNNNNNNNNNNNNNNNNNNNNNNNNNNNNNNNNNNNNNNNNNNNNNNNNNNNNNNNNNNNNNNNNNNNNNNNNNNNNNNNNNNNNNNNNNNNNNNNNNNNNNNNNNNNNNNNNNNNNNNNNNNNNNNNNNNNNNNNNNNNNNNNNNNNNNNNNNNNNNNNNNNNNNNNNNNNNNNNNNNNNNNNNNNNNNNNNNNNNNNNNNNNNNNNNNNNNNNNNNNNNNNNNNNNNNNNNNNNNNNNNNNNNNNNNNNNNNNNNNNNNNNNNNNNNNNNNNNNNNNNNNNNNNNNNNNNNNNNNNNNNNNNNNNNNNNNNNNNNNNNNNNNNNNNNNNNNNNNNNNNNNNNNNNNNNNNNNNNNNNNNNNNNNNNNNNNNNNNNNNNNNNNNNNNNNNNNNNNNNNNNNNNNNNNNNNNNNNNNNNNNNNNNNNNNNNNNNNNNNNNNNNNNNNNNNNNNNNNNNNNNNNNNNNNNNNNNNNNNNNNNNNNNNNNNNNNNNNNNNNNNNNNNNNNNNNNNNNNNNNNNNNNNNNNNNNNUUUUUUUAUACGUGACUAAUAUUGUUAGUUCUUGACAUCCGUACGGUUAGAUCAUUGAAAUAAAUAUUUAUGAAUUAAUACACAACUAAUUGAAUACAUAACAAAGAUUAUAUCUACUACUUUUUAAAUUGUAAACAUAAAACACAUACUAAUACAUGCGUCCGAAGUACAAAAUUGUCUCGGUUUUACACAUGAACAAUACAUAUUUGCAUAUAUACAUAACAUAAAUAUAUUUUUUUAAUACAAAGAGUGCAAAAACAAGAAUUAAUCAAGGAAAUGCGAAUUUUUAACUCAUAAAAAUUACCUUUUUAUAAUAAGAAAAAUUUUANACGAUUGACUAGUGUUGUUAAAAACCGUUGUCUGAUGCUGUUUUUGUUGUAGUGUUAUAUUAAAUUCUUGUGCUAAAACUUGUAUGGUUUGCCCCGCCCGCGGCUUCAAACAGCCAACAAGGUAAGCUAUUAUACUCAGGGGACCGAAAAAGGUAACAAAUGCAUAAACGAUUAGCUUUUCUUCUUUGCUGCAUAGUUUUUUUUUUUUUGUCAGGUUCUUUGCUGCAUAGUUAAUAACAAAUAACAUGAUCUCAAAAAAAAAAAAGAGGCGCGUACUAUGAAUGUAAAAAUAACAAUUUCAAUACUCUUUUUCACUAUAGAAAAACAAAAUUAUUGUGCUAGAUCUUUGCCCGUGCCUUGCACGGGCUUUAAAGCUAGUUUUUUAUUAAUAUGUGAAACUCCAAUAUAUAUUAUUAUACGAUAUAUUAUGAAAACACUAUGUUUUGUAAUGUUCAUCUUAUCCUACCAGAAAAAUUACAUCGCUAACAAAAUUAUAUCAAUUUUAUUUUAUAAACUCAAAUAAUUUAAUUUAUGAAACAACUCUAUGAGAUUCUUAUCAUGAGUUAGAAUUCAAAUAAAUAAAGAGUUCAUAUUGAUAAGUGGAAUUGAUGUGCAAGUAAGGGGUAUAAAAAAAUCUCAAAAUAACUCCAAAAAGCACAUGACAUGUUUGAUUUGAUAGAACUGGUACAUAAACAGGGGGACCAUUAUAUUUAUAAGCAAGUGACCAACAAUAGUUUACUACUGAUAUUUUGUGAUAUUUUUUGUGAUAUUUUUUGAGACCUUUAACAUUAUUCUGUGAAGUGGUAUACUACUGUUACUAGUUCUGAAACUUCAAACAAAGUAGGCGCAACAUUGUAAGAGUGAUUAAUAAAGUUGAGAAACAGUGUGUACAUUGAGCAGUAUGACAAUCAGGUUCAGCAUAUAAUACAAUCAGAUUCACAAUCAGGUUCACGAGAAACAUGCUGCAUUCCAAAAAGCCUUAUUAUCUUCUUCACUAAAUAACAAGGCAAAUACAGCAUAUAAAUACAAGUUAUAAGUACAAGUGUGGUAUUAGAUUCAUAACCCAGUUGAGGAGAAACAUGGCACACUUUGUAAGGCCUUCUCACCUUCUUCUCUUUGUUUUCUUUCUCUCAUCACUCGAAUCCAUUCUUGCAACAAGACAAGAGGGGGAAGCUCUUGUGAAGUGGAAGAAUAGCCUAGCCCCUUCUUCUUUUCUCCACUCUUGGUCACUCACCAAUCUCGAAAAUCUUUGUAAAUGGACUGGCAUUACUUGUAACUCUGCAGGUUCAGUCUCUGAGAUUAACCUUUGUGAGAAACAACUUGAUGGAAUGCUGUCCGAGUUCGGUUUCACUUCAUUUCCAAAUCUCAAGAAUCUCACCCUGGCAGACAACUUCUUCUCAGGUCCAAUACCACCAGCCAUUGAGAAUUUAACACAGCUUCAAUAUCUUGAUUUAAGCAUGAAUAGUCUUAAUGGUCCCAUUCCGUUCCAGGUUAGCCAUCUUCAGAGCUUGCUCAUCUUGAACCUGUCACAGAAUGCAUUGCAAGCUCCAAAUUGGUCCCAUUUCUCUCCCAUGCCUUUCUUGCGCAUCCUCGACCUUAGUUUUAAUAAUCUUGUGUCGAAAUUCCCAGAAUUUAUAUCCAAUUCUCAUAGCCUGACUCACCUUAACCUUUCAAAUAACAAGUUUACUGGUCAUCUUGUGCAUAAAUUUACCAAUCUACAAAAUCUUGAAACCCUCUACCUUCAGAUCAAUUCUUUUGAGGGGCCGUUUCCACCAGAUAUAGUCCAGCUUUCCAAAUUAAAACGACUCUCCCUGUCAUGUAACAAAUUUUCAGGUUCAAUUCCCAAUGACGUAAGGUUGCUUUUUGGUCUUGAAUCCCUAAAUUUAGGCAACAAUUCCUUUGAAGGACCGCUUCCACCAGAUAUAUUCAAGCUUUCAAAGUUAAAACGACUUGUUCUUUGGAGUAAUAAGUUUUCAGGUUCUGUUUCCAAUGAUAUAGGUUUGCUUUCUGAGCUUGAAACCCUCCAUCUUUACUCUAAUUUUUUUGAGGGGCCACUUCCGCCAAAUUUAUUCAAGCUCUCCAAACUAAAAGAUCUCACCCUGUCAAGUAACAAAUUUUCAGGUUCAAUUCACAAUGAUAUAAGGUUACUUUGUGAUCUUGAAGACCUAUAUUUAGCUAACAAUUCCUUUGAAGGACCGCUUCCACCAGAUAUAUUCAAGCUUUCAAGAUUAAAACGUCUUUUUCUUUAGAGUAAUAAGUUUUCAGGUUCUGUUUCCAAUGAUAUAGGUUUGCUUUCUGAGCUUGAAAGCCUCGAUCUUAACUCCAAUUUUUUUGAGGGGCCGCUUCCGCCAAAUGUAUUCAAGCUCUCCAAACUAAAGAUUCUUUCCCUUUAUGAGAAUAACUUUUCAGGUUUUAUUUCUAAGGAUAUAGGUUUGCUUUCUGGACUUGAAACCCUCUAUCUUGACUCUAAUUUUUUUGAGGGUCCGCUUCCCCCACAUAUAUUUAGGCUGUCCAAAUUAAGAGAUCUGGACCUCUCAUACAGUAGAAAUUUAUUUGAAGGAAGUAUUCCUAUUGGACUGGGACUCUUGACUAACCUCAGGUACUUAGAUCUAUAUUCCAAUAAUCUCAGUGGCUAUAUUCCAUCUGACAUUGGAAACCUGAAGCUACUAGAAGGUCUUAUUCUCGGUUCUAAUAAAUUGACUGGACCAGUUUCAAAGAUCAUUUCUAAUCUCACAAAUCUUAUAUAUCUUGAUGUAAGUGAUAAUAGUCUUAGUGGAAAUAUUCAGAGUGACUUGUGGAAAUAUAACGAUCAUCCAACUUUGGAAUACAUCAAUUUAAGUGGGAACCAUUUUACGGGUAUAGUUUUUCUCUAUAGAUCUUUUCCUUUUCUCAUAUGUAACUAAGCUGGUAAUCUGAUUAUUGCAGUUUUACCAAAGUUUCAACAAUCUUGACAGGUGAGCUUCCAACAACAAUUUGCAAUGUCACUUCCCUUUCGGUUCUUGAUUUGUCAAAUAAUGCGUUAAGUGGUGCACUUCCAAACUGUUUCGGGAAUCUUGCUGAUGGAUUGCUUUACAUUAAUCUUGCUAAUAAUCAGUUUCGAGGAACAAUACCAACUACUUUCUCCAGGAGUUGUCAGCUGACAUAUCUAAACAUGGAUAAUAAUGAGUUUGAAGGAUUGGUGCCCCCAUCUUUGGCGAACUGCAAGCACUUGAAAAUUCUUGAUAUUGGCAAUAAUAAAAUAGGUGGUACAUUCCCGUCAUGGCUUUAUGUACUUGGAGAGCUAGAAGUCCUUGUCUUGCGAUCAAAUAAACUCUAUGGUACAAUAAGUGGAAGGAGCAUAGAAGAUCCCUUCCCCAAGUUGCGGAUUGUGGAUCUGUCCGAUAAUCAAUUCACAGGCCAUUUGCCAAUUCAAUACUUUAAGAAUAUGAAAUCAACUGAUAAUAUGUAUAAUUAUCUGAAUUCCACAGGAGGAAUAUAUUUCACUUAUGAAGCAGCAGUCUCAUUAACUGUGAAGGGAACAGAGUAUGAAGUGACAAAUAACCUUCAUAUUUACACAGCUAUUGAUCUGUCGUGCAACAAAUUUCAGGGUGAAAUUCCAAAAAUUAUUGGAGAGCUUAGAUGGCUUGCAUUGCUCAAUUUAUCGCAUAAUAGUCUGACAGGACAUAUCCCAUCAUUUCUGAGAAAUAUGAAAGAACUCCAAUCUUUAGAUUUGUCCUCAAAUCAACUGACAGGGGCCAUUCCACCUCAGUUAACUGCAUUGACAUUUCUAAAGGUCUUAAAUCUCUCGAAAAACCAUCUCAGUGGAGAGAUUCCUCAGGAAGGACAGUUCAGCACAUUCAACAAUGAUUCUUAUCUAGGAAACUCCGCGUUAUGUGGAUUACGUCUGACAAAGAAAUGUGCAAACACAGCAGGGAUUCCUCAGAAAGGACAGUUCAGCACAUUCAACAAUGAUUCUUAUAUAGGAAACUCCGCGUUAUGUGGAUCACCUUUGACGAAGAGAUGUGCAAACACAGCAUCACCUCCACAACAAGUCGGAAAUGGUGAUGAAGAUGAUGCGGGAGAUGAAUUGAGAUGGGAAGCAAUCGUGAUGGGAUAUGGAUGUGGACUGAUAUGUGGAUUGUCAUCUGCGUACAUUGUUCUCAAACUAGGAAGGCCUUGGUGGGUUGUGAGAUAUGUCGAAGUACUGCAACUGAAGUUGAUGAAAAGAUAUGCUUGAAGAAUGGAACUGGCCGAUCAAAACGAACUCGAAAGCAGUUGUCCUUGUGGACAUUUCUGAACCAGUAGUGUACUAGCUGCAUAAGUAUUUGGUAUUAUGUAAUAAUCCACAUAUUCAAUAUCACACUCUUCCUGUGAGGAAACAAAUAUGGAGAAACAUUUCUAUUUACAAAACUUUUACCAUUAUACACUCUUAUAGUACUGGUUAAUAGUUUGUUGUUCAGCCUAGUCCUAAACUGAAAUUAUCAGUUCUAUGUGAGUAUGCUUUCAAAUAAGAAUUAGGUGAUCUGCCUAGUCCAAAACUACUCUAAUACUAUAUCGCUGGUAGUCUUUCAGUUCAUCCUAUUGUAUACAAUAGUUUCUUCCUUUGACACAAAAAUGUCUGCAGUCAGUGUCACCACCACAGGAAGUCGAAAAUGGUGAUGAAGAUUGAUUUGCGGAUUGUCUUAUGGGUACAUUUUUUUCAAAAAAGGAAGGCCUUGGUGGUUUGUGAGAUACAUCGAAGUGCUGCAACUUAAGUUGAUGUUACCAAGAAUGAAAAAUAUUGUUCGACCAAGAUCAACAACUUGAAAAUGUGUUCUGAAUCUGUAAUAAUAUUAAAAUAUUAAAAUAUUAUUCAUUUAACAAUAUCGUCCAAUCAAUUUAAUUGAUUAUCAUUUAAUCAAUAUAUAUAGAUGGAUAUUAAUUGUCUUCCCUAGCUCCAACCAAUGAUGAAAUAACCUCCCUAUAAAUCUAUUGAGUCAAAAUUGCAAACAACACUUUCAAAACAUAGGUGCCGAAUAGUCCUUAUUUUAAAUUAAUCAGAAUUGAAUAUUUGAUGGCGCUAAAAAAAUCUGUUGAAAUUAGCAGUUUAUAAGGCAUAUAAAUAGAAGUGUGCGUUACUUUAAGGAUUCAUGAUCAAGUUGAGGAGAAAUAUGCACAGUAUAUAAAGCCUCAUCAUCUUUUUCUCUUUGUUUUCUUUCUCUCAUUACUCCCAUCCAUUCUUACAACACUAGCUGAAACAAGACGAGAGGGAGAAGCUCUUGUGAAAUGGAAGAAUAGCCUAGCCCCUUCUUCUUUUCUCGACUCUUGGUCCCUCACCAAUCUCGAUAAUCUUUGUAACUGGACUGGCAUUACUUGUAACUCUGCAGGUUCAGUCUCUAAGAUUAACCUUUUUGAGAAACAACUUGAUGGAAUGUUGUCCGAGUUUGGUUUCACCUCAUUUCCACAUCUCAACAAUCUCACCCUUGCAGACAACUACUUCUCGGGUCCGAUACCACCAGCCAUUGAGAAUUUAACACAGCUUCAAUUUCUUGAUUUGAGCAAUAAUUAUCUAGAUGGUCCCAUUCCUUUCCAGGUUAGCAAUCUUCAGAGGUUGCUCAUCUUAAACCUGUCACAGAAUGCAUUGCAAGCUCCAAAUUGGUCCCAUUUCUCUCCCAUGCCUUUUUUGCGCAUCCUCAACCUCAGUAGCAAUCCUCUAGCGUCGAAAUUCCCAAAUUUCAUAUCCAAUUCUCAUGGCCUGACUCACCUUAGCCUUAAUUAUAACGAGUUUACUGGUGAUUUAGUACGUGAAUCAAUAUUUGCCAAUCUGCAUAAUCUUGAAGUCCUCGGUCUUGUUGACAAUUCUUUUGAGGGGCCAUUUCCCCCGGAUAUAUUCAGGCUCUCCAAAUUAAAACGUCUCUCCCUGUCAGGUAACAAAUUUUCAGGUUCAGUUCCCAAUGACAUAAGGUUGCUUUGUGAUCUUCAAUCUCUAUAUUUAGCUAACAAUUCCUUUGAAGGACCGCUUCCACCAAAUAUAUUCAAGCUUGCAAAAUUAAAAGAUCUUGCUCUUUGGGGUAAUAAGUUUUCAGGUUCUGUUUCCAAUGAUAUAGGUUUGCUUUCUGUGCUUGAAAUUCUCAAUAUUCACUCUAAUUUUUUUGAGGGGCCCCUUCCGCCAAAUAUAUUCAAGCUCUCCAAAAUAAGGUUUCUUUACCUCGGGGGUAAUAACUUUUCUGGUUCCGUUUCCAAUGAGAUAGGUUUGCUUUCUGAGCUUGAAUCCCUAUAUCUUGGUUCUAAUGUUUUUGAGGGGCCGCUUCCACCAAAUAUAUUCAAGCUUUCCAAAUUAAAAUGGCUUGACCUCGCAGACAAUAGAAAUUUAUUUGAAGGAAGUAUUCCUAUUGGACUGGGACUCUUGACUAACCUCAGCUACUUAGAUCUAAGUUCCAGUAAUCUCAGUGGCUAUAUUCCAUCUGUCAUUGCAAACCUGAAGCUACUAGUAUUUCUUGAUCUCAGUUCUAAUCAAUUGACUGGACCACUUUCGAAGAUCGUUUCUAAUCUCACAAAUCUUAUACUUCUUGGUGUGGAUUAUAAUAGUCUUAGUGGAAAUAUUCAGAGUGAUUUGUGGAAGAACUCUAUAUCCUUACGUUACAUUGAUUUUGAAAAUAAUUAUUUUUCUGGAAACAUUCCUGAGGAAUAUAACGAUCAUCCAACUUUGGAAUACAUCAAUUUAAGUGGGAACUAUUUUACAGGUAUAUUUUCUUAAUAUAUCUUUUCCUUUUGUCAUAUAUAUGUAACUAAGCUAGUAAUCUGAUUAUUGCAGUUUUACCAAAGUUUCAACAAUCUUGACAGGUGAGCUUCCAACAACAAUUUGCAAUGUCACCUCCCUUUCGGUUCUUGUUUUGUCAAAUAAUAAAUUAAGUGGUGCACUUCCAAACUGUUUCGGGAAUCUUGCUGAUGGAUUGCUUUACAUUAAUCUUGCUAAUAAUCAGUUUCAAGGAACAAUACCAACUACUUUCUCCAGGAGUUGUCAGUUGACAUAUCUAAACAUGGUUAAUAAUGAGUUUGAAGGAUUGAUGCCCCCAUCUUUAGCGAACUGUAAGCACUUGAAAAUUCUUGAUAUAGGCAAUAAUAAAAUAGGUGGUACAUUUCCGUCAUGGCUUUAUGCACUUGGAGAGCUAGAAGUUCUUGUCUUGCGAUCAAAUAAACUCUAUGGUACAAUAAGUGGAAGGAGCAUAGAAGAUCCCUUCCCCAAGUUGCGGAUUGUGGAUCUGUCCAACAAUCAAUUCACAGGCCAUUUGCCAAUUCAAUACUUUAAGAAUAUGAAAUCAAAUGAUAAUUUGUAUCGUUAUCUGAAUUCCACAGGAGAAAUAUAUAUCUCUUAUGAAGCAGCAGUCUCAUUAACUGUGAAGGGAACAGAGUAUGAAGUAGCAAAGAACCUUCAUAUUUACACAGCCAUUGAUCUGUCGUGCAACAAAUUUCAGGGAGAAAUUCCAAAGGUUACCGGAGAGCUUAGAUGGCUUGCAUUGCUCAAUUUAUCUCAUAAUAGUCUAACAGGACCUAUCCCAUCAUUGCUGGGAAAUAUGAAAGAACUCCAAUCUUUAGAUUUGUCCUCAAAUCAACUGACAGGGGCUAUUCCACCUCAGCUAACUGCAUUGACAUUUCUAGAGGUCUUGAACCUCUCGGGAAACCAUCUUAGUGGAGAGAUUCCUCAGAAAGGACAGUUCAGCACAUUCAACAAUGAUUCUUAUCUAGGAAACUCCGCGUUAUGUGGAUCACCUUUGACGAAGAAAUGUGGAAACACUGUAUCACCUCCACAGGAAGUCGGAAAUGGUGAUGAAGAUGAUGCGGGUGAUGAAUGGACAUGGGAAGCAAUCGUGAUGGGAUAUGGAUGUGGACUGAUAUGUGGAUUGUCAUCUGCGUACAUUGUUCUCAAACUAGGAAAGCCUUGGUGGUUUGUGAGAUAUAUCGAAGUACUGCAACAGAAGUUGAUGAAAAGAUAUGCAUGAAGAAAGGUACUGGUAGAUCAAGAUGAAAAGAUAUGAAGAAGUAUUUGGUAUUAUGUAAUAAUCCGUUUGGUCGGGACUCAAAAUGAUUUCUCUUGCUUCAGGGGUAUUAAUAUUAACCUUGCUAUCUUGUUCAAUGUUAAUGCAAAUUAAAAAGAAUAUAAAAGCAAAAAAUUUGCAUCAAACACCUGUUGUACCAACAUGCAUCCAUUAAUUUGCUUUCAUCUAUUAAGUAACAAUUUAAGAGCGCUUCCACUCUGUUUAAGCAUGGAGAUUACACAAAGAAGGCAAGUCCAUGGAUUAACACGUAGUCCACAUCUAUGCUACGAACAAUUCACAUUGAUCUUAUAUCUGUUCAACAGUCUCCCGAAGAUAGGCCAUAAAUGUCAUCUGUGGCUCUUAUGUUUGUCAGUAAAGGAGAAUCUCUGAUGCCUAUAACCUGGUUUUCUUACAAGAUGCCCAGGUUAUCAUGGCCAUGCAGAAAAAUGCCCAAAAAUGAAUAGCUCAGGUCUCCCCAAGCCUUCCAGGACUCAUUCCAAGUCUUCGGAGGACCACUGCCUCCCCCUUUCAAAGAUGUGAUUGUAGCUCGAAAGUGAUAUAAAUUAUUUUCCCCACAUUAAAAAUAAAAAAUCAGAUUAAAUUAAUCAAUAAUAAAUUAAGGAUGAAAUCCAAAUUAAUCCUAAAUUUUGAUAAUAUAUAAAAAUUAUAAUUAUAAAUUAUAUAACCAAAUCAGAAUUGAAUUAACUUACUUGGCACUAGAAUUGCUAAAGACAGUAUAAUAAUUUAAUUGAUGAAAAGUCAAAGUCUUCUAAUAAAUCCAUAAAGAAUAUGAUAAUAUGAAAAUUAUAAUUGAAAAAUCAAAAUCAAUAGUGUAUUGGAAUAGUGUUCACACACUUAUAUAUCAAAAUUUGUGGUCCAAAAACUAUAGCACAAUAUCCUAAAUACAUCACAUUAAAUAAUAGCACAAAAAUAUUCAAUAAAUAAUUGAUUUCAUUCAUAAAUUUGUUAUUUUAAAAACUAAUAAUUUGGUUGAUGUUAACCUAUAUUUUAUAUAUAAUUUCGUCUUAUUUUAUUUUACUAGAAACAAUAUUUUUAUAAUAUUUAUUACAUUAAAUAUAUUAAAAGAUAUAAUUUUAUUAAAAAAAUUGAAUAAAAUUAAAAGGAUAAGUCUCGGCCUCUCCAAGUCUACAAGACUCAUUUCAAGUCCACCGAGGGCCUCAACCAUUGAGAGAUGUGAAAGUAGCUUGAGAGUGAUAUAAAUUAAUUAAAUUAGUUAAUAAUGAAUCAAGACUAAUCAUGAAUUAUGAUAAUAAUUAAAUAAAUUAUAAAAUUAAAUUAUACAAAUAACACUAAACCUUAGUUACUUUAUUGGUAAAAUAAAUAUAAUAUAAUAAUUAAAUUGAUGAAAAAUCAAAAUCAUCUAAUAAAUUCACAAAAAAUAUAUGAUCAUUAGUAUAUUAUAUUAGUAUCCACACACUUAUAUUUCAAAUCUAUCCUCCAAAAUUAUCAUCUCGAUAAACUAGCCGCAUAAAAUAAAAAUUUAACGAUAUUAGAUAUUUAGCUAUUUUCAUUAUAUAAUUUUUCCACACUAAAUAACAAAAUAUCUUUAUCAAAUUAUUAUUUAUGAAUUAAAUAUUCAAGUUAUAAUUCCAGCAUGCAGCGUAUAAAUAGAAGUGUGCAGUAUGAUAUCAGAUUCAUAACCCAGUUGAGGAGAAACAUGGCACACUCUGUAAAGCCUUCUCACCUUCUUCUCUUUGUUUUCUAUCUCUCUUAACUUGAAUACAUUCUUGCAACAACACAAGAGGGAGAAGCUCUUGUGAAAUGGAAGAAUAGCCUAGCCCCUUCUUCUUUUCUCGACUCUUGGUCACUCACCAAUCUCGAUGAUCUUUGUAACUGGACUGGCAUCACUUGUAACUCUGCAGGUUCAGUCUCUCAGAUCAACCUUUUCGAAAAACAACUUGAUGGAAUGCUGUCCGAGUUUGGUUUCACUUCAUUUCCGAAUCUCAACAAUCUCACCCUCGCAUACAACUUCUUCUCGGGUCCGAUACCACCGGCCAUUGAGAAUUUAACACAGCUUCGGUAUCUUGAUUUAAGCUUUAAUUCUCUCCAUGGUCCCAUUCCGUUCCAGGUUAGCCAUCUUCAGAGCUUGCUCAUCUUAAACCUGUCACAGAAUGCAUUGCAAGCUCCAAAUUGGUCCCAUUUCUCUCCCAUGCCUUUUUUGCGCAUCCUCAACCUCAUUAGCAAUCCUCUUGCGUCGAAAUUCCCAAAUUUUAUAUCCAACUCUCAUAGCCUGACUCACCUUAGCCUUAAUUUUAAUGAGUUUACUGGUGAUUUAGUACGUGAAUCAGUAUUUGCCAAUCUGCAUAAUCUUGAAUUGCUCAGUCUCGUUGAAAAUUCUUUUGAGGGGCCAUUUCCGCCGGAUAUAUUCAGGCUUUCCAAAUUAAAACAUCUUCACCUGUCAAGUAACAAAUUUUCAGGUUCAAUUUCCAAUGACAUAAGGUUGCUUUGUGAUCUUGAAUCCCUAUAUUUAGGCAACAAUUCCUUCGAAGGACCCCUUCCAUCAAAUAUAUUCAAGCUUUCAAAAUUAAAAAAUCUUGUUAUUGGGAGUAAUAAGUUUUCGGGUUCUGUUUCCAACGAUAUAGGUUUGCUUUCUGAGCUUGAAAGCCUCUAUCUUGACUCCAAUUUUUUUGAGGGGCCGCUUCCGUCAAAUAUAUUCAAGCUCUCCAAAUUAAGGAUUCUUUCCCUUUGGCAUAAUAACUUUUCAGGUUCUAUUUCUAAGGAUAUAGGUUUGCUUUCUGGACUUGAAACCCUCUUUCUUGACUCUAAUUUUUUUGAGGGUCCGCUUCCCCCGCAUAUAUUUAGGCUCUCCAAAUUAAGAGAUCUGGGUCUCUCAGACAAUAGAAAUUUAUUUGAAGGGAGUAUUCCUAUUGGACUGGGACUCUUGACUAACCUCAGGUACUUAGAUCUAUAUUCCAAUAAUCUCGGUGGUUAUAUUCCAUCUGACAUUGGAAACCUGAAGCUACUAGAAGUUCUUGAUCUCAGUUCUAAUCAAUUGACUGGACCGCUUUUAAAGAUUGUUUCUAAUCUCACAAAUCUUAUGUUUCUUGAUGUAAGACAAAAUAGUCUUAGUGGAAAUAUUCAGAGUGACUUGUGGAAAUAUAACGAUCAUCCAACUUUGGAAUUCAUCAAUUUAAGUGGGAACCAUUUUACGGGUAUAGUUUUUCUCUAUAAAUCUUUUCUUUUGUCAUAUGUAACUAAGCUAGUAAUCUGAUUAAUUGCAGUUUUACCAAAGUUUCAACAAUCUUGACAGGUGAGCUUCCAACAACAAUUUGCAAUGUCACUUCCCUUUCAAUUCUUGAUUUGUCAAAUAAUGGAUUAAGUGGUGCACUUCCAAACUGUUUCGGGAAUCUUGCAGAUAGAUUGCUUUUCAUUAAUCUUGCUAAUAAUCAGUUUCGAGGAACAAUACCAACUACUUUAUCCAAAAGUUGUCAGCUGACAUGUCUAAACAUGGAUAAUAAUGAGUUUGAAGGAUUGUUACCCCCAUCUUUGGCGAACUGUAAGCACUUGAGAAUUCUUGAUAUUGGCAACAAUAAAAUAGGUGGCACAUUUCCGUCAUUGCUUUAUGUACUUGGAGAGCUAGAAGUCCUUGUCUUGCGAUCAAAUAAACUCUGCGGUACAAUAAGUGCAAGGAGCAUAGAAGAUCCCUUCCCCAAGUUGCGGAUUGUGGAUCUGUCCAACAAUCAGUUCACAGGCCAUUUGCCAAUUCAAUACUUCAAGAAUAUGAAAUCAACUGAUAAUUUGUAUUGGUAUCGUAUUUCCACAGGAGAAUUAUUUUUCCAAUAUGAAGCAGCAGUCUCAUUAACUGUGAAGGGAAGAGAGUAUGAAGUAGCAAAUAACCUUCAUAUUUACACAGCCAUUGAUCUGUCGUGCAACAAAUUUCAGGGAGAAAUUCCAACGGUUACUGGAGAGCUUAGAUGGCUUGCAUUGCUCAAUUUAUCUCAUAAUAGUCUAACAGGACCUAUCCCAUCAUUGCUGAGAAAUAUGAAAGAACUCCAAUCUUUAGAUUUGUCCUCGAAUCAACUGACAGGGGCUAUUCCACCUCAGUUAUCUGCAUUGACAUUUCUAGAGGUCUUGAACCUCUCGAAAAACCAUCUUAGUGGAGAGAUUCCUCAGAAAGGACAGUUCAGCACAUUCAACAAUGAUUCUUAUCUAGGAAACUCCGCGUUAUGUGGAUCACCUUUGACGAAGAAAUGUGCAAACACAGCAUCACCUCCACAAGAAGUCGGAAAUGGUGAUGAAGAUGAUGCUGGAGAUGAAUUGACAUGGGAAGCAAUCGUGAUGGGAUAUGGAUGUGGACUGAUAUGUGGUUUGUGAGAUAUAUCGAAGUACUGCAACAGAAGUUGAUGAAAAGAUAUGCAUGAAGAAUGAUACUGGCCGAUCAAGACGAACUUGAAAGUUUGUUGUCCUUGUGGACAUUUCAGCUGAACCAGUAGUGUACUAUUCUCUUUGUGACUGCAUAAGUAUUUUGUAUUGUGUAAUGUUCUGUUUGGGCUUAAAUCAUAAUGAUUUUUCUUGCUUCAGGGGUAUUAAUAUAAAACCGUUUGGUCGGGACUCAUAAUGAUUUCUCUUGCUUCAGGGGUAUUAAUAUCAUCCUUGCUAUCUUGAACAAUGAUAAUGCAAAUUAAAAAGAAUGAAAAAACAAAAAUAUUGCAUCAAACACCUGUUGUACCAAGAUCCAUUAAUUUGCUUUCAUCUCUUACGCAACAAUUUAACAGCACUUCCACACUGUUUGAAAGAUUAUCAUAAAUUCGAGUUUUCCUCUCCAGCACCAAAUCCAAAUUAAUAUACAAUGCCACACAUUCCAGUCUCAGCUUCAGCUCCCAGGGUAGCAUUCAUUUAGCCAAGCACGACAGUGGCCGCUUACGUGCCUAACAAUAACAGUUGGGGAUUUGAGUGAACUUGCCUUGGUCCUGCCUUCAAAUGUCUGACAAUAACAGUUGGAUAUGUCGACAAAAAAAUUGUUCCUCACAGAGGAGCUAAUAGCAAUUGACUUCGAAUAAAUCCGACAGUUCUUUUCAUCCAGUUAUUAUUUCAGCAAUAUGUCUAGCAAAUAUGUAGUGCACUGGACACCAUACUACCAACACAAGUAGUAAAAGGAGAGACCAUUGUUUCGAAUGCUCGGAAAUUUGAACAGGGUUUUUUCCACCUGCCCCCUGACUUUUUACACAAACAGGUCAAGAAAAACAGAAGCCGGCUUCUGGAAAAAUGAAGCACUACUUUAUGAGUGACCAUUGUUUUGAAUGCUCGGAGAUGUGAAGUGGAUUUUUUCAGCCUGCCCCCAGACUUCUUUUUGUAAAACUAGAUUUCUUUAGCUCCGGUGUCUUAGUAUUGGAGAUUAUGAGUGACUGUAGAAAAGACUUUAAUAUGAGUGUGAGAUAUACCCCGGUGGAAACAGGACCUUGAUCCAAAGGGUCACGGGUUCAAACCUCACCUGAUCGGGUUCCACUCCACGCUCGGUCCACAUCUAUGCUGGAUUCAUAUUAAAAUGAUAAUGGAACACGGGCGUCCAUGGUUGGGGAUAUCAUAUUAAAAAGAUUAGCUGGGCACAGAUGAAUAUUUAUAUGGAUUUUAAAAACAAACUAUGACUUAAUAUAAGAAAAAUCAUUAUUUUUUAUUUUUCCGACUAAACAUUUGUUAGCCUUCUCUGGUGCCCAUCCAAAUCAUUCAGCGGGUUCUACUUUCAGCUCAUCACAAGAACAUCAUUCUGCAGGUACUUUCUUAUAUUGUUUGCCAGCGGUGACCGAGCCAGAAACUUUUUCGAGGAGGGGCCGGAAUAGAAAUAUUAUUUAAAUUUGAAAAUAUUAUAUAUCAUAUUGAAAAUAGUAUUAGUAACAAAAAUCCAUUUAUUUUAGGUUUCUAUGAGAAAACUCAGUCGUUUCAUUAAGAAAAUUUAAUUACUUAAUUACCAAACGGUUGAGGAUGAAGAUUUGAAAGAACGAGUUGCAACGGGGAGACUCAUAGACGCGACAGAAAAAAAUAGAAAAAGAUAUUGUUCAACAACCGAGUCUAUAUUAUUAAAAUUUAUGAUAAAUGAGAUAAUUUUAUUUUAUAAACUAACUAAAUACAUAUAAUAUAGUAUUAUAUGUAAUGCUACGUAAAAUUGGAUACAAGAUUUUGCACAAAAUGAUAUGAUAACUAAAGUGAAAUAUUUUAAUUGGUGCUAUUAAUGUAUAUAUACAUUUAUUACAAUUAAAACUUAACACAUAUUAUUAAUUUUGUGAAUAAAAUAUUUUUCUUAAUAAUAUAUAAGUAAAAAAAAUAAAAAUCUAGGAGGGGCUCAGGCCCCCUCUGGACCCCUCUAGCUCCGUCUGUAUACACCUAUCAUAUUAUUGACAGGUGGCUCUCUCAUAUUGCUCACAGGCGAACUCCUGCAUAUACUUUGUGAACCAAUCAUGACAAAAAUAUCAUCAUCCAAUCAAUUCGAUUAAUUAUUCUUUAAAUCAGUACAAAUAUUGUUAAAUAUAUGGAUGAUUAUCGUGUUUCCGCGAACCAAUCAUGAAAUGAAAUUACCUCUGUAUAAAUCCAUCGGAAAUAAGACAAUUAAUGGGGCCGUUUGGGCAAGCUUAAAAGAAGUGACUUCUUGCUUAAACUAGAGAAGUGGAGCAGAAGUGAGAAGUAAAUAAGUUAUUAAAGUGUUUGGAAAAGAAGCAGAAGCUGUGAGACAAAAGCUAGCAUUCUCAGCUUUUUAAAAGUGACUUCUUUACACAAACGGGUAAAAAAAGCAGAAGCCAGAAGCAGCUUCUGCUUCCGUUAAACAAACAGGCCCAAUAUCUCAAUCGAAUACACCCCGUGAGUUGUCAAACUCCUCGAAACGUAUUAAUCACUUUAGAAAUUUGUUCCACUGGCGCCAUUCAGUUCCAGAGUUGGUGGUAGGGGCCGUGCUUCUUGUGUUUCUUCUUUUCAUUAUUGACAUUGUCAUCUAGGUCCUUGCUUCUGGGCUUUGGAGAAGUAAACAAUGGAUCUAUUAGUCUUCCAUAUCGCUGAUACGCGCUAACGCGCAUUAUAGUGGAUUGAUCUUUAUUAGUGAUUUCUGUGGAGAUGCAUAAUCAUUAUAAGCUCCAAUAUAAAAUAAACCUAAUUUAAAGUUAGUAUGGGCAUUUGUGUUGAUAAUUUACGCAAUGUUAACAGGGAUUGCUCCCAAGUCUUGGACGGAUUCUUUCCAAGUCUUCUGAGGACCUAUUUGCACACUAAUUUGUCGCCAACUAAAAAUUCAACGAUAUUGCUAGCUCCCUCUACUAAUUUUUUGCGGGACGUUUUUUACUUUUAACACAUAUCUUUAGAUAGAAUUAGUAUUGUAAAAAGCGGGAAUCAGACUUAAUCGGUGAAGUCACAGAACAACGAUUAAUCGAUGAUUAAUUGGAUUGAUUGGGUAUCAAUCGGAUGAUUAAUGAAAUAAUCGGAUAUUUAAUCCGUUCGACGAGUUACGGAACAGGGAUUAAUCGUGAUUAAUCACCGACUUUUAGAACAGAGGAUAGGAUAAUAAAAUUAUUAUUUUUGAUUAUUUUUUUUGUGAAUAAAAAUUUUGAUUAUAUAUUUUUAUUAAAAAAGAAUUUAAAAUAAUAUUUUUAACUAACCGGUCCAAACAGCUAAAAGUGUGUGCCCAAGCGUCAUAUAAAAACGGAGGGAGCGAGCAUGUGCUGACUAACGGUUCAACUAACAGUUUACAAGUACUCCAUCUGUCCCAUUUAGUCCUAUUUAAUUAUAUACGUUUUUUUUUAACUGUUUGACACGCACUUCAAUGCUCUUCUAAAAUAUGGUUCUAUAACUUAUUUUUAAAAUUUUCUUUUUCUGAAUAAAAAUAUAACAUUCAAACUUUUAUUCAGAAAAAAAUAUCGUAAAAAUAAGUUAUAGAAUUAUAUUUUAUAAGAGCAUUAAAGUCCAUGUCGCGUCCCCGUCUUCUGAUGUAUAAAUUUGCGCAAUGUUAACGGGGAUUGCUCAUUUGCUCUCAAGUCUUGGACGGACCAAGUCUUCUAGGACCCAUCUGCACACUAAUUUGUCUGCCAACUAAAAAAUCAACGAUAUUGCUGCCUCUGCUAUUUUUUACCAGGACGUUUUUUACUUUUAACACAUGUUUAGAUAGGAUAAUAAAUAUUAUUAUUAUUGAUUAAUUUUUUUGUGAAUAAAAAUUUUGAAUAUAUAUUUUUAUCAAAAAAAGAAAAUUUUAAAAAUAAUAUUUUUAAGGGAAAUUAUUAAUGGUACUAUUGUGCUACUGGCUUUUCUAAAUGGUACUAUUUUGGUGUUUUCGACUUACAUGCAUUAUCACUUCCAUUAACGAUACUACCAUUCCGUCCCUCAAAACGUUAAAACCAUUAGUUGACCGUAUUUAUUUUGUAUUUUCCUUGUAAAAAAAACAAAAGAAUACAACUAAUAUUUGUAUUUUUUGUUUGUGUUCAAAUCGUCGAGAUAUGGAAGAGGUUAUCAGAAUUUUAGAAUUGAUUCGAUGUCCUUCAGAAAGUCAGGGGGAAACGGAAUGAGAUACGAGUUUUGAACAAGAAUCCAGUUUAGUUGUUGUUUAUCUUGAAAAACAGAUUUGGAAGUCAUAUAUUUUCAGCCUUUGGCUUCAUGUAUUUCUGUCUCAUCAUUCCCAGAUACUUGCUGAGGUUUAUAGUCACUGUUUAUUAAAUGUUGUCGUACAUUUUCCUGUAUUAUGCACCCAUGUGGCGCCUGUGUUUUGCAUGUCAUGCACAAUUUGCUCAACUACAUACAGGUCACAGGAUGAGUGCAUGUGCCAAAGGGAUUAGUGCAUUGAUCUGUGUAGUGUGAGGACACUGUGAUACAAGGCACAAUUUCUCAGAUUUCUUCUGUCAACACCACUCCCAUCCAUAGCUCCCACCUUUUCUCUCUCAAUCUCAUGUUUCUCUCUUUCUCUCGCAGCUCCGCCGCCACCACUACAUCAGUCUUCAAGAACUCAAGAAAAAAUAUGGAUAUCAGUUAUAUUUUUUGUGUUUUUUAAAGAAGUAUAUGAAAUAAAUAUAGUCAACUAAUGUUUUUAACGUUUUGAUGGACCGAAUGGUAGUAUCAUUAACGGAUCAUAAACUGAGUGGUACCACUUGUAAGUAAAAACCAGUGUUGUAAAAAGCGGGAAUCGGAUUUAAUCGGUGAAGUCACGGAACAAAGAUUAAUCGGAGAUUAAUCGGACUAAUCGGUGAUUAAUCGGAUAUUUAAUCAGUUCGGCGAGCUACGGAACAGGGAUUAAUCGGUCGUGAUUAAUCACCGACUUUUAGAACAGAGGUAAAAACACGAAAUGGUAUUAUUCAUAAAAGCCAAUACCACGAUGGUACCAUUAAUAAUUUCCCUAUUUUUAAUUACCGAGUCCAAAUAUUUAAACGUGUGUGCCCAAAAUUAAAGCCGCAUAUAAAAAAACGGAGGGAGCAUGUACUAACCGUUUCCAUAACAGUUUACAAGUAUAAGUUAUACUCCCUCUCAAUUUUUUUAUUUUUUUAUAUGACGUUUUGAUCUUGGGCACACAUUAUUAAGUGUUUUGACCGGAUAGUUAAAAAUAUUAUUAUUUAAAUUUUCUUUUCUGAAUAAAAAUAUAUAACCAAAAAUUUUAUUCACAAAAAUUUUUAGUGAUUUUUUCGUGAAUACCUAAGGCCAAUUUUUCAAAUAUUUUGUAAAAAUACCAAUUUUUUGAAAAUAUUUGCAAAGAUAAUGUAUUCAACCACAUGCAACCAUACUUAUAACCAGAUGUAACCAUAAUUGCAACCUCUGCGGGACCAAUUAACUGAAUUUGUAUUUGGUUGCACUAGUUAGUAUUUUCUUAAAGUUAGUAUUUUUGUAAAUAUUUUUAAAAAAAAGUAAAAUCGCAAAAAAAAAAAUCGAAAAAAUGGUUUGAUAAAUUUCUAAAUAUUUAAUCACAGAACAAUAACUUUUACAAUCCGAUCAACUCAUUUAAAAAUGUGUGUCAAAAGUAAAAAUGUCAUAUAUAUAUAUAUCAUAUAAAUGUCAUAUAAAUUUAAAACAAAGGGAUNCAUAUAAAUGUCAUAUAAAUUUAAAACAAAGGGAUAUAUAUUUUUUAAUAAAAUAUACUCCCUCUAUCCCAAAUAAGUGUCAGUGACAUUUUGCAAAAAUAGCUUGGGACAAUAGAUUUUUUUGCCACUCAACUUAAUGUGUUUUUAGAAAUUCGCCACCCAACUAAUUUUUUUUUCCUUUUACUCACUAAUGUUAGGUUUGGAUUUUUUUUAGCCACCAACUUAGGUUCGGAUUUGAUUACUAGUAUUAUGAUAAUUUUAUUUAUCACUAAACUUACUGCGUCUUUAGGAAUUAACCACUGAACUAUAAUUUUUUUAUUUUACUCACUAAUGUUAGGUUCAUUUUUUUUGUCACUGAAGUUAGGUUCGGAUUUGAUUAUUAGCAUUAUAUUAAUUAUGUGUAACAUUAUUAAAAUAUAGUGGUCUAUAAUAUUUUGAUGAUUUGGUAUAUGUCUGUAUCUUUAUAUAUAGUACUUUUUAUGUCUCCAAUGUCGUUUAACUUGAGUGGUAAGAAUUUUACACGCAUUUUAUGGCUUUUAAAAGAUGUAGUUUCAUAAAUAAUUUUAUUUUUUUCUUCCGAAUAAAAAUUCAGCGUUUUACACACAAAAAAAUAACAAAAAAAAGUUAUGAAGCUAUGUUUUAUAAGAGUCUUAAAAUACGUGCUAAGCAGUAGAAAAAACUGUAAACUAAUGAGAGGGACAUGUAGUAAUAAUAAUAAAAUGAUGCAUUAUAGAGGACAAUCAUCGAAAAUUAAGUUAACCUCUCUAUUUAUUUAUCUUGAAAAUUGUAGUAAAAUAAAGUUAUUAAAAUUUAUGAAGAUAAAUUUGAGAGAGAUCUUGGACUGAGCUAGUCAAUUGAAACUUUAAUAGCGAAAGAUGAUGCAUCAUAUCAAUCAAUUACACUUUAUCUUCUUAUCAUCAGGGAGGGUGAAUUGUUUGAAGUCAUUGAUUUCAUAUUCAUGAUUUAUUGAAUUUUAGAAUUCUAAUUACGAUUUUUCCUGGUUUUAAUUUUUCAUCGGCUCAUUUUAUAUUAUUUUUGUUAUAUAUAAGGAUAUAAACAUACGACACAUCAUCAAAAUAUUACAUACUAUCACUAUGUAUAAAUGAUGCGACAAAAAUUAUCAUAAUGCUAGUAAUUAAAUCCGAACCUGAGUAGUGGCUAAAAAAAAAUCCAAACCUAAUAUUAAUGGUAAAAGGAAAAAAAAAAUAGUUAGGUGGCAAGUUUCUAAAAACACUAUAAAUUGAGUGGCAAAAAAAAUCUAUUUUCCAAACAUAGCUUGGGGUAAUAACAAAACCUUAAUCAACGCAAGCACAGCAGACCGCAGGCAUAAGGCUUAUAAAUAGAAGUGCAGUAUUGUGUUGAUGGUCAAGUUGAGUGGAAAUAUGGUACACUUUGUAAAGCCUUGUUAUCCUCUUCUCUUUGUUUUCUUUCUCUCAUUACUUCAAUCCAUUCUAACAACACUACCUGAAUCCAGACGAGAGGGAGAAGCUCUUGUGAAAUGGAAGAAUAGCCUAGCCCCGUCUUCUUUUCUCGACUCUUGGUCACUCACUGAUCUCGAUAAUCUUUGUAACUGGACUGGCAUUACUUGUAACUCUGCAGGUUCAGUCUCGGAGAUUAACCUUUGUGAGAAACAACUUGAUGGAAUGCUGUCCGAGUUUGGUUUCACUUCAUUUCCAGAUCUCAACUAUCUCACCCUCGCAGACAACUUCUUCUCGGGUCCGAUACCAUCAGCCAUUGAGAAUCUAACACAGCUUCAAUAUCUUGAUUUAAGCAUGAAUAGUCUCAAUGGUCCCAUUCCUUUCCAGGUUAGCCAUAUUCAGAGCUUGCUCAUCUUAAACCUGUCACACAAUGCAUUGCAAUCUCCAAAUUGGUCCCAUUGCUCUCCCAUGCCUGUCUUGCGCAUCCUCGACCUUAGUUUUAAUAAUCUUGUGUCGAAAUUCCCAGAAUUUAUAUCCAAUUCUCAUAGCCUGACUCACCUUAACCUUUCAGAUAACAAGUUUACUGGUGAUCUUGUGCGUGAAUUUACCAAUCUACAAAAUCUUGAAACCCUCUACCUUCAAGAUAAUUCUUUUGAGGGGCCGUUUCCGCCUGAUAUAGUCCAGCUUUCCAAAUUAAAACGUCUCGCCCUGUUAGGUAACAAAUUUUCAGGUUCAAUUCCCAAUGACAUAAGGUUGCUUUGUGUUCUUGAAUACCUAUAUUUAGGCAACAAUUCCUUUGAAGGACCACUUCCACCAAAUAUAUUCACGCUUUCAAAAUUAAAAUUACUUGUUCUUUGGGGUAAUAAGUUUUCAGGUUCUAUUUCCAAUGAUAUAGGUUUGCUUUCUGAGCUUGAAACCCUCGUUCUUGACUCUAAUUAUUUUGAGGGGCCACUUCCGCCAAAUAUAUUCAAGCUCUCUAAAUUAAAGGUUUUUUCCCUUGUGUACAAUAACUUUUCAGGUUCUGUUUCCAAUGAUAUAGGUUUGCUUUCUGAGCUUGAAUAUCUCCGUAUUGGCUGCAAUUCUUUCGAGGGACCGUUGCCAACAAAUAUAUUCAAGCUUUCCAAAUUAAGUAAACUUGACCUAUCAAAUAAUAGUAAUUUUUUUGAAGGAAGUAUUCUUAUUGGAUUGGGACUCUUGACUAACCUCAGCUACUUAGAUCUAGAUUCCAAUAAUCUCAGUGGCUAUAUUCCAUCUGAGAUUGGAAACCUGAAGCUACUAGUAUUUCUCGAUCUUAGUUCUAAUCAAUUGACUGGAUCGCUUUCAAAGAUCUUUUCUAAUCUCACAAAUCUUAUAUAUCUUCAUGUAUAUGAUAAUAGUCUUAGUGGAAAUAUUCAGAGUGACUUGUGGAAAAACUCUGUAUCCUUGCGUUUCGUUGAUCUUGCAAAUAAUUAUUUGUCUGGAAACAUCCCUAAGGAAUAUAACGAUCAUCCAACUUUGGAAUACAUUAAUUUAAGUUGGAACCAUUUUACAGGUAUAUUUUCUCUAUAUAUCUUUUCCUUUUCUNCUCAUAUGUAACUAAGCUUGAUUAUUGCAAUUUUACCUAAGUUUCAACAAUCUUGACAGGUGAGCUUCCAACAACAAUUUGCAAUGUCACUUCCCUCUCGGUUCUUGUUUUGUCAAAGAAUGGAUUAAGUGGUCCACUUCCAAAUUGUUUCGGAAAUCUUGCUGAUAGAUUGCUUUCCAUUAAUCUUGCUAAUAAUCAGUUCCGAGGAACAAUACCAACUACUUUCUCCAGCAGUUGUCAGCUGACAUAUCUAAACAUGGAUGAUAAUGAGUUUGAAGGAAUGUUGCCUCAAUCUUUGGCGAAAUGUAAGCACUUGAAAAUUCUUGAUAUUGGCAAUAACAAAAUAGGUGGUAUAUUUCCGUCAUGGCUUUAUGUACUUGGAGAGCUAGAAGUCCUUGUCUUGCGAUCAAAUAAACUCUAUGGUACAAUAAGUGGAAGGAGCAUAGAAGAUCCGUUCCCCAAGUUGCGGAUUGUGGAUCUGUCCAACAAUCAAUUCACCGGCCAGUUGCCAAUUCAAUACUUUAAGAAUAUGAAAUCAACUGAUAAUUUGUAUCGUUAUCGGAAUUCCACAGGACCAUUAUCUUUCUCUUAUGAAGCAGCAGUCUCAUUAACUGUGAAGGGAACAGAGUACGAGGUAGCAAAGAACCUUCAUAUUUACACAGCCAUUGACCUGUCAUGCAACAAAUUUCAGGGAGAAAUUCCAAAGGUUACUGGAGAGCUUAGAUGGCUUGCAUUGCUGAAUUUAUCUCAUAAUAGUCUGACAGGACCUAUCCCAUCCUUGCUGAAAAAUAUGAAAGAACUCCAAUCUUUAGAUUUGUCCUCAAAUCAACUGACAGGGGCUAUUCCACCUCAGUUAACUGCAUUGACAUUUCUGGAGGUCUUCAACCUCUCGGGAAACCAUCUUAGUGGAGAGAUUCCUCAGAAAGGACAGUUCAGCACAUUUAACAAUGAUUCUUAUCUAGGAAACUCCGCGUUAUGUGGAUCACCUUUGACAAAGAAAUGUGCAAACACAGCAUCACCUCCACAAGAAGUCGGAAAUGGUGAUGAAGAUGAUGCUGGUGAUGAAUGGACAUGGGAAGCAAUCGUGAUGGGAUAUGGAUGUGGACUGAUAUGUGGAUUGUCAUCUGCGUACAUUGUUCUCAAACUAGGAAAGCCUUGGUGGUUUGUGAGAUAUAUCGAAGUGCUGCAACUGAAGUUGAUGAAAAGAUAUGCUUGAAAAAUGGUACUGGCCGAUCAAGACGAACUUGAAAGUUGUUGUCCUUGUGGACAUUUCUGAACCAGUAGUGUACUAGCUGCAUAAGUAUUUGGUAUUAUGUAAUAAUCCGUUUGGUCAGGACUCAUAAUGAUUUCUCUUGCUUCAGGGGUAUUAAUAUUAACCUUGCUAGUUAAUUCAAAUUAAAACAAAUAUAAAAUCAAAAAAUUUGCAUCAAACACCUGUUAUACCAACAUCCAUUAAUUUGCUUUCAUCUCUUACGUAACAAUUUAACAGCGAUUCCACACUGUUUUAGGCAUGGAGAUUACACAAAGAAGGCAAGUCCAUGGACUAAUAUACGAACAAUUCAUAUUGGUCUUCCAUCUGUUCAACCGUCUCCCGAAGAUAGGCCAAAAAUGUCAUCUGUGGUUCUUAUCUUUGUCAGUAAAGGAGAAUCUCUGAUGCCUAUACAACCUGGUUUUCUUACCGAAAGGAAUGUAGGUGAAACCAGGGGCAUAAAAUGAAUCGGGACUAAAAUCUGCUAAAAUGAUAAUUAUUUACUCAUCAUUCGAGAUUAGUCGGGCUCGAAUGAAGAUUUAUAUGGAUUUUAAGAACAAACUAUGACUAAAUAUGAAAAAAUCAUUAAUUUUUCCGACUCAAUAUUUUUAGCCUCCCCCGGCCCUGGGUGAAACCAUAAGCUUCUCUGGUGCACAUCCAAAUCAUUCAGCUGGUUCUACAUUCAGCUCACCCACAGGAACAUCAUUCUGCAGGUACUCUCUUAUCUGUACUUUCUUAUAUUGUAUGCCAGAAAAUUUAAUAUCGACAAACUGCACAAUACACCUCGAUCUCAUAUUAUUGACAGGUGAGCUCCUCUCAUAAUGCUCACAGGCGAACUCCUGCAUAUAUACUUUGUGAUGUCAUUGAUGAUCGAUAGGCUUGAAAAAAAAUUAUGACAAAGAUUCAUAAAAUAUCUACUUCCAUCCUAAUUCAGUAUUCAAUAUUAUUCAUUCCGUAUCAUCAUCCAAUCAAUUCUAAUAGUUCUUCUUUAAAUCAGUAUAAAUAUUGUUAAAUAUAUUGAUGAUGGUUGUCUUUCCGCGAACCAAUCAUAAAAUUACCUCUGUAUAAAUCCAUCGGAAAUAAGACAGUUAAUAUCCCAAUCGAAUACACCCCUGUCAGUUGUCAAACUCCUCGAAACGUAUUAAUCACUUUAGAAAAUUUGUUCCACUGGCGCUAGUCAGUCCCAGAGUUGGUGGUGGGUGCUUCUGGGCUUUCGAAAAGCACCCAUUUACUCCAUUGUUUAGAGAAGUAAAACCCCACCUUCCGCUCAUUUGAUUGAUCAGCUGAAUUAGGCAGAGUUUACAUGGUCAUGAUCAUAGUCUCCCAUUUCCCAGAUACGCGCAUUAUAGUGGAUUUAUCUUUAUCAGUAAUUUCUGUGGAGAUGCAUAAUCAUUAUAAACUCCAAUAUAAAAAUUUAAAGUUGGUAUGGGCAUUUGUGUUGAUAAUUUGCGCAAUGUUAACAGGAAUUGCUCCCAAGUCUUGGACGGACUCUUUCAAAGUCUUCUGAGGACCCAUCUGCACACUAAUUUGUCUCCCAACUAAAAAAUCAACAAUAUGUUACUCCCUCCGUUUUUCUUAAACGAGGUUAAAAUUUUUGACACAAGAUGGGUUGACAGUAUAAUAAAAAUUUUUGUGAAUAAAAUUUUUUUUAUUUAGAAAGAUAAUCUUGAAAAUAAUAUUAUUAACUAAGUUAAAUCACUUAAAAGUGUAUGUCCAAAAAUUAAAGCGGCAUAUAAAAAAAAGGGAGGGAGCAUGUACUAACUGUUUCCAUAACAGUUUACAAGUAUAAGUUAUACUCCCUCUCUAUUUUUUUAUAUGACGGUUUGAUUUUGGGCACACAUUUUUAAGUGUUUUGACCAGAUAAUUAAAAGGGGUUUUCUCAUAAAUACCUAAGUCUAAAAUUAUUUUUACGAAAAUAUUAUAUCUUUUUUUAAAUAUUUUGCAAAAAUACCAAACUUUGUAAAUAUUUACAAAAAUACGGUAUGCAACCCGUUGCAACCACAUGCAACCUUACUUGCAACCAUAUUUGCAACCCCUGCGGGGUCAAUUAACUGAAAUUGCAUCUGGUUGCGUUUAGUUGCAGACCGUAUUUUUGCAAAUAUUUUCUAAAAAGUUAGUAUAUUUGCAAUUUUUUUAAAAAUAUAAGAAAAUCGCAAAAAUUAUAACAAAGCUUCAAGAUUUUUAACAGGUGAGCUUCCACUAAAAAUUUGCAAAGUCACUUCCCUUUCGCGUCUCAUUAUGUCAGAUAUUGGUCAAGUGGUGCACUUCCACAGUGUUUGGGGAACCUUUCUUUGCUUGGUUUCAAUAAUCUUGCUAAUAAUCAAUUUCAAGGACCAAUACCAACGACUGUCCAAGACUUGUCUGUGCAUAUCUAAACAUCCAUAACAAUCACUUUGAAGGUUUGUUGCUCCAAUCUUUGGCAAACUGUAAACACUUACAAAUUCUUGAUAUUGGAAACAACAAAAUAGGUGGUACAUUUCCGUCAUGGCUAUUUACUGUUGGAGAGCUAGAUGUCCUAGUUAGGACGGUAUUUCGACUAGAGCAAGCCGAGUUUUGAGCGGAGCCCAAUUCGAGCCAAGUUUAAUCGAGUCGAGCCGAGUCAGUUCGUUUGGCUAAUCGAGCCUAAAACUCUGUCCGAACUCGACUCGUUUAAUUUCACGAGUUGAGUCAAGCCAGCUCAUUUAGCUAAACGAGUUGGUUUUAACGAGUUAAACGAGUGAGCUCGUAUAAUUUUAACUUAAUCGAGCCUGGAUCUCUAUCCGAACUAUUGGCUCGUGUAAUUUCGCGAGUCGAAUCGAGCCGGCUCGUUUUAUUAAACAAACCGAAAUUUUUGCCCAAAUUUUGCUCGUUUAACAAGCCGAUCUGAACCUAGUUAAAUGAGUUCGAGCUAGUCGAGCUCGCAGCUUGCGAGCUCGCCGGACAGCUCUAGUACUAGUCUUGCGAUCAAAUAGGUUUCACGGUAUAGAAAGUGGAAGGAACACAAGGCAUCUGUACUUUCUUGUACUGUAUGCCACUUUGACAGUAAAAUUUAUACUCCCUCCGUCCGAAUGAAUUGUAUACAGUUUACUUUUUGGGACGUCCCAUCAAUUGUAUACAUUCCUAAAGUAGUAAACUUUUAUAAUAUAAAACAUCAUUAAACCAACUACUUUCUUCCCCUAUCUCCAUUCUAUAAUAAUAUAAACACUAUUACACCCACUACUUUCCUCCACUAUCUCAAAUUUAUUAUUAAAUAUAAAUGGGUCCCACCACUAUACUCACUUUUCAUCCAACUUUACUCAUUUCUAAUAAAAUUUCUUGGUCUCCGUGUCCCAGCCAUUUGUAUACAAAUGACUGGGACGGAGGGAGUAUCAACAAACUGCACGAUUAAAUCCUCGUACAAUUGACAGGUGAACUCCUGCAUAUGUUCUGAACUAUUACGUACUAUAUUAUGCAAGCUGUUUGCAACUUUCAUCAAAAUUUUCAAACAUUUCUUAAUAUGUUUUUUCAAAAAAUUCUCGGGCCCUCUUAAGGCCUAUUAUUAUUGCAACUCUCACGUUAUGGACCACUAUGUAUUUUACAAGCACGACGAAUCAUGUGGUCAUUAUGGACUCCCCAAGCCUUCGAGGACUCACUCCAGGUCUUAGGAGGACCACUGCCUAGCUCACCCUUUCGGAGUGAUGUAAAUUAUUUUCUAGACACUAAAAAUAAGUAUUCAGAUUAAUCAUUACAAAAUUAAGGAUAUAAAAUCAGAAUAAAUCCUAAACUUUGAUGAUACAAAAAAAUUAUAAUUGUAAAUUAUACAAUCAAAUUAAAAUCGAAUUAACUUCCCUCACACUUAAAAUUUAUAGCGAUCAAAUCAAAAUCGAAUUAACUUUCCUAUUACUAAAAUAUAAUUACAAUAUUAUUAGAUAAAGAGAAUAUAUAAUAAUCAAGAGAAAAUAGAUUUUUUUUUGCCACUCAACUUAUCGUGUUUUAAGAAACUUACCACCCAACUAAAUUUUUUUUCCUUUUGCUCACUAAUGUUAGGUUUGGAUUUGUUUUUAGCCACCAACUAAGGUUCGGAUUUGAUUACCAGCAUUAUGAUAAUUUUUUUUGUCACUAAACUUAUUGCGUCUUUAGAAACUAACCACUCAACUAAAUUUUUUUUUAUUUUACUCACUAAUGUUAGGUUCAGUUUUUUUUUGUCACUGAAGUUAGGUUCGGAUUUGAUUAUUAGCAUUACAUUAAUUCUGUGUAGCAUUUUUAAAAUAUGGUAGUACUCUGUGAUAUUUAGAUGAUUUGAUAUAUGUCUGUAUUUUUAUAUAUAGUAUAUUUUAUGUCUCCAAGAUCAUUUACCUUGGGUCAUAAGAAUUUUACACGCAUUAUAUGACUUUUAAAAGAUGUAGUGUCAUAAAUAAUUUUAUUUUUUUUUCCGAAUUAAAAUUCAGCAUUUGAAUUUUACACACACAAAAAUCGCAAGAAUAAGUUAUGAAAUUAUGCUUUAUAAGAGUCUUAAAAUACGUGCUAAACGGUAGAAAAAACGGUGAAAUAAUGAGAGGUACAUAGGAGUAAUAAUAACAUAAAAUGAUGCACAAGUUAGUAUAUUGGACUAAUAUUCACGCAUUUAUAUACGAGAAUAUAUGGUCCACAAGUUAGUGCACAAUGUCCAAGAAUCUUUAUCAAAGUAACACGGCAAGCAUGCAGCAUAUAAAUAAGAGUGGGCAGUAUGGUAUUGCAUUCAUAACCCACUUGAGGAGAAAUAUGGCACACUUCCUAAAGCCUUCUCACCUUCUUCUCUUUGUUUUCUCUCUCUCGUUACUUCAAUCCAUUCUACCAACAAGACCAGAGGGAGAAGCUCUUGUGAAAUGGAAGAAUAGCCUAGCCCCUUCUUCUUUUCUCGAUUCUUGGUCACUCACCAAUCUCGAUGAUCUUUGUAACUGGACUGGCAUUACUUGUAACUCUGCAGGUUCAGUCUCUGAGAUUAACCUUUAUGAGAAACAACUUGAUGGAAUGCUGUCCGAGUUUGGCUUCACUUCAUUUCCGAAUCUCAACAAUCUCACCCUCGCAUACAACUUCUUCUCGGGUCCAAUUCCACCAGCCAUUGAGAAUUUAACACAGCUUCAAUAUCUUGAUUUAAGCAUCAAUAGUCUCGAUGGUCCCAUUCCGUUCCAGGUUAGCCAUCUUCAGAGGUUGCUCGUCUUAAACCUGUCACAGAAUGCAUUGCAAGCUCCAAAUUGGUCCAAAUUCUCCCCCAUGCCCUUUUUGUGCAUCCUCAACCUCAGUAGCAAUCCUCUUGCGUCGACAUUCCCAAAUUUCAUAUCCAAUUCUCAUGGCCUGACUCACCUCAGCCUUGAUCAAAACGAGUUUACAGGUGAUUUAGCGCGUGAAUCAAUAUUUGCCAAUCUGCAUAAUCUUGAAGUCCUCAGUCUUGUUGGCAAUUCUUUUGAGGGGGCCAUUUCCGCCAAAUAUAUUCAAGCUUUCCAAAUUAAAACAUCUUAGCCUGUCAGAUAACAAACUUUCAGGUUCAAUUCCCAAUGACAUAAGGUUGCUUUGUGAUCUUGAAUACCUAUAUUUAGGCAACAAUUCCUUUGAAGGACCGCUUCCACCAAAUAUAUUCAAGCUUUCAAAAUUAAAACAUCUUAUUCUUUGGGGUAAUAAGUUUUCAGGUUCUGUUUCCAACGAUAUAGGUUUGCUUUCUGAGCUUGAAAGCCUCUAUCUUGACUCCAAUUUUUUUGAGGGGCCGCUUCCGCCAAAUUUAUUCAAGCUCUCCAAACUAAAGAUUCUUUUCCUUUAUGAGAAUAACUUUUCAGGUUUUAUUUCUAAGGAUAUAGGUUUGCUUUUUGAACUUGAAACCCUCUAUCUUGACUCUAAUUUUUUUGAGGGGCCGCUUCCCCCACAUGUAUUUAGGCUCUCCAAAUUAAGAGAUCUGGGUCUCUCAGACAAUAGAAAUUUAUUUGAAGGAAGUAUUCCUAUUGGACUGGGACUCUUGACUAACCUCAGAUACUUGCGUCUAUCUUCCAAUAAUCUCGGUGGCUAUAUUCCAUCUGACAUUGGAAACCUGAAGCAACUAGAACUUCUUGAUCUCGGUUCUAAUCAAUUGACUGGACCGCUUUCAAAGAUCGUUUCUAAUCUCACAAAUCUUAUAUAUCUUGAUGUGAGUUAUAAUAGUCUUAGUGGAAAUAUUCAGAGUGACUGGUGGAAAAACUCUGUAUCCUUACGUUACAUUGAUUUUGAAAAUAAUUAUUUGUCUGGGAACAUUCCUAAGGAAUAUAACGAUCAUCCAACUUUGGAAUACAUCAAUUUAGGUGGGAACCAUUUUACAGGUAUAUUUUCUCUAUAUAUCUUUUCCUUUUGUCAUAUGUAAAUAAGCUAGUAAUCUGGUUAUUGUAGUUUUACCAAAGUUUCAACAAUCUUGACAGGUGAGCUUCCAACAACAAUUUGCAAUGCCACUUCCCUUUCGGUUCUUGUUUUGUCAAAUAAUGGAUUAAGUGGUGCACUUCCAAAAUGUUUCGGGAAUCUUGCUGAUGGAUUGCUUUACAUUAAUCUUGCUAAUAAUCAGUUUCGAGGAACAAUACCAACUACUUUCUCCAGGAGUUGUCGGUUGACAUAUCUAAACAUGGAUAAUAAUGAGUUUGAAGGAUUGUUGCCCCCAUCUUUGGCGAACUGUAAGCACUUGAAAAUUCUUGAUAUAGGCAAUAAUAAAAUAGGUGGUACAUUUCCGUCAUGGCUUUAUGCACUUGGAGAGCUAGAAGUUCUUGUCUUGCGAUCAAAUAAACUCUAUGGUACGAUAAGUGGAAGGAGCAUAGAAGAUCCCUUCCCAAAGUUGCGGAUUGUGGAUCUGUCCCACAAUCAAUUGACAGGCUAUUUGCCAAUUCAAUACUUUAAGAAUAUGAAAUCAACUGAUGAUUUGUAUAGUUUCCGGAAUUCCACAGGAACCGCAUCUAUCUCUUAUGAAGCAUCGGUCUCAUUAACCGUGAAGGGAACAGAGUAUGAAGUAGCAAAUAACCUUCAUAUUUACACAGCCAUUGAUCUAUCGUGCAACAAAUUUCAGGGACAAAUUCCAAAGGUUACUGGAGAGCUUAAAUGGCUGGCAUUGCUCAACUUAUCUCAUAAUAGUCUAACAGGACCUAUCCCGUCAUUGCUGAGAAAUAUGAAAGAACUCCAGUCUUUAGAUUUGUCUUCAAAUCAACUAACAGGGGCUAUUCCACCUCAGUUAACUGCACUGACAUUUCUAGAGGUCUUGAACUUCUCGGGAAACCAUCUUAGUGGAGAGAUUCCUCAGAAAGGACAGUUCAGCACAUUCAACAAUGAUUCCUAUCUAGGAAACUCUGCGUUAUGUGGAUCACCUUUGACGAAGAAAUGUGUAAACACUGUAUCACCUCCUCAGGAAGUCGAAAAUGGUGAUGAAGAUGAUGCUGGUGAUGAAUUGACAUGGGAAGCAAUCGUGAUGGGAUAUGGAUGUGGACUGAUAUGUGGAUUGUCAUCUGCGUACAUUGUUCUCAAACUAGGAAAGCCUUGGUGGUUUGUGAGAUAUAUCGAAGUACUGCAACUGAAGUUGAUGAAAAGAUAUGCAUGAAGAAAGGUACUGGUAGAUCAAGAUGAACUUGAAAGUUGUUGUCCUGGUAGACAUUUCUGAACCAGUAGUAUACUAGCUGUGUAAGUAUUUGGUAUUAUGUAAUAAUCCGUUUGGUCGGGACUCAAAAUGAUUUCUCUUGCUUCAGGGGUAUUAAUAUUAACCUUGCUAUCUUGAUCAAUGUUAAUGCAAAUUAAAAAGAAUAUAAAAGCAAAAAAUUUGCAUCAAACACCUGUUGUACCACAGGCUUCCGACUCAAUAUUUGUUAGCCUCCCGUGCCCUGUGUGAAACCAUAAGCUUCUCUGGUGAAUAUCCAAAUCAUUCAGCUGGUUCUACUUUCAGCUCACCGCAGGAACAUCAUUCUGCAGGUACUCUCUUAUCUGUACUUUCUUAUAUUGUAUGCCAGAAAAUUUAAUAUCGACAAACUGCACAAUACACCUCGAUCUCAUAUUAUUGACAGGUGAGCUCCUCUCAUAAUGCUCACAGGCGAACUCCUGCAUAUACUUUGUGAUGUCAUUGAUGAUCGAUAGACUUGAAAAAAAAUUAUGACAAAGAUUCAUAAAAUAUCUACUUCCAUCCUAAUUCAGUAUUCAAUAUUAUGCAUUCCGUAUCAUCAUCCAAUCAAUUCUAAUAGUUCUUCUUUAAAUCAGGACAAAUAUUGUUAAAUACAUGGAUGAUGGUUGUCUUUCCGCGAACCAAUCAUGAAAUUACCUCUGUUUAAAUCCGUCGAAAAUAAGAAAAUUAAUAUCCCAAUCGAAUACACCCCGUGAGUUGUCAAACUCCUCGAAACAUAUUAAUCACUUUAGAAAAUUUCAACAAUCUUGACAGGUGAGCUUCCAACAACAAUUUGCAAUGUCACCUCCCUUUCGGUUCUUGUUUUGUCAAAUAAUAAAUUAAGUGGUGCACUUCCAAACUGUUUCGGGAAUCUUGCUGAUGGAUUGCUUUACAUUAAUCUUGCUAAUAAUCAGUUUCAAGGAACAAUACCAACUACUUUCUCCAGGAGUUGUCCGUUGACAUAUCUAAACAUGGAUAAUAAUGAGUUUGAAGGAUUGAUGCCCCCAUCUUUGGCGAACUGUAAGCACUUGAAAAUUCUUGAUAUAGGCAAUAAUAAAAUAGGUGGUACAUUUCCGUCAUGGAUUUAUGCACUUGGAGAGCUAGAAGUUCUUGUCUUGCGAUCAAAUAAACUCUAUGGUACAAUAAGUGGAAGGAGCAUAGAAGAUCCCUUCCCCAAGUUGCGGAUUGUGGAUCUGUCCAACAAUCAAUUCACAGGCCAUUUGCCAAUUCAAUACUUUAAGAAUAUGAAAUCAAAUGAUAAUUUGUAUCGUUAUCUGAAUUCCACAGGAGAAAUAUAUAUCUCUUAUGAAGCAGCAGUCUCAUUAACUGCGAAGGGAACAGAGUAUGAAGUAGCAAAUAACCUUCAUAUUUACACAGCCAUUGAUCUGUCGUGCAACAAAUUUCAGGGAGAAAUUCCAAAGGUUACCGGAGAGCUUAGAUAGCUUGCAUUGCUCAAUUUAUCGCAUAAUAGUCUAACGGGACCUAUCCCAUCAUUGCUGAGAAAUAUGAAAGAACUCCAAUCUUUAGAUUUGUCCUCAAAUCAACUGACAGGGGCCAUUCCACCUCAGUUAACUGCAUUGACAUUUCUAAAGGUCUUAAAUCUCUCGAAAAACCAUCUCAGUGGAGAGAUUCCUCAGGAAGGACAGUUCAGCACAUUCAACAAUGAUUCUUAUCUAGGAAACUCCGCGUUAUGUGGAUUACGUCUGACAAAGAAAUGUGCAAACACAGCAUCACCACCACAAGAAGUCGGAAAUGGUGAUGAAGAUGAUGCUGGUGAUGAAUUGACAUGGGAAGCAAUUGUGAUGGGAUAUGGAUGUGGACUGAUAUGUGGAUUAUCAUCUGCGUACCUUGUUUUCAAACUAGGAAAGCCUUGGUGGUUUGUGAGAUAUAUCGAAGUACUGCAACUGAAGUUGAUGAAAAGAUAUGCAUGAAGAAUGGUACUGGCCGAUCAAGACGAACUUGAAAGUUGGUCCUUGUGGACAUUUCAGCUGAACCAGUAGGUACUAUUCUCUUUGUGACUGCAUAAGUAUUUUGUAUUGUGUAAUGUUCUGUUUGGUCUUAAAUCAUAAUGAUUUUUCUUGCUUCAGGGGUAUUAAUAUAAAACUUGGUAUUGUGUACUAGCUGUAAUAUUCCGUUUAAUCAAUGUUAAUACCUGUAAUUUUAUGCUCCUGACUGCAUCAUGCAGCUCUCAUAUUAUCUUCAUAUGUGUAUUUAUUUGGAUAUUGAAGUUGCAUGGACAUAUGGAUAUGUGUUAACGGGGAUUGCUCCCAAGUCUUGGACGGACUCUUUCCAAGUCUUCCGAGAUCCUAUUGGUUCAAAUUAGUCCAAUUUGAACUGCCAUCAAAUGCAACUCUGUAGAUUCUGUCUCUGAGAUUAACCUUUCAGGACAUCAGCUCAAUGGUACACUUGCUGAAUUCAGUUUCGUUUAAUUUCCGAAUCUACAAAUUAAGCUACAAUAACUUCACUUGUCCAAUACCCCCAGACAUUGGAAAUUUAACAGAGCUGCAACACCUUGAUUUUAGCUCUAAUAAACUCACUGCUGCAAUUCCGGACCAGGUAAGCCAUCUUCAAACAUUGCGGACCUUAAACCUGUAGGAUAAUCAACUUGGAAGCUCCAAACUGGUCCGCUUUUUCCCCUAUGCCUUCUCUGACAAACCUCUGUCUCAAUAAUAAUAAUCUUUCGUCGAAAUUCCAAGACUUCAUAUUAAAUUGUGGUAACCUGACUUACUUUGAUCUUUCAUUAAAUAUGUUAACAGGUAAUUUGGUUCCUUCAUCAAUUUUUAGAAAUUUGUAUAAUCUUGAAUUCCUUUAUCUUUCUAGCAAUUAUUUUGAGGGGCCUUUCCCGCCANNNNNNNNNNNNNNNNNNNNNNNNNNNNNNNNNNNNNNNNNNNNNNNNNNNNNNNNNNNNNNNNNNNNNNNNNNNNNNNNNNNNNNNNNNNNNNNNNNNNNNNNNNNNNNNNNNNNNNNNNNNNNNNNNNNNNNNNNNNNNNNNNNNNNNNNNNNNNNNNNNNNNNNNNUUUCCCUAUCAUAUAAUAGAUUUUCAGGUUCUAUUUCCAUAUGAUAUAGGAAUGCUUCGUGUUUUGGAAUCCCUUUUUUUAGUAGUAGUUCUUUUAAUGGCCCACCUCCACCAAAUUUAUUUAAAUUUUCUAAAUUAAAAGUUUUUUCCCUAUCAUUAAUAACUUUUCGGGUUCUAUUCGAAAUGAAACAGGGAUGCUUCAUGAUUUAGAGUCCCUCUAUCUUAAUGAACAUUCUUUUAAGGGGCCGUUUCCACCAAAUAUAUUCAACCUUUCCAAAUUAAAAGUUCUUAAUUACCUCUCAAAUAAUUCCUUUUCAGGUUCAGUUCCUAGUGAUAUAAGUGUGCUUCGUGAUCUUGAGAUACUUAAUUUGUCCUCUAAUUCUUUUGAAGGAAUUAUCCCAUUGGAGCUUGGGUUCUUGAAUAACGUGAGCUAUUAUUAUAUCUUGAUUCCACUCAAUUGACUGGACCGCUUUUGAAGAACAUUUAUAAUCUCAGUAAUUUUUUGUGUUGGCUUGAAUGGAUCAUUCCAUUCCCUCCAAAACUCAUUCCGUUCAUGUCAACCAAACAGAGCAUCAAUUACUAGUUACUGGGAAAUGCAUUAGCCUAAAUGUUCCUGGUUCAUUGUUACCGGUAUUUCUUAACUGCUGUGAUUGCAAAUUCAGUUGCAGAUUGUUCAUAUAUAUCUAGAGAGACCUGACAUAACUUUAGCCUCUGAUAUACAGCUUCCUUUCACAGUUGUGCCUAUUCACCUAGACGCGUUUUUAACUGCAUAAUGUUGGGUCAACUUCCGACCAUUUAUUUUCUCAUUUGAAAUUAGUGUAUUAAAGUUCGACUUUAAGAAAAUAUAUAGUUUUGUUAAACAAAAAUUCCAAAAGGUUUGGUACGUUUUGAGCUGGGACUUUGAAAUUGUUUGUCGUUAAAGAUGAAGAUUCACUUUUUAAGUUAUAUUAAUCUGUAGUGGUAGACUGGUAGUUUUUCUUUAUUGCUACUUUCCUUGUGCGUUCUUUAUAUUGAUUUAUUAUUUAAUUCGUAAAGUGUUGCGAACUACAUUCCUGCAAAAGUAAAAUCAGUGGAAUUUGUUUGAUAGCAUGAUGAAUAUUUAAAGGGGUUAAUUAUCAAAUUGGUCACUGAAGUGACUUUAAUGUAUCAAGUUGGUCACUGAACUCAAAACGGUAUUAAGAUAGUCACUGAAGUGGACAUAAAUAUCAAACAGGUACCUUGAAAUAUAAGUUCAAGCAGUAAAGAUAUUAUUUAUAAAAUUUUACACAUUAUUUUUAAAUGUUACCACAACCAACUAAAAGGUUAUGACUUCUAGUAUUUAAAUUAAUAUAUUUAUUUUAUCAAGUUUAUUUAUUAUUUAUAUUUUAUUAUAUAGUUAUUUUCUUUGUUUUAAUUAAAAAUAAAUAAUAAAUAAACUUGAUAAUAUCUAAAUAUAUUAUCAUAAAUAUUAGAAUUCAUAACCUUUUACUUGGUCUAGGUAACAUUCAAAAAUAAUGUGUAAAACUUUAUAAAUAAUAUUAUCUUUAUAUUCUUUCCUUUUCUAUGUACCUAUGCUAAUUAUCUGAUUAUUAAAAUUAUAACAAAGCUUCAAGAUUUUUAACAGGUGAGCUUCCACUAAAAAUUUGCAAAGUCACUUCCCUUUCGCGUCUCAUUAUGUCAGAUAUUGGAAACAACAAAUAGGUGGUACAUUUCCGUCAUGGCUAUUUACUGUUGGAGAGCUAGAUGUCCUAGUUAGGGCGGUAAUUCGACUAAAGCAAACCGAGUUUUGAGCGGAGUCAAAUUCGAGCCAAGUUUAAUCGAGUCGAGCCGAGUCGGCUCAUUUAGCUAAUCGAGCCUAAAACUCUGGUCGAACUCGACUCGUUUAAUUUCGCGAGUCAAGUCGACCCAGCUCGUUUAGUUAAAUGAGCUGGUUUUAACGAGUCAAGCGAGUGAGCUCGUAUAAUUUUAACUUAAUCGAGUCUAAAUCUCUACCCGAACUAUUGGCUCGUGUAAUUUCACGAGUAGAAUCGAGCUGGCUCGUUUUAUUAAAGAAGCCGAAAUUUUUGCCCGAAUUUGGCUUGUUUAACAAGCCGAUCUUUCAUCAAAAUUUUCAAACAUUUCUGAAUAUGUAUUUUCAGAGAAUUUCUCCGGCACUCUUAAGGCCUAUAAUUAUUGCAACUCUCACGUUAUGGACCACUAUGUAUUUUACGAGCACGACGAAUCAUGUGGUCAUUAUGGACUCCCCAAGCCUUCGAGGACUCAUUCCAGGUCUUAGGAGGACCACUGCCUAGCUCACCCUCUCGGAGUGAUGUAAAUUAUUUUCCAGACACUAAAAAUAAGUAUUCAGAUUAAUCAUUACAAAAUUAAGGAUAUAAAAUCAGAAUAAAUCCUAAACUUUGAUGAUACAAAAAAAUUAUAAUUGUAAAUUAUACAAUCAAAUUAAAAUCGAAUUAACUUCUCUCACACUUAAAAUUUAUAGCGAUCAAAUCAAAAUCGAAUUAACUUUCCUAUUACUAAAAUUUAAUUACAAUAUUAUUAGAUAAAGAGAAUAUAUAAUAAUCAAGGGAAAAUAGAUUUUUUUUUGCCACUCAACUUAUUGUGUUUUAAGAAAUUUACCACCCAACUAAAUUUUUUUUCCUUUUGCUCACUAAUAUUAGGUUUGGAUUUGUUUUUAGCCACCAACUAAGGUUCGGAUUUGAUUACUAGCAUUAUGAUAAUUUUUUGUCACUAAACUUAUUGCGUCUUUAGAAACUAACCACUCAACUAAUUUUUUUUUUAUUUUACUCACUAAUGUUAGGUUCAGUUUUUUUUUUGUCACUGAAGUUAGGUUCGGAUUUGAUUAUUAGCAUUACAUUAAUUCUGUGUAGCAUUUUUAAAAUAUGGUAGUAGUCUGUGAUAUUUAGAUGAUUUGAUAUAUGUCUGUAUUUAUAUAUAUAGUAUUUUUUAUGUCCCCAAGGUCGUUUACCUUGGGUCAUAAGAAUUUUACACACAUUUUAUGACUUUUAAAAGAUGUAGUUUCAUAAAUAAUUUUAUUUUUUUCUUCCGAAUUAAAAUUCAGCGUUUGAAUUUUACACACAAAAAAAUCGCAAAAAUAAGUUAUGAAACUAUGUUUUAUAAGAGUCUUAAAAUACGUGUUAAACGGUAGAAAAAACUGUAAACUAAUGAAAGGUACAUAGGGAGUAAUAAUAACAUAAAAUGAUGCACAAUCAUCGAAUUAAGUUUUCCUCUCUCUCUAUAUAUUUAUUUUGAAAAUUAUAAUAAGAUAAAGUUAUUAAAAUUUAUGAUAUAAAUUUAAAAGAGAUCUUAGACUGAGUGGCAAAAAUUUAGUUGGAUGGUAAGUUUCUAAAAAUACAAUAAAUUGAGCGGGAACAAAAUCUAUUUUCCCAAUAAUCAAAGUGAUGAAAAAUUAAAGUCAUCUAAUAAGUCCAGAAAAAAUAUGACCAUUAGUAUUUUGGAAUAAUAUUCACGCAUUUAUAUACGAGAAUAUAUGGUCCACAAGUUAGUGCACAAUGUCCAAGAAUCUUUAUCAAAGUAACACGGCAAGCAUGCAGCAUAUAAAUAAGAGUGGGCAGUAUGGUAUUGCAUUCAUAACCCACUUGAGGAGAAAUAUGGCACACUUCCUAAAGCCUUCUCACCUUCUUCUCUUUGUUUUCUCUCUCUCGUUACUUCAAUCCAUUCUACCAACAAGACCAGAGGGAGAAGCUCUUGUGAAAUGGAAGAAUAGCCUAGCCCCUUCUUCUUUUCUCGAUUCUUGGUCACUCACCAAUCUCGAUGAUCUUUGUAACUGGACUGGCAUUACUUGUAACUCUGCAGGUUCAGUCUCUGAGAUUAACCUUUAUGAGAAACAACUUGAUGGAAUGCUGUCCGAGUUUGGCUUCACUUCAUUUCCGAAUCUCAACAAUCUCACCCUCGCAUACAACUUCUUCUCGGGUCCAAUUCCACCAGCCAUUGAGAAUUUAACACAGCUUCAAUAUCUUGAUUUAAGCAUCAAUAGUCUCGAUGGUCCCAUUCCGUUCCAGGUUAGCCAUCUUCAGAGGUUGCUCGUCUUAAACCUGUCACAGAAUGCAUUGCAAGCUCCAAAUUGGUCCAAAUUCUCCCCCAUGCCCUUUUUGUGCAUCCUCAACCUCAGUAGCAAUCCUCUUGCGUCGACAUUCCCAAAUUUCAUAUCCAAUUCUCAUGGCCUGACUCACCUCAGCCUUGAUCAAAACGAGUUUACAGGUGAUUUAGCGCGUGAAUCAAUAUUUGCCAAUCUGCAUAAUCUUGAAGUCCUCAGUCUUGUUGGCAAUUCUUUUGAGGGGGCCAUUUCCGCCAAAUAUAUUCAAGCUUUCCAAAUUAAAACGUCUUACCCUGUCAAGUAACAAAUUUUUAGGAUCAAUUCCCAAUGACAUAAGGUUGCUUUGUGAUCUUGAAUUCCUAUAUUUAGGAAACAAUUCUUUUGAAGGACCGCCUCCACCAAAUAUAUUCAAGCUUUCAAAAUUAAAACAUCUUGUUCUCUGGAGUAAUAAGUUUUCAGGUUCUGUUUCCAAUGAUAUAGGUUUGCUUUCUGCGCUUGAACUUCUGAAUCUUCACUCUAAUUUUUUUGAGGGGCCGCUUCCGCCAAAUGUAUUCAAGCUCUCUAAACUAAGGUUUCUUAACCUCUGGGGUAACAACUUUUCAGGUUCUGUUUCCAAUGAUAUAGGUUUGCUUCCUGAGCUAGAAAUCCUCAAUCUUCACUCUAAUUUUUUUGAGGGGCCGCUUCCGCCAAAUAUAUUCAAGCUCUCUAAACUAAGGUUUCUUAACCUCUGGGGUAACAACUUUUCAGGUUCUGUUUCCAAUGAUAUAGGUUUGCUUCCUGAGCUAGAAAUCCUCAAUCUUCACUCUAAUUUUUUUGAGGGGCCGCUUCCGCCAAAUGUAUUCAAGCUCUCUAAACUAAGGUUUCUUAACCUUUGGGGUAAUAACUUUUCAGGUUCUGUUUCCAAUGAUAUAGGUUUGCUUCCUGAGCUAGAAUUCCUCAAUCUUCACUCUAAUUUUUUUGAGGGGCCGCUUCCGCCAAAUGUAUUCAAGCUCUCUAAACUAAAGUUUCUUCAUCUUCGAGGUAAUAAGUUUUCAGGUUCUGUUUCCAAUGAUAUAGGUUUGCUUCCUGAGCUUGAAAUCCUCAAUCUUCGCUCUAAUUUUUUUGAGGGGCCGCUUCCGCCAAAUGUAUUCAAGCUCUCCAAACUAAGGUUUCUUUCCCUUAAGGAAAAUAAAUUUUCAGGUUCUGUUUCCAAUGAUAUAGGUUUCCUUUCUGAGCUUGAAUACCUAUAUCUUGACUAUAAUUUAUUUGAAGGAAGUAUUCCUAUUGGACUGGGACUCUUGACUAACCUCAGCUACUUAGAUCUAAGUUCCAAUAAUCUCAGUGGCUAUAUUCCAUCUGACAUUGGAAACCUGAAGCUACUAGUAUUUCUUGAUCUCAGUUCUAACCAAUUGACUGGACCGCUUUUAAAGAUCGUUUCUAAUCUCACAAAUCUUAUGAAUCUUGAUGUAAGUGAUAAUAGUCUUAGUGGAAAUAUUCAGAGUGACUUGUGGAAGAACUCUAUAUCCUUACGUUACAUUAAUUUUGCAAAUAAUUAUUUGUCUGGGAACAUUCCUAAGGAAUACAACGAUCAUCCAACUUUGGAAUACAUCAAUUUAAGUGGGAACCAUUUUACAGGUAUAUUUUUCUCUAUAUAUCUUUUCCUUUUCUCAUAUGUAACUAAGCUGGUAAUCUGAUUAUUGCAGUUUUACCAAAGUUUCAACAAUCUUGACAGGUGAGCUUCCAACAACAAUUUGCAAUGUCACUUCCCUUGCGGUUCUUGUUUUGUCAAAUAAUGGAUUAAGUGGAGCACUUCCAAAUUGUUUCGGGAAACUUGCUGAUAGAUUGCUUUCCAUUAAUCUUGCUAAUAAUCAGUUUCGAGGAACAAUACCAACUACUUUCUCCAGGAGUUGUCAGGUGAAAUAUCUAAACAUGGAUAAUAAUGAGUUUGAAAGAUUCUUGCCCCCGUCUUUGGCGAACUGUAAGCACUUGAAAAUUCUUGAUAUUGGCAAUAAUAAAAUAGGUGGUACAUUUCCGUCAUGGCUUUAUGUACUUGGAGAGAUAGAAGUCCUUGUCUUGCGAUCAAAUAAACUCUAUGGUACAAUAAGUGGAAGGAGCGUAAAAGAUCCCUUCCCCAAGUUGCGGAUUGUGGAUCUGUCCAACAAUCAAUUCACUGGUCAUUUGCCAAUUCAAUACUUUAAGAAUAUGAAAUCAACUGAUAAUUUGUAUCGUUAUCAGAAUUCCAAAGGAUAUCUAUCUUUCCAUCAUGAUGCAGCAGUCUCCUUAACUGUGAAGGGAACGGAGUAUGAGGUAGCAAAGAACCUUCAUAUUUACACAGCCAUUGAUCUGUCGUGCAACAAAUUUCAGGGACAAAUUCCAAACGUCACUGGAGAGCUUAGAUGGCUUGCAUUGCUCAAUUUAUCGCAUAAUAGUCUAACAGGACCUAUCCCAUCAUUGCUGAGAAAUAUGAAAGAACUCCAAUCUUUAGAUUUGUCUUCAAAUCAACUGACAGGGGCUAUUCCACCUCAGCUAACUGCAUUGACAUUUCUAGAGGUCUUGAACCUCUCGAAAAACCAUCUUAGUGGAGAGAUUCCUCAGAAAGGACAGUUCAGCACAUUUAACAAUGAUUCUUAUCUAGGAAACUCCGCGUUAUGUGGAUCACCUUUGACGAAGAAAUGUGCAAACACAGCAUCACCUCCACAAGAAGUUGUAAAUGGUGAUGAAGAUGAUGCUGGUGAUGAAAUGACAUGGGAAGCAAUCGUGAUGGGAUAUGGAUGUGGACUGAUAUGUGGAUUGUCAUCUGCGUACAUUGUUCUCAAACUAG